rnacentral:lncRNA from 1 species
AUUUUUUUAUUUUUUUUGUUUGGGCCUUUCUCAUGUUUUUAUGGCCUCUUUUUUUCAGAGUCUCAUCUCGACUAGUGGGGGAAGCAUAGACUCCAUCAUCCUUUCCUGACAUGGGACAAUGCUCUAAUAAUGAAGAUCAUCACACUUUUAUUUACUUACAACUCAAGAAUUACAACUCAAUACUUAGAAAAAAAUAUGACUCUAUGUGAAUGCCUCCGGCGGUGUACCGGGAUGUGGAAUGACUCAAGAGUGACAUGUAUGAAAGAAUUAUGAAUGGUGGCUUUGCCAAAAAUAGAAUGUCAACUACAUGAUCAUGCAAAGCAAUAUGACAAUGAUGAAGCGUGUCAUAAUAAAUGGAACGGUGGAAAGUUGCAUGGAAAUAUAUCUCGGAAUGGCUAUGGAAAUGCCAUAAUAGGUAGGUAUGAUGGCUGUUUUGAGGAAGGUAUAUGGUGGGUGCAUGGUACCUGCGAAAGUUGCGCGGUACUAGAGAUGCUAGCAACGGUGGAAGGGUGAGAGUGUGUAUAAUCCAUGGACUCAACAUUAGUCAUAAAUAACUCACUUACUUAUUGUAGAAAUCUAUUAUUUAUCGAAACGAAGUACUACAUGCAUGCUCCUAGGAGCAUAGAUUGGUAGGAAAAUACCAUCGCUUGUCCCGACCGCCACUCAUAAGGAAGACAAUCAAAAAAUAAAUCAUGCUCCAACUUCAUCACAUAACGGUUCACCAUACAUGCAUGCUACGGGAAUCACAAACUUUAACACAAGUAUCUCUCACAUUCACUACUACUCCACUAGCAUGACUCUAAUAUCACCAUCUUCAUAUCUCAAAACAAUCAUAAAGAAUCAAACUUCUCAUAGUAUUCAGUGCACUUUAUAUGGAAGUUUUUAUUAUAUUCCUCUUGGAUGCUCAUCAUAUUAGGACUAAAUUUAUAACCAAAGCAAAUUACCAUGUUAUUUUAAAAGACUCUCAAAAUAAUAUAAGUGAAGCAUGAGAGUUCAACAAUUUCUAUAAAAUAAAGCCAUCGCCGUGCUCUAAAAAUAUAAAAGUGAAGUACUAGAGCAAUAUUGUCUAGCUCAAAAGAUAUAAGUGAAGCACAUAGAGUAUUCUAAUAAAUCACGAUUCACGCGUGUCUCUCCCAAAACGUGUGUACAGCAAGGAUGAUUGUGGUAAACUAAAAACAAAUCAUACAAGAUGCUCCAGGAAAAACACAUAUCAUGUUGUGAAUAAAAAUAUAGCCUCAAGUAAAGUUACCGAUAGACGAAGACGAAAGAGGGGAUGCCUUCCGGGGCAUCCCCAAGCUUAGGCUUUUGGUUGUCCUUGAAUAUUACCUUGGGGUGCCUUGGGAAUCCCCAAUCUUAGGCUCUUGCCACUCCUUAUUCCAUAUUCCAUCAAAUCCUUACCCAAAACUUGAAAACUUCACAACACAAAACUCAACAGAAAAUCUCAUGAGCUCCGUUAGUAUAAGAAAAUAAACCAUCACUUUAAGGUACUGUUGCAAACUCAUUAUUUAUUUACAUUGGUGUAAUAUCUACUGUAUUCCAACUUUUCCAUGGUUCANNNNNNNNNNNNNNNNNNNNNNNNNNNNNNNNNNNNNNNNNNNNNNNNNNNNNNNNNNNNNNNNNNNNNNNNNNNNNNNNNNNNNNNNNNNNNNNNNNNNNNNNNNNNNNNNNNNNNNNNNNNNNNNNNNNNNNNNNNNNNNNNNNNNNNNNNNNNNNNNNNNNNNNNNNNNNNNNNNNNNNNNNNNNNNNNNNNNNNNNNNNNNNAAAAUAAGCAAAGAACACGCAAAAAAUAGAAUCUGUCAAAAAUAGAACAGUCUGUAGUAAUCUGUAACUCUCGAAUACUUAUGUAACUCCAAAAAUCCUGAUAAAUUAGGAAAUGAAGGAAAUAUGACCUAGAGGCAAUAAUAAAGUUAUUAUUUAUUUCCUUAAUUCAUGAUAAAUGUUUAUUAUUCAUGCUAGAAUUGUAUUAACCGGAAACUUAUUACAUGUGUGAAUAGUAUGCCUCUACUUGACUAGCUCAUUAAUCAAAGAUGGUUAUGUUUCCUAACCAUAGACAUGUGUUGUCAUUUGAUGAACAGGAUCACAUCAUUAGGAGAAUGAUGUGAUGGGCAUGACCCAUCCGUUAGCUUAGCAUUAUGAUCGUGAUAGUUUCAUUGCUACUACUUUCUUCAUGACUUAUACAAGUUCCUCAAACUAUGAGAUUAUGCAACUCCCGAAUACCGUAGGAACACUUUGUGUGAUACAAAACGUCCCAACGUAAUAGGGUGAUUAUAAAGGUGCUCUACAUGUGUCUCUGAAGGUGUUUGUUGGGUUGGCAUAUAUCAAGAUUACGAUUCGUCACUCCGUGUUUUGGAGAGGUAUCUCUAGGCCCUCUCGGUAAUACUCAUCACUAUAAGCCUUACAAGCAUUGUAACUAAUGAGUUAGUUGCAGGAUGAAGUAUUACAGAACGAGUAAAGGGACUUGCAGGUAACGAGAUUGAACUAGGUAUGAUGAUACUGACGAUCAAAUCUCGGGCAAGUAACAUACCGAAGACAAAGGGAACAAUGUAUGUUGUUAUGCGGUUUGACCGAUAAAGAUCUUUGUAGAAUAUGUAGGAACCAAUAUGAGCAUCCAGGUUUCGCUAUUGAUUAUUGACCGGAGAUGUGUCUCAGUCAUGUCUACAUAGUUCUCGAAACCAUAGGGUUUGUACGCUUAACGUUCGAUGACGAUAGGUAUUAUGAGUUUAUGUGUUUUGAUGUAUCGAAGGUAGUUCGGAGUCCCGGAUAUGAUCACGGACACGACGAGAAAUCUCGAAAUGGUCGAGACAUAAAGAUUGAUAUAUUGGAAGCCUAUGUUUGGACAUCAGAAUGGUUCCGGAUGAGUUCGGGCAUUUAUCGGAGUACCGGGGGUUACCGGAACCCUCCCGGGGAGCAUAUGGGCCUUACUGGGCCUUAGUGGGAGAGGAGAGAAGGCAACCUAGGAGGGGCGCGCCCUCCCCCCAAGGCCAAUCUGAAUUGGGUGUGGGGGGCGGCCCCUCUUUCCUUUCUCCUUCCCCCUCUUCCUUCUAUUCCUAGUGGGACUAGGAAAGGGGGGCACCCUAGAACACACAAGUUGACAUUGUUUAGAGAGGCCACUAGGAGGAGGACUCCUCCCCCCUUGGCGUGCCUAGAGAGGCCGGCCGGCCUGCCCAUCCCUCCUUUAUAUACGUGGGAAGGGGGCACCCUAGAACACACAAGUUGACAUUGUUUAGCCGUGUGCGGUGCCCCCCUUCGUAGUUACACACAUCGGUCAUAUCUUCGUAGUUCUUAGGAAAAGCCCUGCGCCGGUAACUUCGUCAUCACCGUCACCAUGCCGUCAUGCUGACGAAACUCUCCCUCGGCCUCAACUAGAUCAAGAGUACGAGGGACGUUCCCAAGCUGAAUGUGUGCUGAUCGCGGAGGUGCCAUACAUUCGGUGCUAAGAUCGGUCGGAUCAUGAAGACAUACGACUACAUCAACCGCGUUGUCACAAUGCUUCCGCUUUCGGUCUACGAGGGUACGUGGACAUACUCUUCCCUCUCGUUGCUAUGCAUCACAUAGAUAGAUCUUGCGUGAUCGUAGGAUUUUUUUUGAAAUUACUGCGUUCCCCAACAGUUGCAUCCGAGCCAGGUCUAUAUGUAGAUAUUAUAUGCAAGAGUAGAACACAAAGAGUUGUGGGCGAUAAUAGUCAUACUGCUUACCAGCAUGUCAUACUUUGAUUCGGCAGUAUUGUUGGAUGAAGCGGCUCAGACUUAUAGUACGCGUACGCUUACGCGAGACUGGUUCUACCGACGUGCUUUGCACAUAGGUGGAAGGUGAGUGUCUGUUUCUCCAACUUUAGUUGAACCGAGUGUGGCUACGCCCGGUCCUUGUUGAAGGUUAAAACAACACGCUUGAUGAAAAAUCAUUGUGGUUUUGAUGCCUAGGUAUGAACGGUUCUUGCUAAGCCCGUAGCAGCCAUGUAAAACUUGCAACAACAAAGUAGAGGACGUCUAACUUGUUUUUACAGGGCAUGUUGUGAUGUGAUAUGGUCAAGACAUGAUGUGAUAUAAUUUGUUGUAUGAGAUGAUCAUGUUUUGUUAAAGUUAUCGGCAACUGGCAGGAGCCUUAUGGUUGUCUCUUUAUUGCAUAAGAUGCAAGCGCCAUAUAAUUGCUUUACAUUAUCGCUAUGCGGUAGCAAUAGUUGCAAAAGCAAUAGUUGGCGAGACGACCAUGUGAUGACACAUUGAUAAAGAUCAAGAUGAUGGAGAUCAUGGUGUCAUGCCGGUGACGAUGGAGAUCAUGAUGGCACUUUGGGGAUGGAGAUCAAAGGCACAAGAUGAUGAUGGCCAUAUCAUGUCACAUAUUUUGAUUGCAUGUGAUGUUUAUCUUAUUAUGCUUCUUAUUUUGCUUAGUUCGGCGGUAGCAUUAUAAGAUGAUCCCUUACUAAAAAUUUCAAGGUAUAAGUGUUCUCCCUGAGUAUGCACCGUUGCAACAGUUGUUCGUGCCGAGACACCACGUGAUGAUCGGGUGUGAUAAGCUCUACGUUCACAUACAACGAGUGCAAACCAGUCUUGCACACGCAGAAUACUCGGGUUAAACUUGACGAGCCUAGCAUAUGCAGAUAUGGCCUCGGAACACUGGAGACCAAAAGGUCGAGCGUGAAUCAUAUAGUAGAUAUGAUCAACAUAGUGAUGUUCACCAUUUAAAACUACUCCAUCUCACGUGAUGAUCGGACAUGGUUUAGUUGAUUUGGAUCACAUGAUCAUUUAGAUGACUAGAGGGAUGUCUAUCUAAGUGGGAGUUCUUAAGUAAUAUGAUUUAUUGAACUUUAAUUUAUCAUGAACUUAGUCCUGAUAGUAUUUUGCAAAUUAUGUUAUAGAAGAAUAGCUCGUGUUAUAGCUUCCCUGUGUUUUUUAUAUGUUCCUAGAGAAAACUAAGUUGAAAGAUGAUAGUCGUAAUGAUGCAUACUGGGUCCGUGAUCUGAGGUGUAUCCUCAUUGCUGCGCAGAAGAAUUAUGUCCGUGAUGCAGUGCUAGGUGACAAACCUAUUGCAGGAGCAGAUGCCGACAUUAUGAACGUUUGGCUAGCUCAAUAUGAUGACUACUUGAUAGUUUAGUGCACCAUGCUUUAUAGCUUAGAACCGGGACUUAAAAAACGUUUUUGAAACGUCACGGAGCAUAUGAAUGUUCCAAGAACUGAAAAUGGUAUUUCAGACUCAUGCCCGUGUCAAGAGGUAUGAGACCUCUGACAAGUACUUUGCCUAAAAGAUGGAGGAGAAUUGCUUAACUAGUGAGCAUGUGCUCGGAAUGUCUGGGUACUACAAUCACUUGAAUCAAGUGGGAGUUAAUCUUCAAGAUAAAAUAGUGAUUGACGGAGUUCUCUAGUCACCAUCACCAAGUUACUGGAACUUCGUGAUGAACUAUAGUAUGCAAGGGAUGACGAUAAUGAUUCCCGAUCUCUUCGUGGUGCUGAAAUCAACGAAGGUAGAAAUCAAAAAGGAGCAUCAAGUGUUGAUGAUUAAACAAGACCACUAGUUUCAAGAAAAGGGUAAAGGGAAAGAAAGGGAACUUCAAGUAGAAUGGCAAGCAAGUUGUCACUUCCGUGAAGAAGCCCAAAGCUAGACUAAAGCCUGAAACUAAGUGCUUCUACUGCAAAGGAAAUGGUCACUGGAAGCGGAAAUGCCCUGAAUAUUUGGUGGAUAAGAAGGAUGGCAAAGUGAAAAAGGGUAUAUUUGAUAUACACGUUAUUGAUGUGUACCUUACUAGUGUUUAUAGUAGCCCCUGGGUAUUUGAUACUUGUUCGGUCGCUAAGAUUAUUAACUCAAAACAGGAGUAACAGAAUAAACAGAGACUAGUUGAGGGUGAAGUGAUGAUGUGUGUUGGAAGUUGUUCAAAGAUUGAUAUGAUCAUCAUCGCACACUCCCUAUACUUUCGAGAUUAUUGUUGAACCUAAAGAAAUGUUAUUUGGUGUUUGUGUUGAGCAUAAAUAUCAUUAGAUCAUGUUUAUUGUGAUACGAUUAUUCAUCUAAGACAAAGAAGAAAUUGUUAUUCUAUUUACAUGAAUAAAACCUUCUAUGGCCAUACACCCAAUGUUGAUGGUUUAUUGAAUCUUGAUCGUAGUGAUACACAUAUUCAUAAUAUUGAUGCCAAAAGAUGCAAAGUUGAUAAUGAUAAUGCAACAUAUUUGUGGCACUGCCAUUUGGGUCAUAUCAGUGUAAAGCGCAUGAAGAAACUCCAUAAAGAUGGAUUUUUGGAAUCCCUUGAUUGUGAAUCAUUUGAUGCCUGCGAACCGUGCCUUAUGGGCAAGAUGACUAAAACUCCAUUCUCUGGAACAAUGGAACGAGCUAGUGACUUAUUGGAAAUAAUACAUACCAAUGUAUGCGGUCCAAUGAGUGUUGAUGCUCGUGGUGGGUAUCGUUAUUUUCUGACCUUCACAGAUGAUUUGAGCUGAUAUGGGUAUAUCUACUUAAUGAAACACAAGUCUGAAACAUUUGAAAAGUUCAAAGAAUUUCAUAGUGAAGUGGAGAACCAUCGUAACAAGAAAAUAAAGUUUCUAUGAUCUGAUCAUAGAGGAGAAUAUUUGAGUUACGAGUUUGGCCUUCAUUUAAAACAAUGUGGAAUAGUUUCACAGCUCAUGCCACAUGGAACACCACAGCGUAAUGGUGUGUCGGAACGUUGUAACCGCACUUUAUUGGAUAUGGUGCUAUCUAUGAUGUCUCUUACCGGGUUACCACUAUCGUUUUUGGGUUAUGCAUUAGAGACAGCUGCAUUCACUUUGAAUAGGGCACCAUCGAAAUCCGCUGAGACAACGCCUUAUGGAACUAUGGUUUGGCAAGAAACCAAAGUUGUCGUUUCUUAAAGUUUGGGGCUGCGAUGCUUAUAUGGAAAAGCUUCAACCUGAUAAGCUCGAACCCAAAUCGGAGAACUGCAUCUUCAUAGGAUACCCAAAGGAAACUGUUGGGUACACCUUCUACCACAGAUCCGAAGGCAAGAUACUCAUUAUUAAGAAUGGCUCCUUUCUAGAGAAGGAGUUUCUCUCGAAAGAAGUGAAUGGGGGGGAAGUAUACUUGAUGAGGUAAUUGUACCUUCUCCCGAAUUGGAAAGUAGUUCAUCACAGAUAUCAGUUCUAGUGAUUCCUACACCAAUUAGUGAGGAAGCUAAUGAUGAUGAUCAUGAAACUUCAGAUCAAGUUACUACAGAACCUCGUAGGUUUUCCAAAGUACGGUCCGCACUAGUGUGGUACGGUAAUCCUAUUCUGAAAGUCAUGUUACUCGACUAUGAUGAACCUAGAAACUAUGAGGAAGCGAUGAUGAGCCAGAUUCCGCGAAAUGGCUUGAGGCCAUGAAAUCUGAGAUGGGAUCCAUGUAUGAGAACAAAGUGUGGACUUUGGUGGACUUGCCCGAUGGUCGGCAAGCCAUAUUAAAUAAAUGGAUCUUCAAGAGGAAGAUGGACACUGAUAGUAGUGUCACUAUCUACAAAGCUCGACUUAUCGCAAAAGGUUUUUCGACAAGUUCAAAGGUGUUGAAUACAAUGAGAUUUUCUCAACUGUAGCGAUGCUUAAAUCCAUCCAAAUCAUGUUAGCAGUUGCCAUAUUUUAUGAAAUCUGGCAAAUGGAUGUCAAAACUACAUUCCUUAAAUGGAUAUUUCUUAAAGAAGAGUUGUAUAUGAUGCAACCAAAAGGUUUUGUCAAUCCUAAAGGUACUAACAAAGUUUGCAAGCUCCAGCGAUCCAUUUAUUGUAACGCCCCGGAUUCGAUGCGCCAGGUGUCUGCCAGUUAUUCGCCGUCAUUGCCAUGUCAUUUGCUUGCGUGUUGCAUUUUGCCAUGUCAUCAUCUGCAUUUCAUCUGCAUGUUUUUCAAAACUUGCAUCCGAGCAUUUUCCCCGUUGUCCGUUUUGCAAUCCGACACUCCUAUGUCCUCCGGCGUCCCCCUUUUGCCUCUUUUCGUGUGCGGGUGUUAAACUUUCUCGGAAUGGCCCGAGGUUUCCCAAGCGGCCUUGGUAUAGCACCGGUAGACCGCCUGUCAAGUUUCUUUCCAUUUGGAGGUCGUUUGAUACUCCAACGGUUAACCGGGGAACCAUAAAGCCCUCUUUUGUUGGAGCCCAACACCCCUCCAAACUGGCCCAAAACCCAUCCUAACCCCCACCAUGCUCCCCGUCGUUCGAUCACGAUCGCGUGGCCGAAAACCGUGCCUAAUUUGGACUCUCCUAGCUCCCAGAAUCUAUAAAUAUGCCCUCCCCGUCCAAAAUCUCGGAUGAAAUAGACCCCAAACCCUAGCCCCCUUCUUCCUCCGUGCGCCGAACACGUCCGCCCGGUGCCGGACACGUCCGCCGCCGUCCCUGGACAAACCCCAGCGUGCCACGUCACACUCGCCCGCGCUCUCUCUCUCCUCCGCCGCCCGCGCCCCGCUGCGGCCCGCCAGGCCCAUAGCGGGCCCGCGCGAGCCCGCGCGCCGCCCGCGCCCGCGCCUCUUCCUCCGCUGUCNNNNNNNNNNNNNNNNNNNNNNNNNNNNNNNNNNNNNNNNNNNNNNNNNNNNNNNNNNNNNNNNNNNNNNNNNNNNNNNNNNNNNNNNNNNNNNNNNNNNNNNNNNNNNNNNNNNNNNNNNNNNNNNNNNNNNNNNNNNNNNNNNNNNNNNNNNNNNNNNNNNNNNNNNNNNNNNNNNNNNNNNNNNNNNNNNNNNNNNNNNNNNNNNNNNNNNNNNNNNNNNNNNNNNNNNNNNNNNNNNNNNNNNNNNNNNNNNNNNNNNNNNNNNNNNNNNNNNNNNNNNNNNNNNNNNNNNNNNNNNNNNNNNNNNNNNNNNNNNNNNNNNNNNNNNNNNNNNNNNNNNNNNNNNNNNNNNNNNNNNNNNNNNNNNNNNNNNNNNNNNNNNNNNNNNNNNNNNNNNNNNGUCGGGCCGCCCGCGCCCCCGCCGACCGCCGCUGCGCAGCCACCUCGCCGGCCGACGCACCUCGGCGCGCCGCCCCAUGCGUCCGUCGCCCGGCGCCCGCUCCUUCCUCUCUGGUGGUGCUCCGGUGCCUCUCCUGCUCCAGCGCAUCCCCUCCCUCUCCGGCAAGUCCGGUGAGAUCCUACUCCGGCAAGCUCGUGCCGCCUCCUCGGGAUCCGUGCCCAGAUCCAGAUCCGUUUUCGAAGGUUGACCCCGGAAUUCCUCAAGUCCCUGAUAUUUUGACAUUUUAUGCCCUUGUUCAAUGCAUCAUAACUUGUUGCAUACUGCUCCGUUUGGUGCAUGUAAUAUAUCUAAAUGUUCGUUGUGAGAUGAUCUUCAUUUCAUUCCAUUGUGCCAUGUUCAUUUGAGAUCAUCUUCAUGCCCUAAUCAUCAUUGCAAGAGUGCUAUAUGAUGUUAAUCUGCUGAAACUGUUAUAACUUGGUGAUUUGUCAUUUUUGUUGCAUUUGAUGUGUGCAUCUUAUGAGCUUGAUGUCUACAUGUGUUUUGAGAUAUGUCAUGCCAUCUUUACAUAGGUGCAAUCCAUGUAUUUUUGUGAGCCUUGUACUGAGUGCAUCAAGCUUGUUAAGUAGGGUACUUGUUGUUGCUGUUUUGCUAGAUUGAUUCUGUUAUAUUUUGUUGCUAUGUAAACCUGCUGCUACAAGUCAUCCUAUGCAUUAUAUGGAGAUGAUCACUAAGGAUGUUUUGUUAUAAAUGUCAUGCUCUAUCCAUCCAUGCCCCUGGUUGCAUUUAUGGCUUGCUGUAGAUUGUUUAUAUCUUGCUCCAAAGUUGCUAAAUAAUAUUGUUGUCAGCCUGUUAACAUUAAGUUCAGUUUUGCCAUGUGCUUUGCUAGUGAUCCAUGUACCCUAUGAACUUGCUCUUGCCAUUCGUAGCUUCAUAAACAUGUCUUAUUACUGUUAGUCACUUUUUCAUGCCAUGUAUUGCUCUGUGGUAAGUGGUACAAGCUCACCAACAUGCCUACUUAUCGUUGUUCCUGCCAUGUAUGAAUCUGUCAUAUCAUUUGCCAUGUUUACAUGGGUGCCAUCAUAUCUUCUGGUCCUUUUUGGCUCAUGGUCAGUAAAGGACUUUUGUUCUAUGCAUUUAGUAGUAUCAUUCCAUGCCUUUUUUCCAUAAUAAGUUCCUGUAGCAUGUUGUUUGAUAGCUCUAAACAUUGCAACCUGAUGUUAUUUCUGCAAAGUCUGAAACUGUUAUUGUUUGCAAUCUUGCCAUGUGUUUUGGAGCAUGUUCUAGUGAUUUCUGGAGGUAGCUCAGUGUUUAUGUUUUAUUAUGCUUUACCUAUAAAUCACGUACAUGCCUUUUGUUCUCAUAUUAUGGGACUGUAGCAUGUUGUUUUGGUGCUUGCAAUAUGCCAACUUGCUGUUUUGAACAGCUUGUCCUUUAAACUUGUAUAGUGUGUUUGUGUUGAACCAUUGCUCCGUUUUGAGUGUGCUCUAUAUGAAACUUGCUUGAUUUUGCAUGUAGUUUCAUAAUAUCAUGUUGCAUCAAUGUUUUGAGGUGUUUUCUUGAUGUUUGUAUGCAUUUUGCAUCAAUGCCAUGGUUAACUUGUUUUGCUCAUAUCUUCUAGGCCGUAACUCCAAACUAAAUGAACUUUAUAUGUAACCUGACUAGAAUUUCGUGUAGGUCCUCUUGGUGCAUCUUAACUUGAUGUUUAAAAACUUGAACAUAAGGUUUAUUCAGAUCUUCACCAAUUUCGAAAUUUGCAUAUGAGGACUUACCGGAAUUGUUAUAUGUUGUUUCCGGCCUCAUUUAAACUUGCUUUAAUGUGUUGCUCUUGUAUGCAUCAUCUCUUGCCAUGAGUAGCUUCAUGUAGCUUUGUCAUGCAUCAUGCUUGUUGUGCAUCAUGUCUUCUCUAUGUGUGGUGUGUUUACCAUGUUGUGUGCUUCUUCUCGAUAGUUCCCGUUUCAUUGCGAUCGUGAGGAUUCGUUCGUCUACGCUUGGUUCGGCUUCAUCCGUUCAUCUUCUUCAUGGACUUGUUCUUCUUCCUUGCGGGAUUUCAGGCAAGAUGACCAUCACCUUGGAUAUCACUACUAUCAUUGCUAUGCUAGUUGCUUCGUUCUAUCGCUUUGCUGCACUACCUAUCACUUGUUCUUCAAGCCUCCCAAUUGCCAUGUCAGCCUCUAACCUUUUUCACCUUCCCUAGCAAACCGUUGUUUGGCUAUGUUACCGCUUUUCUUAGCCCCUCUUAUAGCAUUGUUAGUUGCAGGUGAAGUUGAAGAUUGCUCCAUGGUGGACAGGAUUAUGUUGGCAUAUCACAAUAUCUCUUAUUUAAUUAAUGCAUCUAUAUACUUUGUAAAGGGUGGAAGACUCGGCCUUAUGCCUGGUGUUUUGUUCCACUCUUGCCGCCCUAGUUUCCAUCAUACCGGUGUUAUGUUCUCGGAUUUUGCGUUCCUUACGCGGUUGGGUGAUUUAUGGGACCCCCUUGACAGUUUGCUUUGAAUAAAACUCCUCCAGUAAGGCCCAACCUUGGUUUUAUCAUUUGUCUCACCACCACCUAUACCUUUCCCUUGGGUCGGCCAACCCGAGGGUCAUCUUUAUUUUAGCCCCCUCGGGCCAAUGCUUGUCUAAGUGUUGGUCCGAACCGAGUAGACUGUGGGGCCCCCUCGGGGAAACUCGAGGUCUGGUUUUACUCGUCGGAUGUCUCAUCCGGUGUUGCCCUGAGAAUGAGAUAUGUGCAACUCCUAUCGGGAUUGUCGGCGCAUCGGGCGGCUUUGCUGGUCUUGUUUUACCAUUGUCGAAAUGUCUUGUAAACCGGGAUUCCGAGUCUGAUCGGGUCUUCCUGGGAGAAGGUAUAUCCUUCGUUGAUCGCGAGAGCUUAUCAUGGGCUAAGUUGGGACACCCCUACAGGGUUUAAACUUUCAAAAGUCGUGCCCGUGGUUAUGCGGCAGAUGGGAAUUUGUUAAUGUCCGGUUGUAGAUAAUUUGACACCAGAUCCGAAUUAAAAUGCAUCAACCGCGUGUGUAGCCGUGAUGGUCUCUCCUCGGCGGAGUCCGGAUUGGGUUAUGUUUGACGCAAGUAGGAGUUCAGGAUCACCUCUUGAUCAUUGCUAGCUUCAUGACCAUUCCUUUGCUUCUCUUCUCGCUCUUAUCUGCGUAUGUUAGCCACCAUAUAUGCUUAGUCGUUGCUGCAACCUCACCACUUUACCCCUUCCUUACCCCAUUAAGCUUUGCUAGUCUUGAUACCCAUGGUAAUGGGAUUGUUGAGUCCUCGUGGCUCACAGAUUACUACAACAACAGUUGCAGGUAUAGGUUAUGUGAUGAUCAUGACGCGAGAGCGAUGUUUGUGUGUUUUGGAGUUCUUCUUCUGCUUCUUCUUCGAUCAGGGGAUAGGUUCCAGGUCGGCAGCCUGGGCUAGCAGGGUGGAUGUCGUUUGAGUUUCUGUUUGUGUUUCAUCCAUAUUCGGAUGGUGCUCUUAUGUAAGAUGAUGUUGUAUUCGUGUGGCAUUGGAUGCCUUUUGUAUGUAUCCCCAUCUAUUAUGUAAUGUUGAUGUAAUGAUAUCCACCUUGCAAAAGCGUUUCAAUAUGCGGUUCUAUCCUUGGUGGGACCUUCGAGUCUCUUUAGGAUAGUAUCGCAUAUUGGGCGUGACAAGUUGGUAUCAGAGCCUCGACCGACCAUAGGAGCCCCCUUGAUUGAUCGUGUAGUUUGGCCGUUCUCGAGUCUAGAAGAAAAUUCUUUUUUGGAGUCUAGUUAUAUCGGAGAGUAGGAAUUCUUUUUACUCCUUAGCCUCUUCGUCACUCUGGUGAGGAAUCUUGACGUAGGUGUUUUGAAUUACUCCUCUUCCCCUUCAAAUUUUUGUUUAGGAUCACGCAGUUGGUUUUCCGAUCGUUGGGUCUCAGCUCUUCUAUCCGGUGCAUUUCUCAUAAAGUUGACUCGAGCCUCUUCAUCUUUGCGAGUUCAAUCCUCAGAUGUUUUCUUUUCCCACCCACCCACCCCUUUUUCUUCUUGGAGCCGGAGUCCGUAAUCGAGUAUCCAUCCUACUCGUGCGAAGUCUUUGCUUUCUUUCCUCAAUUAUUUCAACCGGUGCUUUCUCUUCAAGAUAUUCGUUGGUUCUCCCUUCCAAGUUGCCUUUGUUUUUCCCGCCCUCCCACCCUCUUCUUCCCGGAGCCCGAGUCUGUUUUGAGCAUCAAUUUCAUUCGUACGGAGCCUCUUCAGUCUUCCCUCAAUUAUUUCAACCAGUGAAUUCUCGUUUUGUUCGACAUUCUUCAUCUCUUUUUCUUCUCCGGUGGACUCAAUUCAAGUUUUUCAGGUUGAUCAUAUUCUUUUCCUUCGAUCAAGUGUUUUCCCUGCUCGUUCGCCUCUCGCCGGUUUAUCCUUCCGGAGUGUGCAAGACAUCACAGGAGAUUCGCCUGUGUUCGAAUUAAUUCGAGGUUGUCACCUCAUUCAAAUAUUUCAAUUGUUCCGGUGCUUCACCUAUAUGUUCAACAUCCCUUUCCAACAGUGUUUUUCUCAGUGGGCCCUAACCCACAGGUUUUUCCCCAGGAUCUUACCUGACUCUUCUAAUUAUUCCGGAGCCAUUCCUAAUUCUUUUCGAGUUUGACGUAAGUAUGGAUUUCAUCAGUCAGAUGCCUUUCCAAAAUCGAUUUCAAAUCUUUUUCAUUGUUGGCUCAACCUUUUCGGUUUUCAUUCUCCCCGAGUAUCUCAGUAAUUUUGGUGCUGGUUCUCGUCGUCAUUUGAAGAUUGAAGAAGAGUUUUUUCCUCUAAAUCUUGCCCGUUCUCUCGAAGUUUCGUGGUUCUAGCUUCGUGUUACCCUCUCGAAUUAUUCCAUUUGUCAGAAAUUCCUUUUUCUCAACCAUCCGGAGUAUUUCAGGAGUUGAUUUAUGUUUCUUUUCACCGAAGGCCAUCAUUCCAGCUAUCGUUCUCUAAUUUAUCCCGGAGCAUCUGUCAAGUAUUCCUUAUCAUCUCGUUGUCUCUUUGUUCUUUUGCAUCUAAAUCCCCUCUAGCUUAUUUGUUCUUCUAAUUCUCCCGGUGAUUCAUUCUCUUUCGUCAGUCAUUUUCGAAUUCUUACGGUGGUUCGUUCAAGAUUCUUUUUCCUUGAUUAUCAUUUUAAUCCAUUCGUUCUUUCAAUCCUACCGGUGGUUCAUGAAGACCUUCUCAAGUUUGCGAUAUGUCACUUCUAUAUCCUUUUUUCAAGAGGAAUAAGUAAUAUGCAAAAUCCAUUGCUUGUAAUCAAUUUAAUUUGAUGAAGGAUAAGCAUACAAUAAAUCUUAUUCUUAUUUCAUCCAAGUGAGUAAUACCUGCCUUCGGAGUUUGUCCUUGAGGAAUAAAUUAUAGUUCUAAGUGUUUUCAUCUUUUCUUUUCGGAGUUCAAAUUUCCUCAGUCAUCUCGUCAGAAACCCCAUCUAAAUCAUCACAAGGCUCAUCUUAUUCUUUCAUCCUUCAUUUCUAUCUCAUCAUCCUUUUGUCACCGGAGUUCUUCAUGGUGGUUCUUCAUGAUUUAAGUCAUUCUUCAAGAUUUCAUCAAGUAUCAUUCCAUCCUAUGAAGCUCGUGUUCUAUUCAUCCAUGUUUCAGCCGAAGUGCUGCCUAAAUCCUUUCAGUCUUACUCGUUUAUUAUCUCGUUCUAACCGGAGUGGAUUCAUAGUCUAUCUGAUUCCAUGAGCUUUCGAUUCUCAUCAUUCUCGUCGUUCCUCUCUUCUUCUCGAGUGCUCUCGAUUCUUUGCUUCUUCUCUUGAGUUCUUGUUUCACUCAUCCCUUUUCCCUUCCGUCUCGGUCCUAAGAUCUCGGGACGAUAUCUCUUGUUAGUGGAGGAGUGUUGUAACGCCCCGGAUUCGAUGCGCCAGGUGUCCGCCAGUUAUUCGCCGUCAUUGCCAUGUCAUUUGCUUGCGUGUUGCAUUUUGCCAUGUCAUCAUCUGCAUUUCAUCUACAUGUUUUUCAAAACUUGCAUCCGAGCAUUUUCCCCGUUGUCCGUUUUGCAAUCCGACACUCCUAUGUCCUCCGGUGUCCCCAUUUUGCCUCUUUUCGUGUGCGGGUGUUAAACUUUCUCGGAAUGGCCCGAGGUUUUCCAAGCGGCCUUGGUAUAGAAGCGGUAGACCGUCUAUCAAGUUUCGUUGCAUUUGGAGGUUGUUUGAUACUCCAACGGUUAACCGGGGAACCGUAAAGCCCUCUUUUGUUGCAGCCCAACACCCCUCCAAACUGGCCCAAAACCCAUCCUAACCCCAUCCAUGCUCUCCGCCGUUCGAUGACGAUCGCGUGGCCGAAAACCGUUCCUCAUUUGGACUCUCCUAGCUCCCAGAAUCUAUAAAUAUGCCCUCCCCGUCCAAAAUCUCGGAUGAAAUAGACCCCAAACCCUAGCCCCCUUCUUCCUCCGCGCACCGGUCACGUCCGCCUGGCGCCGGACACGUCCGCCGCCGUCCCUGGACGAAUCCCAGCGCGACACGUCACCCUCGCCCGCCCUCUCUCUCUCCUCCGCCGCCCGCGCCCCGCCGCGGCCCGCCAGGCCCAUCACGGGCCCGCGCGAGCCCGCGCGNNNNNNNNNNNNNNNNNNNNNNNNNNNNNNNNNNNNNNNNNNNNNNNNNNNNNNNNNNNNNNNNNNNNNNNNNNNNNNNNNNNNNNNNNNNNNNNNNNNNNNNNNNNNNNNNNNNNNNNNNNNNNNNNNNNNNNNNNNNNNNNNNNNNNNNNNNNNNNNNNNNNNNNNNNNNNNNNNNNNNNNNNNNNNNNNNNNNNNNNNNNNNNNNNNNNNNNNNNNNNNNNNNNNNNNNNNNNNNNNNNNNNNNNNNNNNNNNNNNNNNNNNNNNNNNNNNNNNNNNNNNNNNNNNNNNNNNNNNNNNNNNNNNNNNNNNNNNNNNNNNNNNNNNNNNNNNNNNNNNNNNNNNNNNNNNNNNNNNNNNNNNNNNNNNNNNNNNNNNNNNNNNNNNNNNNNNNNNNNNNNNNNNNNNNNNNNNNNNNNNNNNGGCCGGUGCACCUCGGCGCGCCGCCCCGCGCGUCCGUCGCCCGACGCCCGCUCCUUCCUCUCUGGUGGUGCUCCGGCGCCUCUCCUGCUCCAGGGCGUCCCCUCCCUCUCCGGCAAGUUCGGCGAGAUCCUACACCGGCGAGCUCGCGCCGUCGCCUCGGGAUCAGUGCCCAGAUCCAGAUCCAUUUUCGAAGGUUGACCCCGAAAUUCCUCGAAGUCCUUGAUAUUUUGACAUUUUAUGCCCCUGUUCAACGCAUCAUAACUUGUUGCAUACUGUUCUGCUUGAUGUCUACAUGUGUUUGAGCUAUGUCAUGCCAUCUUUAUAGAGGUGCAAUCCAUGUAUUUUUGUGAGUCUUGUACUGAGUGUGUCAAGCUUGUUAAGUAGGGUACUUGUUGUUGCUGUUUUGCUAGGCUGAUUCUGUUAUAUUUUGUUGCUAUGUAAACCUGCUGCUACAAGUCAUCCUAUGCAUUACCUGGAGAUGUUCACUGAGGAUGUUUUGUUAUAAAUGUCUUGCUCUAUCCAUCCAUGCCCCUGGUUGCAUUUAUGUCUUGCUGUAGAUUGUUUAUAUCUUCCUCCAAAGUUGCUAAAUAAUAUUGCUGUCAGCGUGUUAACAUUAAGUUCAGUUUUGCCAUGUGAUUUGCUAGUGAUCCAUGUACCCUAUGAACUUGCUCUUGCCAUCCUCAACUUCAUAAACAUGUCUUCUUACUGUUAGUCACCUUUUCAUGCCAUGUAUUGCUCUGUGGUGAGUGUUACAAGCUCACCAACAUGCCUACUUAUCAUUGUUCCUGCCAUGUAUGAAUCUGUCAUAUCAUUUGCCAUGUUUACAUGGGUGCCAUCAUAUAUUCAGAUCCUUUUUGCCUCAUGGUCAGUAAAGGACUUUUGUUCUAUGCAUUUAGUAGUAUCAUGCCAUGCCUUUGUUUUCCAUAAUAAGUUCCUGUAGCAUGUUGUUUGAUAGCUCUAAACAUUGCAACCUGAUGUUAUUUCUGCAAAGUCUGAAACUGUUAUUGUUUGCAAUCUUGCCAUGUGUUUUGGAGCAUGUUCUAGUGAUUUCUGGAGGUAGCUCAGUGUUCAUGUUUUGUUAUGCUUUACCUGUAAAUCAUUUCCAUGCCUUUUGUUGUCAUAUUGUGGGACUGUAGCAUGUUGUUUUUGUGUUUGCAAUAUGCCUACUUGCUGUUUUGAAUAGCUUGUCCUUUAAACUUGUAGUGUGUUUGUGUUGAAUCGUUGCUCCGUUUUGAGUGUGCUCUAUAUGAAACUUGCUUGAUUUUGCAUGUAGUUUCAUAAUAUCAUGUUCCAUCCAUGUUUUGAGGUGUUUGCUUGAUAUUUGUAUGCAUUUUGCAUCAAUGCCAUGGUUAAUUUGUUUUGCUCAUAUCUUCUAGGCCGUAGCUCUGAACUAAAUGAUCUUUAUAUGUAACCUGACUAGAAUUCGUGUAGAUCCUCUUGGUGCAUCUUAACUUGCUGUUUAACAACUUGAACAUAAGGUUUAUUCAGAUCUGGACCUGUUGGGGAUAUAACUAUUUGUGUAAGCCGCCCAGGAGGGGCCGGGUUACGCAAAGUGGAUUCACCAGAGAGAAGCCCAAGACCAAAGUAUGAAGAUGGCGGUUCAUAGAGAGCUUAAGGCCCGCAGGUGACUUAAGGCCCAUUGUAGUAAACCACCAUAGUAGUAUACUUGUAUCAUAAGGUAGACUUAACUAGUCACCAAGCCGGACAUUGUGUAUUAGCCGGCCGGGACUCUGUAAGCCGCAGGGCGUCAACCCGUGUAUAUAAGGGGAUGACCUACGGGCGACUUAGGGCAAGAAACAACUCAUCGAGAGCCAGGCAUAGCAUAUCUCGCUCCCUGAUCAUCGAAACAUCAAUACCAACCCAACUAGACGUAGGCCUUACCUUCACCGUAAGGGGCCGAACUAGUAUAAGACCUCUCGUGUCCUUUGUCUCGAUUAACCCCUUCAAGCUUCCUAGCUGCGAUGGCUCCACAACUAAGUCCUUUCACGAGGACAUCUGACGUGACAAUUCCACGACAGUUGGCGCCCACCGUGGGGCCAGCGCACGGUGGAUUUGAGUUCUUGAAGGGCAACUUCGAAGGGCUCAAGGGAUACGCAGUGGGCCGGAUGACCAAAAAUCGUCGCGGCAAGAUCUACAUCAGCGAAGAAGGCUGGGGCCCCGACGCCGGCUCAAUUGAGUACGGGUACCGGGUCCCCUUCGGAGGGAUCCACGUCUUCAUCGGCCGGAUUGGUGAGCCGGGGCCUGAGCCGGACAACUGCACCGACCUCGUCGAGACGGCUCAGCGUGCGUAUCCCGCCCGAGUUCAAACCGGCAUGAAGCGUGUCUUUCUGGGCUGCGUCCACGGAGAAGAACUUUCUGAAGGUCCUGAAGAUGGUGGUGAGACGGCCGUCCACUCUGACGGUGAUUCGUCCGCCGGUUCAACAGAUUCUUUGUAUCAAGUUCAGGACGGUGCGCUCGGGGGCUGUUCCGAUGGCCUUAGUAUUCCGGACCUCUGUGAGUCGCCAAAUUGGGCAGGAGUCUUUAUGGCUGGGACUCAACCCGGACAAAACUCUACAGUCGCGGCUGCAAUUACUUCCGGGUUAGGAACAGCCGGGGCAGGAGGCCAUGUGCGCCCGCCGGCUCAAGUGCUGAUAGACCUCAUGGACAAGCUUACGACCCUGUUAACCGCCACGGUCAUCCCUGCAAACAAAGAUGAGCAUGACGCGGAGGUAGCAUGGGUAUGUGAGGAGAUAGCUCAGGCCAAGGAGGCCUUAGCAGCUGAAGAUACUAGACUAGCUACGGAGCAGGCGGCUCUUGACGCCCGGGCACAGCGGUUGCAGUCAGAGGCUUACCAGCUCACGAUGAGUUUAAACGCGUCCAAUGAGGUAAUGAGGAGGAGACACCAGAAGACCCAAUCUUGGUUGCCUCCGAAUUAUGAUCCUAGGGUUCUUUUUGCUACACCCGGAGCCGGCCCAAGUAACCCGCCCGAUGCUAAUCAGUUUAUGACAUCCGGAGCGGGAGGACCGGCUCAGCGUCGGGAGAUGCCACCUCCUCAUAUGAGCAUGGCCGCCGCGUUAUGUGCCGGUACCGGAGGGUCACUUUUCCAACCCCAUGGAGAAUUUAAUCGCGGCGUCAACGCGCCUGGCGGCUCUUCCAGUGGACGGUGAUGAUCCAACAGCAGUGGAGACACGGAGGAUCAGGGAACUUGUCCAGACGGCCCUGGCUCAGCAGGAGACCUAUUCUUACAGCCGGGAUAGGAUUCACUCAUCCCCUCCGCCUUGGUUAGCACCGCCUCAUCAGAACCAGAGCCCAAGUUACAGCAGGCACAUGGAAUCUGAAGCUUUAUCGAGCAACGCCCAACGCCGUAACCAGCAUGGUGGCUAUAACCCGGUGCAAGGCCGAGUACGUCAGGAGAACGAGCGGGCGGCUCAACUGGCGGCUCAAUAGGCGGCUCAGCUGGCGGCUCAUCAGGAUAUCCCAGAGUAUCCAACGACCUCUGUUGAGAUAGGAGUAGCCACCAGAAUCAGUGGAGUUCCUUGUUUGAUACCGGAUUUGCGCAACGUGCGCCUGCCUAAGGACUUCAAGGGACCUCGAAAGGUGCCAAAUUACACGGCCGACUUACAGCCUGGAGCAUGGAUUGAGAGUUAUGAGAUAGCCAUGGAGCUGUUGGAGGUCAGUGACGCGGCAAUGGAUAAAUACUUCACCAUGAUGUUAGAUAGAACGGCCCGGUCUUGGCUAAAAGGUUUACCACCUAAUUCCAUUGGUUCAUGGGAGGAGUUAAAGGCACGUUUCAUCCAGAACUUCAAGGAUACCUGUAAGCAAUCUAUGUCGAUCAUGGACUUGACGAGUUGUAAGCAGGGAGAGGGUGAAUCCACCACCCAUUGGGUACGCCGAGUCAAGGAGAUAAUUCACUCAUCUAAUAAGAUGGAUGCCGGCUCUGCAACCCUCAUGUUGGAGAAGAAUUGCAACUUUGAACCACUAAGGCAGAAAUUGGGCCGCCUUAAGCGUGACUGCACCGAUAUGGGGACGUUGAUGGCGGCUUUAGUCAAAUAUGCCGAUUCUGAUAAUACCAAGGACCCCGCAUCUGACGAUGUGAAAACAGGGAAGGGUAAAAGGAACGGUAAUGGAAAGGGUCAAUAGCACAACCCGGGGAAUCAAAGCGGCAAUAAGCGUAAGGCGGGCGGCAACCCGGAGCUUGUGGCUAACGCUAGUACACAGGGUAACAAUCAGAGACGUAAGGGUAAGUGGCCUCGAACCGGCGGGUCAGGUCCAUCUCUUGAGCAGCUACUCAAUGAGCCCUGUCCGAAACACGGCACCCGGGAGCACCCCGCUACACACCUGUGGAAAGAUUGUGCGAUCAUGAAGGCGUUUAAAAACUCCAAUAUCUUUGAUGGUGGUCAUGGAUCUGGUGGUGGUUCAGGGGCCGGCGGCUUUCAUGGCCCGGGCGGCGGUUCAAAUUCCGGUUUCGAGGGAUAGCCGGGUGGAAAUAAUCAGCAGCAAUCUGGUCAGGGAGGACAGCAGCAGCAGCAGUCGGGUUACCAGAGCCAACCAAAACAGUUGAGCGGUGGGCAGUACCAUGUGUUUACCACCAGCUUAUGCAAACGUGACCAGAAGAUUCAUAAGAGGGCUAUAAAUUCGGUUUAGCCGGCAGUUCCUCGUUAUUUGAGAUGGUCAGAACAACCCAUCAUUUGGAGCAGAGAGGAUCACCCUCCACGCGUCGAUAAUCCAGGUCAGUUAGCCUUGGUGGUAGCACCCCGGGUUGGUGGAUAUACUCUAUUAUGAGACCUUCCAGCGUAUGGGGUUGACUGAGAAGAAUCUGAGAACAUCCAACACUGUUUUCCAUGGGGUGGUUCCAGGCAAGUCGGCUUACCCAGUUGGUAAGAUUGAGUUGGAGGUGGCCUUUGGAGAUGAGUAUGAUUCCAGGGCUGAGAAGUUGACAUUUGAGGUGGUCAAAAUCAGGAGUCCAUAUCACGCUCUGUUUGGGCGACCGGCUUAUGCUAAGUUCAUGGCACGGCCGUGUUACGUUUACUUACAGCUCAAGAUGCCGGGUUACAAGGGCACCAUCACUGUGCAUGGGAGUCGGAAGGUGGCCUUGGAAUGUGAAGAAGGCGACGCGGCUUACGCUGAGACGGCCUGUGCCGCGGAGGAGCUCAAAUUCUAUCAAGACAAUAUUGACCCGGCGGAUAUGACCUCCCUUAAGAAACCAACUACUGAGCAUGACCCGGCGUUGAAAUUUAAAUCGGCUGCUGAGACAAAACUAGUUGACUUCACCCCGGGAGACGCCUCUAAGCAGUUUAGUAUCAGCGCUAAUUUGGAUCCUAAAUAGGAAAGCGCGCUCAUCGAGUUCAUCCGUGAGAACUGGGACAUCUUUGCAUGGAAGCCUUCUGACAUGCCGGGUGUACCGAGGGAACUCGCUGAGCACACUCUCAAUAUUGAUCCAAAGUAUAAGCCGGUCAGGCAGUUUCUCCGACGAUUCAACAAAGAGAGACGGAAAGCUAUUGGGGAAGAGGUGGCCUCUUGGCAGCCGGGUUUAUUAUUGAGGUUUUUCAUCCGGAAUGGUUGGCUAACCCGGUGCUGGUGCUCAAGAAGAACGGCACUUGCGGAUGUGUGUGGAUUACACGGACUUAAAUAAGGCUUGCCCGGCUGAUUCCUUUGCUCUCCCCCAUAUUGAUCCAAUCAUUGAUGCUACGGCGGGUUGUGAACGUUUGAGCUUUUUGGAUGCUUACUCUGGCUAUCAUCAGAUCAAGAUGGCAGUUAAGGACCAGGAGAAGACAGCUUUCAUCACUCCGUUUGGGGCCUUCUUUUAUGUAUAUAUGCCGUUUGGGCUCAAGAGUGCCCAGGCAACUUAUCAGCGAUGUGUGCAGAACUGUUUGCAUGAUCAAAUUGGGCGCAAUGUUCAUGCUUAUGUGGAUGACAUUGUGGUGAAGUACAGAGAAAAGGAAACCUUAAUAUCCGACUUGAGAGAGACCUUUGACAAUCUCCGGGUUUACAAGAUGAUGCUUAACCCGGCUAAGUGUGUGUUUGGUGUACCUACAGGCAAGCUUUUGGGUUUUCUGGUGUCGAAUAGAGGCAUUGAAGCUAAUCCGGAGAAGAUCACGGCGAUUACCUCUCUGGCUAAGCCGGCAUGUAUCAAUGAUGUUCAGCGUCUGGCGGGACGUGUUGCCGCUUUAAGCCGGUUCAUAAGCCGGUUAGGGGAGAAGGCCUUACCACUAUAUCAGAUGAUGAAGAAAACCGACACUUUUGUCUGGAGCGAUGCUGCUAACACUGCCUUUGAGGAUUUAAAGAGACAGUUGUCUGAGCUGUCGGUUUUUGCAGCUCCCAUUGAUGGAGAGCCGCUAUUGUUAUAUGUGCCUGCUAACUCACGGGCCGUCAGUGUAGCCAUCGUGGUGGAGCGUAAGGAGGCAGGCAAGGAGCAUCCGGUUCAACGGCCGGUUUACUACAUCAGCGAGGUGCUCAUUGAGUCUAAACAAAGGUAUCCAGAUUGGCAGAAGCUUGUUUAUGGUGUGUUCAUGGCAAACCGGAAGCUGAAGCAGUACUUUCAAAGUCAUCCUAUAACGGUGGUAAGUUCAGCCCCUUUGGGAGAUAUCAUUCAGAACAGGGAAGCCACAGGACGAAUCGCCAAGUGGGCCAUUGAGCUUGGGCCUUAUGGUCUGAAGUAUAUGCCCUGUACUGCCAUCAAGUCUCAGGCCUUGGUGGAUUUUAUCAAUGAUCGGACAGAGUUGCAGGCACCUGAGGAGAAGCCGAACAAUACGUAUUGGACUAUUCACUUUGAUGGAUCUAGGCAGUUAGAAGGAUCAGGGGCUAGAGUUGUCUUAACUUCCCCUCAAGGUGAUAAAUUUCGUUAUGUGCUCCGGCUCAUGUUUCCUUGUACUAACAAUGCAGCUGAGUACGAGGCCUUGCUCCAUGGUCUCCGAAUGGCUAAGGAGAUGAAUUUAAGCUGGGUAAGGUGCUUGGGUGACUCAGACCUCGUGGCUCAACAGGUCUCAGGCACAUGGGAUUCUAAGGAUCCCCUUAUGGCGGCUUAUCGCCGUGAAGUCGAUGUCGUAGCUGGGUACUUCAAAGGGUAUCAGGUGGAGCAUAUUGACAGAAGGAAGAAUGAGGCGGCUGAUGCUUUAAGCCGGUUGGGCUCUUAGCGCAAGCCGGUGCCGCCUAAUACCUUUCUUGACGUUCUACAUAAUCCUUUUGUCAAGGUACCUACAGAGGAAGAGCUUGCAGUGCCAGACCCGGAGGCACAGUUGGUGGUUGCACUUCACGUCAUCCCGGAUUGGACAUUGCCAUAUUUGGCUUAUAUGACCCGGGGAGAGCUGCCUGAGGAUGAGACCUUGGCGAGACAAAUUGUCAGGCGGUCCAAAUCCAUGACAAUUGUUAACGGCGAGUUACAUCAUCUCGGUGUCACAAGGGCGUUCCAGCGUUGUGUGUCGCCUGCAGAGGGUCAAGAGAUACUUCGAGAAAUCCAUGAAGGAGAUUGUGGUCAUCAUGCUGGUUCAAAAUCUAUGGUGGCCAAGGCUUUCCGUCAUGGUUUUUAUUGGCUGGCGGCUCAUGCAGAUGAAGAAGAUCUUGUUAGAAAAUGUGACGGAUGUCAAAAAUUCUCACGACGAGCUCAUGUGUCGGCUCAGGAAUUGAGGAUGAUUCCAAUUACUUGGCCGUUUGCAGUAUGGGGGCUUGACAUGGUGGACCUUUUAAAAGGUCUAAGGAUAAAAAGACACACCUCCUGGUGGCAAUGGAUAAAUUUACAAAGUGGAUUGAGGCAGAGCCGGUCAGUCAGUGUGAUGCGGCCACAGCAGUUCAGUUCAUCAAAAAGGUGAUCUUUCAUUUUGGUUUUCCACAUAGCAUCAUAAGUGAUAAUGGCACUAAUCUCUCCAAGGGUGCCAUGGAAGAGUUCUGUCAACAGGAACAUAUCCGGCUUGAUGUUUCGGCUGUUGCUCAUCCUCAAUCCAAUGGUCAAGCAGAAAGAGCUAAUCAGGAGAUUUUAAGAGGUAUCAAACCACGGCUCUUGGUCCCCUUACAGCGGACUCCGGGUUGUUGGGUGGAAGAGUUGCCCUCUGUGCUGUGGAGCAUCAACACUACGCCUAACAGAUCCACGGGUUAUACACCUUUUUCAUGGUUUAUGGAGCAAAGGCAGUUCCGCCAAGUGAUAUCCGGCAUGAUUCGCCCCAUGUGGCGGCUUACGUUGAGGCUGAUAAUGAAAAGGCUCGACAAGAGGCACUUGACUUGCUAGAUGAGGAGCGAGACUUGGCAAUAGCCCGCUCGGCGAUUUACCAACAAGACCUUCGUCGUUAUCACAGCCGCCGGGUCAGGAGCAGAACAUUUCAGGAAGACAAUUUAGUGCUCCGGCUCAUCCAGGAUCAGUCCGAUAUGCACAAGCUAUCCCCUUUGUGGUCAGCAAGAAUCUGCACAACGGGUCAUACUACCUCAUUGAUAUUCGAGAGCACAAAGACUGAGGUAAAUCGGAGGAAGAGACCCGCCGACAGUGGAAUAUAGCCCAUCUUCGGCCUUAUUAUACUUAAGCCAUCAUCUCUUUAGAUGUAUAUAUUUUUUGACAAUGUAUAUAUUAUAUAAAGUAAUAAAGCAGGACCUCUGUCCUUUUUUCACCCUCAAAAAAGUGUGUAUGUCUUUUUGACAGGUGGUGGAAACAAUCAACAGGGACCGGAUCAUAUCUGAAUCCGGCUUUACCUUUGGUCCGGCUUAUGAUCAUAUCUGAAUCUAGCCAUGAUCACUUGGGGGCUUCGUGUUCAAACAUAGGUCGUAUCUGAACCAAAGAGAACAUAGCUGUCGAUACCCACUUGAUCGGCAUACUUGCCAAACCUACUUGGGGGCUUCUUGACCAUAUUUGAAUCAUAGCUUAACCCCUUUAGGUCUGACGUGGAUCGUAUACGAAUCAGCGUCAUUAAACAAAUCCUAUGGUCACUUGGGGGCUUCUUGUUCAAACAUAGGUCGUAUUCGAACCAAAGAGAACAUAGCUGUCGAUACCCACUUGAUCGGCAUCGCCAAGCCACUGGGGGCUAUAUGAUCGUAUCCGAAUCUUAGCUUAACCCCUUUGCAACGGUUUCCUGAUCGUAUCCGAAUCAGAAGCCUGUAAAGUAUUUUGAUAAUCCUGAAACUUUGUGGAAAGCAUUAUGAGAUGUUUUUUGUCUUGCCGGUUUAAAAAUUCAUCACCACAGGUUGUUGUGGGCCGGGUGAGCAUUGUAUGAGCCGGAAAGACUAUCAAAGGGUCGCAUGAUAAGGAAAGCAAAAUUUAAAACACCAAGGAAGAAAUAUACAGCCAUGGCGGCUUACGGAAAGUAUUAAGUGGUAAGAACAUGCACAAAGGAAUGACAGGCAUAGGGAGGGUCUUUCUACCCUAUUACAAGACUCCCCGAGUCUGAAUUGAUGAAGCAUUGUUUUUUGGCCAAACACCUGGCGAUUCACUCCUUUGGCGGGCUUGAGGGCUCUGGGUUAUCCUUCUCCGCUUCUCCGUCGGCUAUUUUGUCCUGGAAAGUUGAUGAGGCCCAAUCAAUGCCGCUCAAAGCUUCAAAUUCAGCUUCAGCAUACAUUAAACCGGUCGGGUCCACUUCAGGGGCAAAAGUAUGCUUAUGAAUUGGAGGGAUCAGGCUGAUUUGAUCAUAUGGAGCGUUUGGGAUUUUCCGGUUGUUACUGUCAUAAGCCGACGCAUACUUGCUGAGGUCCGUGUCAUUUCCGAUAAGGGUGGCCACCGGACGUAUGGCUUUGUCGCGGGCGGUGAAGUCAUGAUCAUCAAAGGCAUUGCCGUCUUCCUUUAGACUCGGGUAUCCAAGAGCAAGGUCUGCCGGGUCUAGUUCUGGGAGCCAUGCUUUUGCCCGGCUCAAUGCGGCUACGGCCCUGGCUCUUGAGGAUGAACGCCUUAAGUCUUGGAUCCGCUGAGGUAGAAAGGCAAGGCUCUUCAAUACAUCUUGCAGAAGGCGGGGAUGUGGAGUUGAUAAGGCUACAACGGCCAAGGCACGUUGUGUCCCGGAGUAUAGUUGUUCCACUAGCGUAUAAACUGCUUUAAGCUUGAUCAGCGUGUUCUGCUUCAGAUUGACACUCCUGGAGCCUAUAUGUGCACAAGCGUAACAGUCAGCCAGAAGUAAUUAUUACAAUCAUCAUUGUAAGGUUACAAUGUUUAAAGGCUGGUUUACAAUAACUUACCAAAGAUGGCUGAGACCAUUUGCGAUAUCUGUUGUUUUAAGUUGGACAGCUCGGUUGUUGCUUCGGCAAGAGAUGCUUCGGCUGUCUCGGCCCGAGUCACCAAGGAAGCCUUCUCAUCAGCCCAAGUUUUCUUCUCCGAUUCAAAAUUCUUCUCUAGUUUCUCAUUUUCAGAGACACUAAAUUCAAAUUUGGAGUUAGCCUUCUACGUCUCAAGCUCUUGAGUUUCCAGACGGCUCUUCAGGGUAGCAAGCUCUGAUUCAAAUUGACUUAUGGCAGCCUGCAUUGACACCAGGUUAUGGUAAGGAUUAUAGUAAGGUAACAUUCAAGUCCCGAGCACUUUACAAGUAAAGAUACUUGGCACUUGGGGGCUAAUGUAUGCUGAAGAAUUUUUUAACUUUAUCCUGCCGGGUCACACAUAUUAAGUCUCAAGCACCUUACAAGUAAUGAUACUUGACACUUGGGGGCUAAUGUAUGCUGAAGAAUUUUUUAACUUUAUCCUGCCGGGUCACACAUAUUACGUCUCCAGCACCUUACAAGUAAGGAUACUUGACACUUGGGGGCUAAUGUGUAUUGCAAAUUUAAAAACCGUAUGUUAUAACCGGGUUAAGUGACUUCUUUUUAAGCCGGAUAAGUUAACAGGUCAGGCAGAUUUCUAAAAGUCUACAACAUAUUUGUUCAUAAGCAAUAGACUUGGGGCUGGUACAGUAUGUAAGACUCAGGUAAAAAAUAUAAAUUAUACCUCAGAUUUGUGUUGUAUUUGUUUCACCAUGUCAAUUUCCAGGUCACGGCUAUUUUGAACCUGAUUCAGAUAGCCCGAGACUAUAUCACCAAUGCUUAGGUGAGUAUAAUCAGUGACGUCCUGCUUGGCUUUUCGGUGUUGAGCAAAUUCUUCCUUGGCGAUACAUUUGGCAAGGACGGGAGGCCGCCCUGGUUCAACAAACUGAGACUUCACAAUUUCAACUUCCGGUUCAUUUGUUUUGACUGGGCUAGGAGUCUCCGGGUCACUUGUGUGGAGAGUAUCUUUAGCGGGUGGAUCAGAGGUUGGCAUUGGAAUAUCAGAAGCUGGAUCAGGCGGCAGCUGAUGGGUAGAGUUGACUGGAAUAGACGCAUUGAUCACCGGUUCAGCCACGACCGGUUCUUCAGACGGCUUAUUUUUCUUUGCCCGUUUACUGGGCUUCACUUGCAUGCUGUUAAGCAUGGAUAAAGCAAAAAGUGCAUAAGUUUACAUUACCCGGGAGCAGUUUUGAAAGUCGGCAUAUUUGACUGCAUGGAUUCGCCGGAAGAAGGAGAGGUAUCCUGAUAGUUGGAGUCAGAUGAAUUGAGAGCUUGACGAAUUAAGCCUGCUAAAGGUAAGACAGAACGUAAAUCGGAGAUAACCUCGGUACGACGCUUCCUGGUUACAUCAGGUAAGCCGGAGGAGAGUUCUACAUCCUUGUUGUUCCGGGUCUGCCUCCGGUUCUCAAACUGUUGUUGCUUCAAAAUAAAUUGAGGGUCUUGAUAAGCAAGUGCAUGUGAAAAUCUUACUUUCCGGGUCACCCUUCGGGUCUUUCGCUUUGGCAAAGGCUCUGAGUUGGAGGAGAUUAUAGUUACCUCUUCAUUGGCUGCUCGACUAUUCCCCGUAUCCUCCUGAAGGGAUAGAAUGUCAGACAGGUGAUAACAAGGAACUUAAGAAAAUUUAAAGAUUACCUCUUCAUCAUCCGAAGAGAUAUCCUCCAAAUUGAGUAAGUCGGAGGCGUUGGGUUUCUUCUUCUUUGAGGUUCCCGCCUUGGCGGCUUUCCUUUCAGCUUUCUUGGUCGUCCUGGCUUGUUUGGCAGCCUCAUGGUAAUAUUUGGCUUUCCAGAAGUCAUCAUCGGCCUGUGGAAAAAGUUAAGGAAUUAUGAGUAUCAAGAAAGGUAUAAUAUGGCAAUAAGUAUUUGUUACGACUGAUAACUUACUGCAGGGGUCGGGUUAUUCUUGCAAAAUGGGAGUAAGCCGAAGGCGUUGCUGGUCACAAUGCCCUAUUUCAGCAGUGAUUGGGUCGUAGCAUCCACCACAUCAUCUGGUAAGUCAUCAGGACUAUGGCGUAACGGAUCAUUCUUUUCGCCUGUAUAAGUACACAUUAAGCCGGGAUGGCGGCUUAAUGGAAGUAUCCGCCAAGUGACCCAGACUCGGACCAGAUCGAUGCCGUUCAAACCAUUUCCCAAGAGAGCUUUAAUCUUCCAUAUGGUGGAAUUGAGAGGCACGCGUUCAAGGGUUGUCAACUUGUCUGGUAGCUGAUGGUUAGACUCAAGGCGCAGGGCGCGAAAGCCGGGCAAAGGUUUUUCAUCAGCCGGAGAAGUGUCCUGAUAGUAGAACCACGUCUGGUUCCAAGAUUUUGGGUGACUCGGCAACUCAGCAUAAGGGAAAAGACAGUCUCUCCGUCGCUGGAUUGAGAUGCCGCCAAGCUCAAGACUGGGCCCGUUGGCACGUUCAUUUUGUCGGUUCAUGUAAAAAAGUUCCCUGAACAAAAGCAGACUUGGCUCCUCUCCCAGGUACACCUCACAGAAGACUUGGAAAUUGCAAAUAUUUGACACGGAAUUGGGUCCGAUGUCUUGAGGUCUAAGGUCAAAGAAAUUUAAAACCUGUCUGAAGAAUUUUGAGCCGGGAGGAGCAAAUCCACGGCUCAUAUGAUCCGUAAAAAUUAUUACUUCCCCUGCUUUGGGGUGAGGCUUUUCUUCAGAUGGGUCAGGGGCACGGUAAGACAUGACAUCCUUUUUUGGUAGAUGCCCGGACUUUACAAACUCAGCUAGUUUGCUAUUGGUAACUAUGGAUGGAACCCAAUUGCAAGUUACAGGGGCCUUGGUAGCCUUAGGAGCCAUCACAGCAGUUGGCCUAUGGAAAAACAAGAAUAUCCGGUUCAAUUUUAACCCGGGGGAAGAAUCCUGAUUAUUCAAAGUGGCGGCUUAAUGAGGGGCCUAAUGAUAUAAGGAUGACUGUGCAACAAUACUUAAGCCGCUACAAGUAUGAAGUGCAGUUCACAAUGUUUCUGGGUCAUGAGGAGCAAUUAAGGUUCUGUGUCAUUUAUUUAAGCCGGACACCUCGGCAGUUGUACUUCAGGGCAUUUACCAGAAGAGGUUUUCCGGGUGAUAAAAGCAAGUUUCACAGAUAACAGUUAUUACUCUGGAUCAAAAUAUUGCUCUAAAAGGAAAUUUUCUAGACCUAAAUCGGGGCAGAGAAGUUCGUAUACUCGAAGAGGGUUCCUGAACAAGGGAAAGGAGAUCUAUUUUUAUGCAAGAUCAACACAAACAAGCACCGCAUCAGUUCUAUGUAGUUUUUACAAUCUAAACAGGGCAUUGGAAGGAACUAGCGAGGGUUUGGUGUCGAGCAGUGAUGAACACCGACGAACUCAACAAGGACCUAAUGCAGAUCUGAGAAAGGGAAUGAGAGGAACUCACGGAUGCGGAUGAGCUGCGGAGGUUCACUGUCGAUCUCUGGUCAGAGUCAGGUUGAUGCAGCGGCCUGAGUCGGUGAAGACAAAGGUUCGACAGUGGCGGCGGCAGAGCUCGGGAGAAGGCAAGAGGAAGAAGACGACUGGGGAAAGACCUAGGUCGCCCUAUUUAUAAAAGAAGACUGACCGAGAGGGCGCGAAAAACGAGGAGAUAACAUUUAUUAUCCAGCGGCUCGGGCGCCUCGAUUCUCAGGAUAGUCAGUAAAGAAAAAGAUCCGUUGAAGAUAUGGCGGAAUAAGAAUAAGUUAUAUUAAAGAUGACGUCAUGGUGAUUUAACCCGGAUCCAGAUGAUGACGUCACGGCGGGUUAAAUUCUUCGUGCAAGACAAAAGACUGCAGGAUAGUUCAUAAGGUAUUUUAAGAUUGACAUGAACAGGUUCAAAUCAAUCUAGGGCCUAAUGUUGGGGAUAUAACUAUUUGUGUAAGCCGCCCAGGAGGGGCCGGGUUACGCAAAGAGGAUUCACCAGAGAGAAGCCCAAGACCAAAGUAUGAAGAUGGCGGUUCAUAGAGAUCUUAAGGCCCGCAGGUGACUUAAGGCCCAUUGUAGUAAACCGCUAUAGUAGUAUACUUGUAUCAUAAGGUAGACUUAGCUAGUCACCGAGCCGGACAUUGUGUAUAAGCCGGCCGGGACACUAUAAGCCGCAGGGCGUCAACCCCUGUAUAUAAGGGGACGACCUGCGGGCGACUUAGGGCAAGAAACAACUCAUCGAGAGCCAGACAUAGCGUAUCUCGCUCUCUGGUCAUCGAAACAUCAAUACCAACCCAACUAGACGUAGGUCUUACCUUCACCGUAAGGGGCCGAACUAGUAUAAAACCUCUCGUGUCCUUUGUCCCGAUUAACCCCUUCAAGCUUCCUAGCUGCUAUGGCUCCACAACUAAGUCCUUUCACGAGGACAUCUGACAUGACAAUUCCACGACCGGAACAAUUUCAAAAUUUGCAUGUGAGGACAUACCAGAAUUGUUAUAUGUUGUUUCCGGCCUCAUUUAAACUUGCUUUGAUGUGUUGCUCUUGUAUGCAUCAUCUCUUGCCAUGAGUAGCUUCAUGUAGCUUUGUCAUGCAUCAUGCUUGUUGUGCAUCAUGUCUUGUCUAUGUGUGGUGUGUUUACCAUAUUGUGUGCUUCUUCUCGAUAGUUCCUGUUUUGUUGCGAUCGUGAGGAUUCGUUCAUCUACGCUUGGUUAGGCUUCAUCCGUUCGUCUUCUUCAUGGACUCGUUCUUCUUCCUUGUGGGAUUUCAGGAAGAUGACCGUCGCCUUGGAUCUCACUACUAUCAUUGCUAUGCUAGUUGCUUCGUUCUAUCGCUUUGCUGCGCUACCUAUCACUUGUUCUUCAAGCCUCCCAAUUGCCAUGUCAGCCUCUAACCUUUUUCACCUUCCCUAGCAAACCGUUGUUUGGCUAUGUUACCGCUUUGCUCAGCCCCUCUUAUAGCGUUGUUAGUUGCAGGUGAAGUUGAAGAUUACUCCAUGGUGGACAGGAUUAUCUUGGGAUAUCACAAUAUCUCUUAUUUAAUUAAUGCAUUUAUAUACUUGGUAAAGGGUGGAAGACUCGGCCUUAUGCCUGGUGUUUUGUUCCACUCUUGCCACCCUAGUUUCCAUCAUACCGGUGUUAUGUUCCCGGAUUUUGCGUUCCUUACGCAGUUGGGUGAUUUAUGGGACCCCCUUGACAACUCGCUUUGAAUAAAACUCCUCCAGCAAGGCCCAACCUUGGUUUUACCAUUUUCCUCACCACCACCUAUACCUUUCCCUUGGGUCGGCCAACCCGAGGGUCAUAUUUAUUUUAGCCCCCCCCCCCCGGGCCAAUGCUUGUCUAAGUGUUGGUCCGAACCGAGUAGACAGCGGGGCCCCCUCGGGGAAACUGGAGGUUUGGUUUUACUCGUAGGAUGUCUCAUCCGGUGUUGCCCUGAGAACGAGAUAUGUGCAGCUCCUAUCGGGAUUGUCGGCGCAUCGGGCGGCUUUGCUGGUCUUGUUUUACCAUUGUCAAAAUGUCUUGUAAACCGGGAUUCCGAGUCUGAUCGGGUCUUCCUGGGAGAAGGUAUAUCCUUCGUUGAUCGCGAGAGCUUAUCAUGGGCUAAGUUGGUACACCCCUGCAGGGUUUAAACUUUCGAAAGCCAUGCCCACGGUUAUGCGGCAGAUGGGAAUUUGUUAAUGUCUGGUUGUAGAUAAUUUGACACCAGAUCCAAAUUAAAACGCAUCAACCGCGUGUGUAGCCGUGAUGGUCUCUCCUCGGCGGAGUCCGGGAAGUGAACACGGUUUUGGGUUAUGUUUGACGUAAGUAGGAGUUCAGGAUCACCUCUUGAUCAUUGCUAGCUUCACGACUGUUCCUUUGCUUCUCUUCUCGCUCUUAUUUGCGUAUGUCAGCCACCAUAUAUGCUUAGUCGCUGCUACAAUCUCACCACUUUACCCCUUCCUUACCCCAUUAAGCUUUGCUAGUCUUGAUACCCAUGGUAAUGGGAUUGCUAAGUCCUCGUGGCUCACAGAUUACUACAACAACAGUUGCAGGUACAAGUUAUGCGAUGAUCAUGACGCGAGAGCGAUGUUUGCGUGUUUUGGAGUUCUUCUUCUACUUCUUCUUCGAUCAGGGGAUAGGUUCUAGGUCGGCAGCCUGGGCUAGCAGGGUGGAUGUCGUUUGAGUUUCUGUUUGUGUUUCAUCCGUAGUCGGAUGGUGCUCUUAUGUAAGAUGAUGUUUUAUUCAUGUGGCAUUGAAUGCCUUUUGUAUGUAUCCCCAUCUAUUAUGUAAUGUUAAUGUAAUGAUAUCCACCUUGCAAAAGUGUUUUAAUAUGCGGUUCUAUCCUUGGUGGGACCUUCGAGUCUCUUUAGGGUAGUAUCGCAUAUUGGGUGUGACAUUUAUGGACUGGUGCAAGCCUCUCGGAGUUGGAAUAAAUGCUUUGAUAGUGUGAUCAAAGCAUAUAGUUUUAUACAGACUUUUGGAGAAGCCUAUAUUUACAAGAAAGUGAGUGGGAGCUCUGUAGCAUUUCUAAUAUUAUAUGUGGAUGGCAUAUUGUUGAUUGGAAAUGAUAUAGAAUUUCUAGAUAGCAUAAAGGGAUACUUGAAUAAGAGUUUUUCAAUGAAAGACCUCGGUGAAGUUGCUUACAUAAUGGGUAUCAAGAUCUAUAGAGAUAGAUCAAGACGUUUAAUUGGACUUUCACAAAGCACAUACCUUGGUAAAGUUUUGAAGAAGUUCAAAAUGGACCAGUCAAAGAAAGGGUUCUUGUGGGUAUUACAAGGUGUAAAGUUGAGUGAGACUCAAAGCCCGACCACGGCAGAAAGUAGAAAGAGAGUGAAAGUCAUGCCCUAUGCCACAGUCAUAGGUUCUAUAAAGUAUGAUGUGUUGUGUACCAGACCUAUUGUGUGCCCUGCCCUGAGAUUGGCAAGGGAGUAAAAUUUUGAUCUAGGAGUAGAUCACUGGACAUCAGUCAAGAUUAUCCUUAGUGAGGACUAAGGAAAUAUUUCUUGGUUAUGGAGGUGAUAAAAGAGCUCAUCAUAAAGAGUUACAUUGAUGCAAGCUUUUACACAGAUCCAGAUGACUCUAAGUCUCAAUCUGGAUACAUAUUGAAAGUGGGAGCAAUUAGCUAGAGUAGCUCCGUGCAGAGCAUUGUAGACAUAGAAUAUUUGCAACAUACAUACGGCUCUGAAUGUGACAGACCCGUUGACUAAACUUCUCUCAUGAGCAAAACAUGAUCACACCUUAGUACUCUUUGGGUGUUAAUCACAUAGCAAUGUGAACUAGAUUAUUGACUCUAGUAAACCCUUUGGGUGUUGGUCACAUGAUGAUGUGAGCUAUGGGUGCUAAUCACAUACAGAUGUGAAUAUGUGUGUUGAAUCACAUGGUGAUAUGAACUAGAUUAUUGACUCUAGUGCAAGUGGGAGACUAAAGGAAAUAUGCCCUAGAGUCAAUAAUAAAGUUAUUAUUUAUUUCCUUAAUUCAUGAUAAAUGUUUAUUAUUCAUGCUAGAGUUGUAUUAACCGAAAACUUAGUACAUGUGUGAAUACAUAGACAAAACAUAUAGUCCCUAGUAUGCCUCUACUUGACUAGCUCGUUAAUAAAAGAUGGUUAUGUUUCCUAACCAUAGACAUGUGUUUUCAUUUGAUGAACGGGAUCACAUCAUUAGGAGAAUGAUGUGAUGGACAUGACCCAUCCGUUAGCUUAGCAUUGUGACCGUGUCAGUUUUAUUUCUAGUGCUUUCUUCAUGACUUAUACAAGUUCCUCAGACUAUGAGACUAGGCAACUCCCGAAUAUCGGAGGAACACUUUGUGUGCUACCAAACGUCACAACAUAAAAGGGUUAUUAUAAAGGUGCUCUACAGGUGUCUCCGAAGGUGUUUGUUGGGUUUACCAAGAUUAGGAUUUGUCACUCCGUGUUUUGGGGAGGUAUCUCUUGGCCCUCUCGGUAAUCAUCACUAUAAGCCUUGCAAGCAUUCUAACUAAUGAGUUAGUUGCGGGAUGAAGUAUUACAUAACGAGUAAAGAGACUUGCCGGUAACGAGAUUGAACUAGGUAUGAUGAUACCGACGAUCGAAUCUCGGGCAAGUAACAUACUGAUGACAAAGGGAACAACGUAUGUUGUUAUGCGGUUUGACCGAUAAAGAUCUUCAUAGAAAAUGUAGGAAUCAAUAUGAGCAUCCAGGUUCCUCUAUUGGUUAUCGACCGGAGACAUGUCUCGGUCAUGUCUACAUAGUUCUCGAACCCGUCGGGUCCGCACGCUUAACGUUCGAUGACGAUUGGUAUUAUGAGUUUAUGUGUUUUGAUGCACCGAAGUUAGUUCAGAGUCCCGGAUGUGAUCACAGACACGACGAGGAGUCUCGAAAUGGUCGAGACAUAAAGAUCGAUAUAUUGGAAGCCAAUGUUUGGACAUCGGAAUGGUUCCGGAUGAGUUCGGGCAUUUACCAGAGUAUCGGGGGUUACCGGAACCCUCCCACGGAGCAUAUGGGCCUUAAUUGGCCUUAGUGGAGAGGAGAGAAGGCAGCCUAGGAGGGGGUGCCCCCCCAAAGACCAAUCCAAAUUGGGUGAGGGGGCCGCCCCCUCUUUCCUUUCUCCUUCCCCCUCUUCCUUCUAUUCCUAGUGGGACUAGGAAAGGGGGAAUCCUACUCCCACUAGGAGGAGGACUCCUCCACCCUUGGCACGCCUAGAGAGGCCGGUCGGCUUCCCCCCUCCCUCCUUUAUAUACAUGGGGAGGGGGCACCCUAGAACACACAAGUUGACAUUGUUGAGCCAUGUGCAGUGCCCCCUCGAUAGUUACAUACCUUAGUCAUGUCAUCGUAGUGCUUAGGCGAAGCCCUGCACCGGUAACUUCAUCAUCACUGUCACCAUGCCGUCGUGUUGAAGAAACUCUCCCUUGGCCUCAACUGGAUCAAGAGUACGAGGGACGUCCCUGAACUGAAUGUGUGCUUAUUUCGGAGGUGUUGUACGUUUGGUGCUAAGAUCGGUUGGAUCGUGAAGACGUACGACUACGUCAACUGCGUUUUCAUAACGCUUCCGCUUUUGGUCUACGAGGGUACGUGGACACACUCUCCCCUCUCGUUCCUAUGCAUCACAUAGAUAGAUCUUGCAUGAUCGUAGGAAUUUUUUUGAAAUUAUUGUGCUCCCCCACAGGAAAACCCGAGAAAUUUGUGUACAAAUUCAGAGCAGAAAGAAUCAGAUCAAAAGCACGUUUCUGUGAAUUUUGAAAACUAAUUUACUAGGUGCAAAAGUUUCUGAUUUUCAGCAGGAUCAACACAACUAUCACCGUAAACUAUCCUAAAGGUUUAACUUGGCACAAGCACUAACUAAAACAUAAAACCACAUCUAACUAGAGGCUAGAUGAAUUAUUUAUUACUAAACAGGAACAAAAAGCAAAGAACUAAAACAAAAUUGGGUUGCCUCCCAACAAGCGCUAUUGUUUAACGCCCUUAGCUAGGCAUAAAAACGCGAAUAGAUCUAAGUAUUUUUCAUCUUCUCUCUUUUGUUGAUAAAGAGAGAAUUUCUUAUCUAAAGCACUUAUCUUUCUACUUUGUGAAAGUACGUGGCCAUUAAUGGUGGAAGAAAGAUUAAGCACACUUCGAAAAUUUGCACCUAAACUAGCCUUCAUCUCUUUGAUAAUUUCAUUCUGAUAAAAGCACAAAAGAGGAGUGGACUCAACAUUUUCACUUUUGGGAUGCCCAAAUAUUACUUUCAUCUUUUCAUAAGUAUCGAUGGCAUCCCCUUCAAGAAAACCUUCUUCAAAUAAAGAAUCCAAAACUUUCUGAAAAGAAGAGGGUAAGCUAACAUAAAAACUUUUCAAGUAUAUCUCAAUUUGAUAUUGAGGCACAUAGUUAGCUCGGAUCCUUAGUAGUCUAUCCCAAGCAUCUUUCAAAGAUUCAUCAAGCAAAUAACAAAAAAAAUGCCGAGGUCAUCUUCAUCAAAAUUGUUAAAACUCUCACUAAUAACCGUGGUAGGUCUUUCCAUGGCAUUAUUAUUUAUGAUCUUAGAGAUGACAGAGGGGCUAUCCAAAGAGAAUCCCAGGAGAAAACCCUUAGACCCUUUUGAUUCGGCCAUAAUGAUAGGAAGGCAAACUUAGGUGAACGAGAGGGUAGCGAGAGAAAAGGAAAAUCUUUUCAAAAAUCGUUUUGGAGGUGGGGGAGAGGAAAAUGAGAGGCGAAUGGCGAAUAAUGUAAUGCAAGAGAGAAGAGUUUAUGAUGGGUACUUGAAAUGGCUUGACUUGAUGUAGAUCUCCCCGGCAACGGUGCCAAAAAUUCUUCCUGCUACCUCUUGAGCUUGCGUUGGUUUUUCCCUUUAAGAGGAAACGGUGAUGCAGCAAAGUAGAGUAAGUACUUCCCUUAGUUUGAGAACCAAGGUAUCAAUAUAGUAGGAGACAACGCACAAGUCACCGAAUACCUACACAAACAAACAACAACUUGCACCCAACACGAUGAAGGGGUUGUUAAUCCCUUCACUAUUACUUGCAAAAGUGAGAUCUGAUAGAGAUAGAUAAACGGUAAAGUAAAUAUUUUUGGUUUAUAGAUCGGAAAGUAAAAGAUUGCAAAAUAGUAGAUCGGAAACUAGUAUAAUGUAAAAGAGAACUUAUAUUAUGGAAAGGAGACCCGGGGGCCAUAGGUUUCACUACUGGCUUCUCUCAAAAUAGCAAAUGUUACGGUGGGUGAACAAAUCACUGCCGAGCAAUUGAUAGAAGAGCGCAUAAUUAUGGCGAUAUCUAAGGCAAUGAUCAUGAACAUAGGCAUCAGGUGUGUGUCAAGUAGAUUGAAACGAUUCUGCGUCUACUACUAUUACUCCACACAUCAACCGCUAUCCAGCAUGCAUCUAGAGUAUUAAGUUCAUAAAGAACGGAUUAACGCAUUAAGUAAGAUGACAUGAUGUAGAGGAAUUAACUCAAGCAAUAUGAUCAAAAUCCCAUCUUUUUAUCCUCGAUGGCAACAAUAUAAUACAUGCCUUGCUGCCCCUACUGUCACUAGGAAAGGACACCGCAAGAUUGAACCCAAAGCUAAGCACUUCUCCCAUUGCAAGAAAAACCAAAACUGAUAAUUCGAAGAGACUUGCAAAGAUAUCAAAUCAUGCAUAUAAGAAUUAAUAGAAGACUCAAAUAAUAUUCAUAGAUAAUCUGAUCAUAAAUCCACAAUUCAUCGGAUCACGGCAAACACACCUCAAAAGAAUAUUAUAUUGAAUAGAUCUCCAAGAACAUCGAGGAGAACAUGGUAUUGAGAAUCAAAGAGAGAGAAGAAGCCAUCUAGCUACUAACUAGGGACCCAAAGGUCUGUGGUAAACUACCCACGCUUCAUCGGAAGGGUAAUUAAUGGUGUUGAUGUAGAAGCCCUCGGUGAUCGAAUCCCCCUCCGGAAGGAUGCGGGAAAAGGCCCCUAGAUGGGAUCUCACGAGUAUAGAAGGUUGCGGCGGCGGAAAUGUGGUUUAGUGGCUCUCCUGGAUGUUUUUGGGGUAUAAGAGUAUAUAUAGGUAAAGGAACUAGGUCACGAGGGGCCCACGAGGCAGGGGGCGCGCCCUCCACCCUCGUGGCCACCUUGUUCUGUCUCCGACUUCAUCUCCAAGUCUCCUAGUUUGCUUCUUCUCCAAGAAAGAUCAUCGCGAAAGUUUCAUUCCAUUUGGACUCCGUUUGGUAUUCCUUUUCUGUGAAACUCUAAAACAGGAAAAAAGAAAACAUAAACUGGCACUGGGCUCUUGGUUAAUAGGUUAGUCCCAAAAAUAAUAUAAAAUUGCAUAUUAAUGCAUAUAAAACAUCCAAAAGAAAUAAUAUAAUAGCAUGGAACAAUCAAAAAUUAUAGAUACGUUGGGGACGUAUCAAUAACUGAUACUUCGAUAUCAUAUAUCCACCUGUAAUCCAAGUUAUAACAAUAUCCAACAAUAAUCCAAAGCAUAAUAUAGUCAUAAUAACAUAAUACUCCAUGGGUAGCAUAUAUCAGGAUAAAUCCAAGGACUACAAUGAUGUUACUAUCAAGAUGAAAGCUAAGGAUCAGAUCCAAAUUAUAUCAAUCAAAUCCAACAUAAUACUCCAAAAGCAUAAAAUACCAUAUAAUAGCAAUGAUAAUAAAUAUUACCCAAAAUAGUCCAAAGGCAAUAUAACAUCCUCAAUCUGCAAAGCAUUAGUCCUAGUAAUCCAAACACCAUCAUGGCAAUAUCAAGAUCAAUAUAACUCCAAGAAAUGCCAUGGAUAAAUCAUAUGUAGCUAAUGCAAUAUUUUAAGAAAAUUUAAUUAAUUAAACCAUGGCAUUGCAUUGCAAUCUUGCAAAUGGAGGGUGUGGCUUGCCUGGGGUGGGUGGAUUCACCGAGAAGAAUUGCGAGGAGUUCGGGGAAAGAUUUACCUGAAAGGUUCUCUCUCAAAGGGGCUGAAUAAAGGGCAGGGGUAAAAUGGUCAUUUUCAUAAUGUUACAACAUGGUGAAAAUGGUACCAUCAGAACGGGCUCGACGAAUAGAGAACGUGGGCUUUAGAAUCAUAUGAUUCAGAGUUGUGAGUGAAAAGAUAUGAGGUUUUUUUAGCCAGGGACCUUUCUGUAAAAAUAUAUCCACAAACAAGUGCCUGACUGGAUAAAAAUAAAACACAUUUGAUGAAAUACUGUUUCCCGAAUAGGAAAGCGCAUUCCUGCCUCGGGCCGCGCCGAUUUACGCUUUCAGUAAGGGAAAGCGUACUCUGGUGAGUACGUUUCCACUUAUCCAUGUCAGGAGGCAGGCUGGGUCAAACGUGGGAGGCUGACUAGCGGGACCACUGAUAGGGGGGUGGGGCUUCGUCUUCCUUGCGCUCGGCCGUGAAUAAAAGGGAGGCCAUUGGCGUCGACGCUCGCCUGGCCGGCUCCGGCCAUCCCCCGAGGUGAUCCGACCACCUACGCGCUUAGGAGAAGACGCCACCUCAAUCCCGCCUAAGCACGGUCACCGACGAGGACUAGAGCGGUGGCUGCAUGGGAGCCUGCGGACAAGGCCUCAGGAGGAACUUGGGCGUGCGUCGACCGGCCACCGUAGGAGGGGGAGAAGGGUUCGGGAGGGUCGUCGGGCAUUGAGUGGUCCUCUAGUGAGGUCAGGAGGGAGGGGGAGAGCUCGGGCAGCCGAAAUUUAGGCCGAGGCCGACAGCGGACAUGAUGGCCAUUGGAGGGAAUGAGAGCCCCUCGAGCUCAGUGGUGUGGUCGGGGAGGCUGCUGGGAAUGAGGAGUGGCUGGUGAGGAGAUACGCGGCCGGGGCGACUUAAAUAGCCGAUGGGACAAAACAAAUGCUACCACUCGGGUCCGGUCGAAGCUUUGGCAGGGAACAGAGCGCUUGUGACCCGUGGAGGCAACGUGAGAGAGUGGAGGGGGUUCACGGAGCGGAGAUGGAGCCAAGGGAUAAGUAGGAAGAAGACAUGGCGGGCAACAGAGCCGGACGAGCACAGUGCGCCCGUGGGCACGCGGCGUCUAGCGCUGGCAAGGCAGCUACAGGAGGGGGACGGGGUCCAACGAGGUACAUGUGAGAAGGAGGGGUCAGGUAGGCACUCGGGGAUGCGCUAACACCGCCAAGAAGAAGCUACCCGACGUGUUACGACGCGCAGAGCGCGUCCAACGCUGCCACAAUGCCUGCACAACCAUGCAAACACGCAGUCACCGCGUCUACUAGUGGGGAGAGGACAAUACGGGAUGGCAAAGUAUGUCUAGUGUGUUGUCGUUACUCCUAAGGACACCCUUGAGGUGAUAUAUCAUCAAAAGAAACCAAGGAUGGAUGGGAGACACCACUCAAGUUUUCUGUAGCAAACUUGUCCACAUAUUUGUGAUCAAAUGAGAAAAAGGUAAGAGAUAAACUUGAUGUCUGGGGGGUUUAGGUUAGGAAGGACUACAGUCCUAUGAAGUUGGAGAAGAUUAGGACCACAAAUUAAUAUAGUUGCUUUACAACUGCAAUUAUAGUACAGAAAUGAUAAUUGGAUGAUGCACUCACAUGGAGCAAUAAAUUGGGCUGAAAUUUUCUAGAUCAUGGUGAUAUGGACAUUACUAGAUGCUAUAAAAAUUUCAUACCAUUUGGACUUGCCAAAAUAAUAUUUCCUUCACAGUGUUCUUCUCUGUCCGGAAUCUUGAGAAAAAUAUGGAGAAAAAAUGGCUUGAUGAAAUUAUCCAAAAUUUGGUGGAUAGAAGUUUUAUGGCUAGGAGAAUGCUCUGGUAAAUUUGCAGCAGUAAUGAAGCAAUAUAAAAUAUACUUGCUUAACAACCUGAAAAUAUUGCCAGAAACAAAGAUUUGAAGGUGUGCUCACAUAAAUAGUUGGAUGGAGCUAAAAGUUUGUGCAGAUUAAUUAUUUGAGCAUAUGGAGGGGCUUGCAAAAUUUCAACUCAUUUGGAUAUUCCUAGCUAGUAUUUCCUUCACCAAGUUUCCCUCUGGGCAGAAACUUUGAAAAUUUGCUGAGGAAGAUUCAAUAGGCAAAUGAAGUUGAAUUUUAGCAUGAGGCACUGAUAUGGAAAGUAAAUAGUUCACAAAAAGUUUGGGAGCAAUCAAGCAAAGAUAAUGACACUUCCUUCUCAAAGUGCCAAUCUGCACGGAAUUGAAGAAUCAAUAUUGUUGAAUUAUUUUUAAACUAGACACGGAAAGUUUGGACAUAUUUGGGGAAAAUGUGAUCCAAACAUUUUAUGAGAAUUAUUUGGGAAUUUUAUUUAAAACAGAAAUAUAAGUUGCUUCACAACCUAGGUCAAAAUGAGUAUUCGUUUAAUAGAAAAAGGAAUAUUCCCAAGGAAUAGAAUUUGUGGUUGGGCUAAGAUGGAAAUGACAUGGCCUUGGGAAUAAUUUUAGGAUGACAAUCCACUAGGGAGGGGGUUCAGAGAUGGUCUUCCUAGGUUUGAAGACCACAGAGCCACUGAAAAAGAAAUCAAAGCAAAAAUCCAAAGAAAUCCAAAAGAAAAUGAAGGGCCAAAAACCAGGGUGUUACAAACCUCCCCCCUUAAAUAAAUCUCAUCCUCGAGAUUUGGUUGCUCAGGGAACAAGUAUGAAUAUGACUUAAGGAAACCGUUUCCAACUCGGGUAUCCUUUUUCUUUAUAUGUUGUUACCUCCCAAAUUUCAUAUGAUCUGAUUACUUUGCUCCGAGGUGGUUUGCUUCCCAAAUUUCGGACGAUUCUUUCCCCAUAUGUCAAAUCCUUAUGUUGACUUUGAAUUGUUUGUACCUGUCGAUAAUAUCCAAGGAAUUCUGAGAAUAAAUUUCCUGUGAGCAUGAAACCUUCUUAAUUUCUAUCAUCGAGUUGCUCAAGUACAUGCAUGUCUUCUGGGUUAAAACAAUGCCAAAAAUUGUAGCCAUUCCCCUGAUGGGAUCUGACUGCCUGGAGGUGAUAUUGCAUCAUCUUGGUUUGUUUCUUUGUCUUGAGCUUGAAAAUUGUACCCAAGAUUUGACUGUCUCCUGUCAUGAGUAGUGUAAAAGGGGUACGGCCUCAUAGCGGUGGCAUACCUUAAACAGUAGCAUCUUGAGACUCGAGUCUUUCUGACAGGAAGAUACUCUUCGUGACAGGUCGUACUUGUAGUUAGUUCCACAAGUGAGAGCACAUAAUCUGAGCUGGUUGUUCGGCUUUUGGCUUACCCAUGAUGUUGGUAUAUCCAGAUGGAAUCAUGGUCUCAAGCUGACUUGGGUAUUCGGGCCAUGACUGUCGGGCAAGAGUCUUCAUAGCUUUGAUGCUAGUUUUGCUCCCUGCUUUAUUUUCUUUGUCAGACUCCCUUGCUGAAAAUAUCUUGGUCUCAUGUGUCCUUGAUCCGUCUUGCAACCAUAGAGGUCGUUGGUACUAUAUUCCAUCUUGUUCUUGCUUAAGACAUGGGUCCUCAUAACAUGUAAAUGGGGCUUGCAAUUGUACCAAGCUCGUUCUUGUGGCCAAUCAUACAAGAUGGUGACAAGAAUUCAUGAUAUCUCCUUGUCGGGUGUGAAGAAGCUGACCUUGGUGACUACUGUCUAGGCGGUUGAUCCUACGUUGUCUGCUCCAUAACUUGUCGAUUCUUGCAUCACAUGAAAUGUAUAUAUGACUUUCUUCCUUUGGCAUAGCUCAUGUGGCGGUUGGAUUCGUUCCUUUGGUAGAUCCGUUGGAACAUAGUUGGAUCUUUGUUGGUGAUGUGCAUGACCUGUGCUGCAUGCUCAUCAUUCAUAUGGAAAUAUAUGUAGCUGAAUGCUCGGUCCUUGAGUCAGACAUGUUUUCUUGACUGCUUUGUGCUCCAUCCCAAAAUUAGUGCGGACCUGAUAUUUGAGAUGUACUACCAACUCAUUGUAUAAUCUCUUGUAGCAAUACUAAUAACAGUGUGUAGUGUUGUACUGAAGGAGGCUAGACAGCUUGUGCUAGAAGCUAUCGGUCUGGCUUGUUCAAGAAGACUGGAUCUCUUGUGCUCAAAGCUUUUGUCGUGGAAGUGUGCUGGAGAAGCAUGGGUUCCAUACCUGAGAAGCUUCUCCUCUGAUUGCUUACUGAGAAAGAUUCAUUUCCUUAUUCCAGAAGCUUUUUCCAAGAUAUCUUUCUGUGGAAGACUGGGUAUCUUGGACCGGAAGUUGUCCAUGUAUCUUAGAGAGGAAGAUUGAGGAGCCUUGCAUCAUAAGCUUCUUCCGAAAGGAAGGAUGAGCUUCUUAUACCACAAGUUUCGUAUGGUGAUAUGUGGACCAAAUACCAUACACAUACCCAUAAUUGUUUUGUGUCUGGUUACUCGCAUGAGAGAAAUUUGUCCGACUGUCCUCCUUGCUGAACACCGAACUCAUAGCAAAUCCUGGCUUUAUUCCGGAGUAUAACAUAUUCCAAGUUUCAUUCAUGUUUGAACCAAAACUUUAUAAAGGAACCCAUAACAUCUAUUAAGUUUCUUUCUAUCAACAAAUCAAUGUAUUGGCCUUCCCAAAACCAAAGUGAGCAUCCAUCGUCCUACACAAAAGAACGAGCAAGCUCGAAGUGAGCUACCGCAAUUGAACUAAAGAAUGAGCUAUGGAACGACCUACCGCAAGUGCAUGUACCCCGUCGUUUUCGCAUUUGUAGAACACCCAUCCAGGGUGCUUCGGCAUGCCCGAAGUGAGCCGCAGCACUUGGCGUGUCGUCCCACUCUAUGAGCGGCAUCGACAGGCCACAAAGACACUAUGCGAGCGCCUAGCCCAGUGGACGGCCGGACGAGUCCAUGCCCACAAAUCUUCAAAUGGCGGCGGGCGGACGAACCCGUGUCUGCAUGUGGCGAUGCGCCCUUGCCUGGGCUGCGAGCGAGGCUCCCUGACCACUCCAUCGCCUGGGGCAGCAACCGGCGGCCAGAAAAAGCCAAAUCCGGUGACCCGCGAUGAAGUGCCGCAGAUCUGCAAAUCCGGCGGCCCGCUGACGCGGGGGGGAAGGGAGGGGAGCCCUCGUGCAUGUGGCGGCCUUCCGGCGUGCUCCUGCCGGCUGCUGUCGCCGGAAUCUUGGGCGCCGAUCGCCGGCGGCGUGAGGGGGGAGAGGAGAGGUGGUUGGCGGGAGAAAGCGCGGGAUGAAAUGUCCCCCCACCAACUGCUUCCGCUUAUAUGCAGGGCACCGCAACCGCGAGGGGGAAACCCACGUUUUCCCGGGUUGGGGUCGGGAUUUUCCCGCGCCCCCUUAAAUUUUUUGCAGGCCGGGGAGGGAUGCGGGGUCUGAUCGGGCUGGUUUUUCCACCCGACCCGCAUUUUGACGGCUAUUUUAUGGGUCGGGGCGGGAUGCGGGGUCUGCUAGAGUUGAUCUAAGGUUUUCGUUUAUGUAUUCUUACCUUUUGUUUGAACCUCUAUGCUCCGAGAGCAUGAUGUGUAGUCGAUUGUGUUGGAGAUCGUUGCAGAAAAUAAAAAAUUUCUACGCAUCACCAAGAUCAAUCUAUGGAGUAACUAGCAACGAGAGAGAGAGGAGUGCAUAUGCAUACCCUUGAAGACUGUGAGACAGAAGCGUUACAAGAACGCGGAUGAGGGGGUCGUACUCGAAGCGAUUCAGAUCGCGGUGGAUUCCGAUCUUAGCGCCGAACAAUGGCACCUCCGCGUUCAACACACGUGCAGCCCGGUGACGUCUCCCGCACCUUGAUCCAGCAAGGAGGAGGGAGAGGUUGAGGAAGAGGGACUCCAACAGCAGCACGACGGCGUGGUGGUGAUGGAGCGGCAGUACUCCGGCACGGCUUCGCCAAGCUCUUACGGAGGAGGAGAGGUGUUGGGGAGGGGAGGGGCUGUGCCUUGGAUGUGUUGCUACAGCCCUCCCCUCGCCCCUCUAUUUAUAGGAGGAGGGGGAAGGGGGCCGGCCCCCUCUAGAUGAGAUCUAGAGGGGGGGCGGCGGCCAACGGGGGGACUUGCCCCUCAAGCAAGGGGGCGCCCCCUUUAGGGUUUCCCCCCAAACCCUAGGCGCAUGGGCCCAAGGGGGGUGGCGCCCAGCCCUCUAAGGGCUGGUUCCCUUCCCUCUAUAGCCCACGAGGCCUUCCGGGAGAGGUGGCCCCUCCCGGUGUACCCCCGGAACCCUUCCGGUGGCCCCGGUACAAUACCGGUAUGCCCCUGAACUUUUCCGGUGACCAUAUGACAACUUCCCAUAUAUAAAUCUUCACAUCCGGACCAUUCCGGAACUCCUCGUGACGUCCGGGAUCUCAUCCGGGACUCCAAACAACAUUCGGUAAUCACAUACAAACUUUCCUAAUAACCCUAGCGUCAUUGAACCUUAAGUGUGUAGACCCUACGGGUUCGGGAAUCACGUGGACAUGACCGAUACAGCUCUCCGGCCAAUAACCAACAGCGGGAUCUGGAUACCCAUGUUGGCUCCCAUAUGUUCCACGAUGAUCUCAUCAGACGAACCACGAUGUCGAGGAUUCAAGUAAUCCCGUAUGCAAUUCCCUUUGUUAAACGGUACGUUACUUGCCCGAGAUUCGAUCAUCGGUAUCCCAAUACCUCAUUCAAUCUCGUUUCCGGCAAGUCACUUUACUCGUUACAUAAUGCAUGAUCCCGUGACUAACCACUUAGUCACAUUGAGAUCAUUAUGAUGAUGCAUUACCGAGUGGGCCCAGAGAUACCUCUCCGCCAUACGGAGUGACAAAUUCCUGUCUCGAUUCGUGCCAACCCAACAGACACUUUUGGAGAUACCUGUAGUGCACCUUUAUAGUCACCCAGUUACGUUGUGACGUUUGGCACACCCAAAGCACUCCUACGGUAUCCGGGAGUUACACAAUCUCAUGGUCUAAGGAACUGAUACUUGACAUUAGCAAAGCUUUAGCAAACGAACUACACGAUCUUGUGCUAUGCUUAGGAUUGGGUCUUGUCCAUCACAUCAUUCUCCUAAUGAUGUGAUCUCGUUAUUAAUGACAUCCAAUGUCCAUAGUCAGGAAACCAUGACCAUCUGUUGAUCAACGAGCUAGUCAACUAGAGGCUCACUAGGGACAUGUUGUGGUCUAUAUAUUCACACAUGUAUCACUGUUUUCGGUUAAUACAAUUAUAGCAUGAACAAUAGACAAUUAUCAUGAACAAGGAAAUAUAAUACUAAUCAUUUUAUUAUGGCCUCUAGGGCAUAUUUCCAACAGUCUCCCACUUUCACUAGAGUCAAUAAUCUAGUUACACUGUGAUGAAUCAAACACCCAUAGAGUUCUAGUGUUGAUCAUGUUUUGCUCGCGGAAGAGGUUUAGUAAACGGAUCUGCGACAUUCAGAUCCGUAUGCACUUUGCAAAUAUCUAUGUCUCCAACUUGAACAUUUUCACGAAUGGAGUUGAAGCGACGCUUGAUGUGCCUGGUCUUCUUGUGAAACCUGGGCUCCUUGGCAAGGGCAAUAGCUCCAGUGUUGUCACAGAAGAGAGUGAUUGGCCCGGACACAUUGGGUAUGACUCCUAGGUCGCUGAUGAACUCCUUCAUCCAUAUUGCUUCAUGUGCUGCCUCCGAGGCUGCCAUGUACUCCGCUUCACAUAUAGAUCCCGCCACGACGCUCUUCUUGCAACUGCACCAGCUUACUGCUCCACGAUUCAACAUAUACACAUAUUCGGUCUGUGACUUAGAGUCAUCCAGAUCUGUGUCGAAGCUAGCAUUGACGUAACCCUUUACGACGAGCUCUUCGUCACCUCCAUAAACGAGAAACAUGUCCUUUGUCCUUUUCAGGUACUUCAGGAUAUUCUUGACCGUUGUCCAGUGUUCCUUGCCGGGAUUACUUUGGUACCUUCCUACCAAACUUACGGCAAGGUUUACAUCAGGUCUGGUACACAACAUGGCAUACAUAAUAGAUCCUAUGGCCGAGGCAUAGGGGAUGACACUCAUCUCUUCUUUAUCUUUUGCCGUGGUCGGGCAUUGAGCCGAGCUCAAUUUCACACCUUGCAAUACAGGCAAGAACCCUUUCUUGGACUGAUCCAUUUUGAACUUCUUCAAAAUCUUAUCAACGUAUGUGCUUUGUGAAAGACCUAUGAGGCGUCUUGAUCUAUCCCUAUAGAUCUUGAUGCCUAAUAUGUAAGCAGCUUCUCCAAGGUCCUUCAUUGAAAAACACUUAUUCAAGUAGGCCUUAAUGCUGUCCAAAAGUUCUAUAUCAUUUCCCAUCAAAAGUAUGUCAUCUACAUACAAUAUGAGAAAUGCUACAGAGCUCCCACUCACUUUCUUGUAAACGCGGGCUUCUCCAUAAGUCUGCAUAAACCCAAACACUUUGAUCAUCUCAUCAAAGCGAAUGUUCCAACUCCGAGAUGCUUGCACCAGCCCAUAAAUGGAUCGCUGGAGCUUGCAUACCUUGUUAGCAUUCCUAGGAUCGACAAAACCCCUGGCUGCAUCAUAUACAGUUCUUCCUUAAGAUAGCCGUUAAGGAAAGCCGUUUUGACGUCCAUCUGCCAUAUCUCAUAAUCAUAGUAUGCGGCAAUUGCUAACAUGAUUCGGACGGACUUCAGCUUCGCUACGGGAGAGAAAGUCUCAUCGUAGUCAACCCCUUGAACUUGCCGGUAACCCUUAGCAACAAGUCGAGCUUUAUAGAUGGUAACAUUGCCAUCCGCAUCCAUCUUCUUCUUAAAGAUCCAUUUGUUUUCUAUCGCUCGCCAAUCAUCGGGCAAGUCCAUCAAAGUCCAUACUUUGUUUUCAUACAUGGAUUCUAUCUCGGAUUGCAUGGAUUCAAGCCAUUUGUUGGAAUCUGGGCCCGCCAUCGCUUCUUCAUAGUUCGAAGGUUCACCGUUGUCCAACAACAUGAUUUCCAGGACAGGGUUGCCGUACCACUCUGGUGUCGAACGUGUCCUUGUGGACCUACGAAGUUCAGUAGCAACUUGAUCCGAAGUACCUUGAUCAUCAUUAAUUUCCUCUCCAGUCGGUGUAGGCACCACAGGAACAUUUUCCUGAGCUGCACUACUUACAGGUUCAAGAGGUAGUACUUCAUCGAGUUCUACUUUCCUCCCACUUACUCCUUUUGAGAGAAACUCUUUUUCCAGAAAGGAUCCGUUCUUGGCAACAAAGAUCUUGCCUUCGGAUCUAAGGUAGAAGGUAUACCCAAUGGUUUCCUUAGGGUGUCCUAUGAAGACACAUUUUUCCGACUUGGGUUCGAGCUUUUCAGGUUGAAGUUUCUUUUCAUAAGCAUCGCAUCCCCAAACUUUUAGAAACGACAGCUUAGGUUUCUUCCCGAACCAUAAUUCAUACGGUGUUGUCUCAACGGAUUUAGACGGAGCCCUAUUUAAAGUGAAUGUAGCUGUCUCUAGAGCGUAUCCCCAAAAUGAUAGUGGUAAAUCGGUAAGAGACAUCAUAGAUCACACCAUAUCCAAUAGAGUGCAAUUACGAUGUUCGGACACACCGUUACGCUGAGGUGUUCUAGGCGGCGUGAGUUGUGAAACGAUUCCACAUUUUCUUAAGUGCGUACCAAAUUCGUGACUUAAAUAUUCUCCUCCACGAUCUGAUCGUAAGAACUUUAUUUUUCGAUCACGUUGAUUCUCUACUUCAUUCUGAAAUUCCUUGAACUUUUCAAAGGUCUCAGACUUGUGUUUCAUCAAAUAGACAUACCCAUAUCUACUUCAAUCAUCAGUGAGAGUGAGAACAUAACGAUAUCCUCCGCGAGCCUCAACGCUCAUUGGACCACACACAUCAGUAUGUAUGAUUUCCAAUAAGUUGGUUGCUCGCUCCAUUGUUCCGGAGAACGGAGUCUUUGUCAUUUUGCCCAUGAGGCAUGGUUCGCAUGUGUCAAAUGAUUCAUAAUCGAGGGACUCUAAAAGUCCAUCAGCAUGGAGCUUCUUCAUGCGCUUGACACCAAUGUGACCAAGGCGGCAGUGCCACAAGUAUGUGGGACUAUCGUUAUCAACUUUACAUCUUUUGGUAUUCACAGUAUGAAUAUGUGUAACAUUACGUUCGAGAUUCAUUAAGAAUAAACCAUUGACCAUCGGGGCAUGACCAUAAAACAUAUCUGUCAUAUAAAUAGAACAACCAUUAUUCUCGAAUUUAAAUGAGUAGCCAUCUCGCAUUAAGCGAGAUCCAGAUACAAUGUUCAUGCUCAAACUUGGCACUAAAUAACAAUUAUUGAGGUUUAAAACUAAUCCCGUAGGUAAAUGUAGAGGUAGCGUGCCGACGGCGAUCACAUCGACCUUGGAACCAUUCCUGACGCGCAUUACCAUCCGCGUUAUAGAUGGUAACAUUACCAUCCGCGUUCGUCUUCUUCUUAAAGAUCCAUUUAUUUUCUAUUGCUUGCCAAUCAUCGGGCAAGUCUGUCAAAGUCCAUACUUUGUUUUCAUACAUGGAUCCUAUCUCGGAUUGCAUCGCUUCAAGCCAUUUGUUGGAAUCUGGGCCCGCCAUCGCUUCUUCAUAGUUCGAAGGUUCACCGAUGUCUAACAACAUGAUUUCCAGGACAGGGUUGCCAUACCAUUCUGGUGUGGAACGUGUCCUUGUGGACCUACGAAGUUCAGUAGUAACUUGAUCUGAAGUACCUUGAUCAUCAUCAUUAACUUCCUCUCUAGUUGGUGCAGGCACCACAAGAACAUCUUCCUGAGCUGCACUACUUACCGGUUCAAGAGGUAGUACUUCAUCAAGUUCCACCUUCCUCCUACUUACUUCUUUUGAGAGAAACUCUUUCUCCAGAAAGAACCCGUUCUUGGCAACGAAAAUCUUGCCUUUGGAUCUGAGGUAGAAGGUAUACCCAAUGGUUUUCUUAGGGUAUCCUAAGAAUACGCAUUUUUCCGACUUGGGUUCGAGCUUUUCAGGUUGAAGUUUCUUGACAUAAGCAUCGCAUCCCCAAACUUUUAGAAACGAUAGCUUAGGUUUCUUCCCAAACCAUAAUUCAUACGGUGUCGUCUCAACGGAUUUAGACAGUGCCCUAUUUGAAGUGAAUGUAGCUGUCUCUAAAGCGUAUCCCCAAAAUGAUAGCGGUAAAUCGGUAAGAGACAUCAUAGACCGCACCAUAUCCAAUAGAGUGUGAUUACGACGUUCGGACACACCAUUACGCUGAGGUGUUCCAAGCGGCGUGAGUUGUGAAACAAUUCCACAUUUCCUUAAGUGUGUACCAAACUCGUGACUUAAAUAUUCUCCCCCACGAUCUGAUCGUAAGAACUUUAUUUUUCUGUCACGUUGAUUCUCUACCUCAUUCUGAAAUUCCUCGAACUUUUCAAAGGUCUCAGACUUGUGUUUCAUUAAGUAGACAUACCCAUAUCUACUUAAGUCAUUAGUGAGGGUGAGAACAUAACGAUAGCCACCGCAAGCCUCAACGCUCAUUGGACCGCACACAUCAGUAUGUAUAAUUUCCAAUAAGUUGGUUGCUCGCUCCAUUGCUCCGGAGAACGGAGUCUUGGUCAUUUUGCCCAUGAGGCAUCGUUCGCACGUGUCAAAUGAUUCAAAAUCAAGAGACUCCAAAAGUCCAUCUGCAUGGAGCUUCUUCAUGCGCUUGACACCAAUGUGACCAAGGCGGCAGUGCCACAGAUAUGUGGGACUAUCAUUAUCAAUCUUACAUAUUUUGGUAUUCACACUAUGAAUAUGUGUAACAUCACGUUCGAGAUUCAUUAAGAAUAAACCAUUGACCAACGGGGCAUGACCAUAAAACAUAUCUCUCAUAUAAAUAGAAAAACCAUUAUUCUCGGAUUUAAAUGAGUAGCCAUCUCGUAUUAAACGAGAUCCAGAUACAAUGUUCAUGCUCAAAGCUGGCACUAAAUAACAAUUAUUGAGGUUUAAAACUAAUCCUGUAGGUGAAUGUAGAGGUAGCGUGCCGACGGCAAUCACAUCGACCUUGCAACCAUUCCCGACGCGCAUCGUCACCUCAUCCUUCGCCAGUCUCCACUUAUUCCGCAGCUCCUGUUCUGAGUUACAAAUAUGAGCAACCACACCGGUAUCAAAUACCCAGGAGCUACUACGAGUACUGGUAAGGUACACAUCAAUAACAUGUAUAUCACAUAUACCUUUGGUGUUGCUGGCCUUCUUAUCCGCUAAGUACUUGGGGCAGUUCCGCUUCCAGUGACUGUUCCCCUUGCAAUAAAAGCACUCAGUCUCAAGUUUGGGUCUGUGCUUUAGCUUCUUCCUGGCAACUGGCUUACCGGGCGCGGCAACUCCCUUGUCGUCCUUCUUGAAGUUCUUCUUACCCUUGCCUUUCUUGAAACUAGUGGUUUUAUUGACCAUGAACACUUGAUGUUCCUUUUUGAUUUCUACCUCCGCUGAUUUCAGCAUUGAUAAUACCUCAAGAAUGGUUUUCACCAUCCCCUGCAUAUUGUAGUUCAUCACAAAGCUCUUGUAGCUAGGUGGGAGCAACUGAAGGAUUCUGUCAAUGACCGCCUCAUCCGGGAGGUUAAUGUCCAGCUGGGACAAGCGGUUGUGCAACCUAGACAUUUUGAGUAUGUGCUCGCUGACAGAACCAUUUUCCUCCAUCUUACAACUGUAGAAUUGUUGGAAAUAUGCCCUAGAGGCAAUAAUAAAAGGAUUAUUAUUAUAUUUCCUUGUUCAUGAUAAUUGUCUUUUAUUCAUGCUAUAAAUGUAUUAUCCGGAAAUCGGAAUACACGUGUGAAUACUUAGACCACAACAUGUCCCUAGUGAGCCUCUAGUUGACUAGCUCGUUGAUCAACAGAUAGUCAUGGUUUCCUGACUAUGGACAUUGGAUGUCAUUGAUAACGGGAUCACAUCAUUAGGAGAAUGAUGUGAUCGACAAGACCCAAUCCUAAGCAUAGCACAAAGAUCGUGUAGUUCGUUUGCUAGAGCUUUUCCAAUGUCAAGUAUCUUUUCCUUAGACCAUGAGAUCGUGUAACUCCCGGAUACCGUAGGAGUGCUUUGGGUGUACCAAACGUCACAACGUAACUGGGUGACUAUAAAGGUGCACUACAGGUGUCUCUGAAAGUGUCUGUUGGGUUGACACGGAUCGACACUGGGAUUUCUCACUCCGUAUGACGGAGAGGUAUCUCUGGGCCCACUCGGUAAUGCAUCAGCAUAAUGAGCUCAAAGUGACCAAGUGUCUAGUCACGGGAUCAUGCAUUACGGUACGAGUAAAGUGACUUGCCGAUAACGAGAUUGAACGAGGUAUUGGGAUACCGACGAUCGAAUUUCGGGCAAGUAACGUACCGAUUGACAAAGGGAAUUGUAUACGGGGUUGCUUAAAUCCUCGACAUCGUGGUUCAUCCGAUGAGAUGGAGUAUGUGGGAGCCAACAUGGGUAUCCAGAUCCCGCUGUUGGUUAUUGACCGGAGAGCCGUCUCGGUCAUGUCUGCAUGUCUCCCGAACCCGUAGGGUCUACACACUUAAGGUUUGGUGACGCUAGGGUUGUAUGAAUAUGAGUAUGCAGCAAACCAAAAGUUGUUCGGAGUCCCAAAUGAGAUCCCGGACGUCACGAGGAGUUCCGGAAUGGUCCAGAGGUAAAGAAUUAUCUAUGGGAAGUCGAGUUUCGGCCAUCGGGAAAGUUUCGGGGUCCGCCGGUAUUGUACCGGGACCACCGGAAGGGUCCCGGGGGUCCACCGGGUGGGGCCACCUAUCCCGGAGGGCCCCAUGGGCUGAAGUGGGAGGAGAACCAGCCCCUAGUGGGCUGCUGCGCCCCCUCCUGGGCCCCCCUCUGCGCCUAGGGUUGGGAACCAUAGGGGAGGGGGCGCCUCCACUUGCCUUGGGGGGCACACCAGCCCCCUUGGCCGCCGCCCCCCUAGAGAUCCCAUCUCUAGGGACGGCACCCCCCAUAGGGUCCCUAUAUAAAGAGGGGGGUGGGAGGGCAGCCGCACCCAACACCCUGGCGCCUCCCUCCCCUCCCUGCUACACCUCUCCCUCUCGCAGAAGCUCGGGGAAGCUCUACCGGAACCCUGCUGUAUCCACCACCACGCCGUCGUGUUGCUGGAUCUUCAUCAACCUCUCCUUCCCCCUUGCUGGAUCAAGAAGGAGGAGACGUCACGCUGACCGUACGUGUGUUGAACGUGGAGGUGCCGUCCGUUCGGCACUAGGAUCUCCGGUGAUUUGGAUCACGACGAGAACGACUCCCUCAACCCCGUUCUCUUGAACGCUUCCGCACGCGAUACAAGGGUAUGUAGAUGCACUCCUCUCUCUCGUUGCUAGAUGAACUCAUAGAUUGAUCUUGGUGAACGUAGGAAAAAAAUUAUUUUAUGCAACGUUCCCCAACAGUGGUAUCAGAGCUAGGUCUAUGCAUAGUUCUCUAUUGCACGAGUAGAACACAAAUCUGUUGUGGGCGUAGAUCUUGUCAACUUGCUUGCCACUACUAGUCUUAUUUUGCUUCAGCGGUAUUGUGGGAUGAAGCGGCCCGGACCGACCUUACACGUACACUUAGGUGAGACAGGUUCCAUCGACUGACAUGCACUAGUUGCAUAAGGUGGCUAGCGGGUGUCUGUCUCUCCCACUUUAGUUGGAGCGGAUUCGAUGGAAAGGGUCCUUAUGAAGGGUAAAUAGAAGUUGACAAAAUCACAUUGUGGUUAUUCGUAGGUAAGAAAAUGUUCUUGCUAGCACCCAAUUGCAGCCAUGUAAAAGAUGCAACAACAAUUAGAGGACGUCUAACUUGUUUUUGCAGCAAUUGCUAUGUGAUGUGAUAUGGCCAAAAGUUGUGAUGAAUGAUGAAUGAUAUAUUGUGAUGUAUGAGAUCAUGUUCUUGUAAUAGGAAUCACGACUUGCAUGUCGAUGAGUAUGACAACCGGCAGGAGCCAUAGGAGUUGUCUUAAUUAUUGUAUGACCUGCGUGUCAAUGAUUUAACGCCAUGUAAUUACUUUACUUUAUUACUAAACCGUUAGCCAUAGUAGUAGAAGUAAUAGUUGGCGAGCAACUUCUUGGAGACACGAUGAUGGAGAUCAUGAUGAUGGAGAUCAUGGUGUCAUGCCGGUGACGAAGAUGAUCAUGGAGCCCCGAAGAUGGAGAUCAAAUGAGCUAUAUGAUAUUGGCCAUAUCAUGUCACUACUAUAUAAUUGCAUGUGAUGUUUAUUAUGUUUAUGCAUCUUGUUUACUUAGAACGACGGUAGUAAAUAAGAUGAUCCCUUAUAAUAAUUUCAAGAAAGUGUUCCCCCUAACGGUGCGCCGUUGCUAAAGUUCGUCGUUUCGAAGCACCACGUGAUGAUCGGGUGUGAUAGAUCCUUAUGUUCACAUACAACGGGUGUAAGACAGUUUUACACAUGCAAAAAACACUUAGGGUUAACUUGACGAGCCUAGCAUGUACAGACAUGGCCUCGGAACACAGACACCGAAAGGUCGAACAUGAGUCGUAUGGAAGAUACGAUCAACAUGGAGAUGUUCACCGAUGAUGACUAGUCCGUCUCACAUGAUGAUCGGACACGGCCUAGUCGACUCGGAUCGUUUAACACUUAGAUGACUAGAGGGAUGUCAAAUCUGAGUGGGAGUUCAUUAAAUAAUUUGAUUAGAUGAACUUAAUUAUCAUGAACUUAGUCUAAAAUCUUUUGCAAAAAAAUAUGUCUUGUAGAUCAAAUGGCCAACGCUCAUGUCAACAUGAACUUCAACGCGUUCCUAGAGAAAACCAAGCUGAAAGAUGAUGGCAGCAACUAUACGGACUGCGUCUGGAACCUGAGGAUCAUCCUCAUAGCUGCCAAGAAAGCAUAUGUCCUAGAAGGACCGCUAGGUGAAGCACCCAUCCCAGAGAACCAAGACGUUAUGAACGCUUGGCAGUCACGUGCUGAUGAUUACUCCCUCAUUCAGUGCGGCAUGCUUUACAGCUUAGAACCAGGGCUCCAAAAACGUUCUGAGCAACACGGAGCAUAUGAGAUGUUCGAGGAGCUGAAAAUGGUUUUCCAAGCUCAUUCCCGGGUCGAGAGAUAUGAAGUCGCCGACAAGUUCUAUAGUUGUAAGAUGGAGGGAAACAGUUCUGUCAGUGAGCACAUACUCAAAAUGUCUGGGUUCCACAACCGCCUGUCCCAGCUGGACAUUAACCUCCCGGACGAGGCGGUCAUUGACAGAAUCAUUCAGUCGCUCCCACCGAGCUACAAGAGCUUUGUGAUGAACUACAAUAUGCAGGGGAUGGUGAAAACUAUUCCUAAAGUAUUUUCAAUGCUGAAGUCAGCAGAGGUAGAAAUCAAGAAAGAACAUCAAGUGUUGAUGGUCAAUAAAACCACCAAGUUCAAGAAGGGCAAGGGUAAGAAGAACUUCAAGAAGGACGGCAAAGAUGUUGCCGCGCCCGGUAAACCAGUUGCCGGGAAGAAGUCAAAGAAUGGACCCAAGCCUGAGACUGAGUGCUUUUAUUGCAAAGGGAAGGGUCACUGGAAGCGGAACUGCCCCAAAUACUUAGCGGACAAGAAGGCCGGCAACACCAAAGCAGGAGCUGUGGAAUAAGCGGAGACUGGUGAAGGACGAGGUGACGAUGCGCGUCAGGAAUGGUUCCAAGGUCGAUGUGAUCGCCGUCGGCACGCUACCUCUACAUUUACCUACGGGAUUAGUUUUAAACCUCAAUAAUUGUUAUUUAGUGCCAAGUUUGAGCAUGAACAUUGUAUCUGGAUCUCGUUUAAUGCGAGAUGGCUACUCAUUUAAAUUCGAGAAUAAUGGUUGUUCUAUUUAUAUGACAAAUAUGUUUUAUGGUCAUGCCCCGAUGGUCAAUGGUUUAUUCUUAAUGAAUCUCAAACGUAAUGUUACACAUAUUCAUACUGUGAAUACCAAAAGAUGUAAAGUUGAUAACGAUAGUCCCACAUACUUGUGGCACUGCCGCCUUGGUCACAUUGGUGUCAAGCGCAUGAAGAAGCUCCAUGCUGAUGGACUUUUAGAGUCCCUCGAUUAUGAAUCAUUUGACACAUGCGAACCAUGCCUCAUGGGCAAAAUGACAAAGACUCCGUUCUCCGGAACAAUGGAGCGAGCAACCAACUUAUUGGAAAUCAUACAUACUGAUGUGUGUGGUCCAAUGAGCGUUGAGGCUCGCGGAGGAUAUCGUUAUGUUCUCACUCUCACUGAUGACUGAAGUAGAUAUGGGUAUGUCUAUUUGAUGAAACACAAGUCUGAGACCUUUGAAAAGUUCAAGGAAUUUCAGAAUGAAGUAGAGAAUCAACGUGAUCGAAAAAUAAAGUUCUUACAAUCAGAUCGUGGAGGAGAAUAUUUAAGUCACGAAUUUGGUACGCACUUAAGAAAAUGUGGAAUCGUUUCACAACUCACGCCGCCUAGAACACCUCAGCGUAACGGUGUGUCCGAACAUCGUAAUUGCACUCUAUUGGAUAUGGUGCGAUCUAUGAUGUCUCUUACCGAUUUACCACUAUCAUUUUGGGGAUACGCUCUAGAGACAGCUACAUUCACUUUAAAUAGGGCUCCAUCUAAAUCCGUUGAGAUGACACCGUAUGAAUUAUGGUUUGGGAAGAAACCUAAGCUGUCGUUUCUAAAAGUUUGGGGAUGCGAUGCUUAUGUAAAGAAACUUCAACCUGAAAAGCUCGAACCCAAGUCGGAAAAAUGUGUCUUCAUAGGACACCCUAAGGAAACCAUUGGGUAUACCUUCUACCUUAGAUCCGAAGGCAAGAUCUUUGUUGCCAAGAACGGAUCCUUUCUGGAAAAAGAGUUUCUCUCGAAAGGAGUAAGUGGGAGGAAAGUAGAACUCGAUGAAGUACUACCUCUUGAACCUGUAAGUAGUGCAGCUCAGGAAAAUGUUCCUGUGGUGCCUACACCGACUGGAGAGGAAAUUAAUGAUGAUCAAGGUACUUCGGAUCAAGUUGCUACUGAACUUCGUAGGUCCACAAGGACACGUUCGACACCAGAGUGGUAUGGCAACCCUGUCCUGGAAAUCAUGUUGUUGGACAAUGGUGAACCUUCGAACUAUGAAGAAGCGAUGGCGGGCCCAGAUUCCAAAAAAUGGCUUGAAUCCAUGCAAUCCGAGAUAGAAUCCAUGUAUGAAAACAAAGUAUGGACUUUGAUGGACUUGCCCGAUGAUUGGCGAGCGAUAGAAAACAAAUGGAUCUUUAAGAAGAAGAUGGACGCGGAUGGCAAUGUUACCAUCUAUAAAGCUCGACUUGUUGCUAAGGGUUACCGGCAAGUUCAAGGGGUUGACUACGAUGAGACUUUCUCUCCCGUAGCGAAGCUGAAGUCCGUCCGAAUCAUGUUAGCAAUUGCCGCAUACUAUGAUUAUGAGAUAUGGCAGAUGGACGUCAAAACAGCUUUCCUUAACGGCUAUCUUAAGGAAGAACUGUAUAUGAUGCAGCCAGGGGUUUUGUCGAUCCUAGGAAUGCUAACAAGGUAUGCAAGCUCCAGCGAUCCAUUUAUGGGCUGGUGCAAGCAUCUCGGAGUUGGAACAUUCGCUUUGAUGAGAUGAUCAAAGUGUUUGGGUUUAUGCAGACUUAUGGAGAAGCCUGCGUUUACAAGAAAGUGAGUGGGAGCUCUGUAGCAUUUCUCAUAUUAUAUGUAGAUGACAUACUUUUGAUGGGAAAUGAUAUAGAACUUUUGGACAGCAUUAAGGCCUACUUGAAUAAGUGUUUUUCAAUGAAGGACCUUGGAGAAGCUGCUUACAUAUUAGGCAUCAAGAUCUAUAGGGAUAGAUCAAGACGCCUCAUAGGUCUUUCACAAAGCACAUACCUUGAUAAGAUUUUGAAGAAGUUCAAAAUGGAUCAGUCCAAGAAAGGGUUCUUGCCUGUAUUGCAAGGUGUGAAAUUGAGCUCGGCUCAAUGCCCGACCACGGCAAAAGAUAAAGAAGAGAUGAGUGUCAUCCCCUAUGCCUCGGCCAUAGGAUCUAUUAUGUAUGCCAUGUUGUGUACCAGACCUGAUGUAAACCUUGCCGUAAGUUUGGUAGGAAGGUACCAAAGUAAUCCCGGCAAGGAACACUGGACAGCGGUCAAGAAUAUCCUGAAGUACCUGAAAAGGACAAAGGACAUGUUUCUCAUUUAUGGAGGUGACGAAGAGCUCGUCGUAAAGGGUUACGUCAAUGCUAGCUUCGACACAGAUCUGGAUGACUCUAAGUCACAGACCGGAUAUGUGUAUAUGUUGAAUCGUGGAGCAGUAAGCUGGUGCAGUUGCAAGAAGAGCGUCGUGGCGGGAUCUAUAUGUGAAGCGGAGUACAUGGCAGCCUCGGAGGCAGCACAUGAAGCAAUAUGGAUGAAGGAGUUCAUCAGCGACCUAGGAGUCAUACCCAAUGUGUCCGGGCCAAUCACUCUCUUCUGUGACAACACUGGAGCUAUUGCCCUUGCCAAGGAGCCCAGGUUUCACAAGAAGACCAGGCACAUCAAGUGUCGUUUCAACUACAUCUGUGAAAAUGUUCAAGAUGGAGACAUAGAUAUUUACAAAGUACAUACGGAUCUGAAUGUCGCAGAUCUGUUGACUAAACCUCUUCCAUCAGCAAAACAUGAUCAACACCAGAACUCUAUGGGUGUUCGAUUCAUCACAAUGUAACUAGAUUAUUGACUCUAGUGCAAGUGGGAGACUGUUGGAAGUAUGCCCUAGAGGCAAUAAUAAAAGGAUUAUUAUUAUAUUUCCUUAUUCAUGGUAAUUGUCUUUUAUUCAUGCUAUAAUUGUAUUAUCCGGAAAUGACCACAACAUGUCCCUAGUGAGCCUCUAGUUGAAUAGCUCAUUGAUCAACAGAUAGUCAUGGUUUCCUGACUAUGGACAUUGGAUGUCAUUGAUAACGGGAUCACAUCAUUAGGAGAAUGAUGUGAUGGACAAGACCCAAUCCUAAGCAUAGCACAAAGAUCGUGUAGUUCGUUUGCUAGAGCUUUUCCAAUGUCAAGUAUCUUUUCCUUAGACCAUGAGAUCAUGUAACUCCCGGAUACCGUAGGAGUGCUUUGGGUGUACCAAACGUCACAACGUAACUGGGUGACUAUAAAGGUGCACUACAGGUGUCUCCGAAAGUGUAUGUUGGGUUGACACGGAUCGACACUGGGAUUUGUCACUCCGUAUGACGGAGAGGUAUCUCUGGGCCCACUCGGUAAUGCAUCAUCAUAAUGAGCUCAAAGUGACCAAGUGUCUAGUCACGGUAUCAUGCAUUACGGUACGAGUAAAGUGACUUGCCGAUAACGAGAUUGAACGAGGUAUUGGGAUACCGACGAUCGAAUUUCGGGCAAGUAACGUACCGAUUGACAAAGGGAAUUGUAUACGGGGUUGCUUAAAUCCUCGACAUCGUGGUUCAUCCGAUGAGAUCAUCAUGGAGUAUGUGGGAGCCAACAUGGGUAUCCAGAUCCCGCUGUUGGUUAUUGACCGGAGAGCCGUCUCGGUCAUGUCUGCAUGUCUCCCGAACCCGUAGGGUCUACACACUUAAGGUUUGGUGACGCUAGGGUUGUAUGAAUAUGAGUAUGCAGCAAACCGAAAGUUGUUCGGAGUCCGUAUGAGAUCCCGGACGUCAUGAGGAGUUCCGGAAUGGUCCGGAGGUAAAGAAUUAUAUAUGGGAAGUCGAGUUUCGGCCAUCGGGAAAGUUUCAGGGUCCACCGGUAUUGUACCAGGACCAUCGAAAGGGUCCCGGGGGUCCACCGGGUGGGGCCACCUAUCCCAGAGGGCCCCAUGGGCUGAAGUGGGAGGGGAACCAGCCCCUAGUGGGCUGGCGCGCCCCCCUGGGCCCCUCCUGCGCCUAGGGUUGGGAACCCUAGGGGAGGGGGCGCCUCCACUUGCCUUGGGGGGCACUCCACCCCCCUUGGCCCCCCUAGAGAUCCCAUCUCUAGGGCCGGCGCCCCCCUGGGGUACCUAUAUAAAGAGGGGGGUGGGAGGGCAGCCGCACCCAACACCCUGGCGCCUCCCUCCCCUCCCUGCUACACCUCUCCCUCUCGCAGAAGCUCGGCGAAGCUCUGCCGGAACCCUGCUGUAUCCACCACCACGCCGUCGUGCUGCUGGAUCUUCAUCAACCUCUCCUUCCCCCUUGCUGGAUCAAGGAGGAGACGUCACGCUGACCGUACGUGUGUUGAACGCGGAGGUGCCGUCCGUUCGGCGCUAGGAUCUCCGGUGAUUUGGAUCACGGCGAGAACGACUCCCUCAACCCCGUUCUCUUGAACGCUUCCGCACGCGAUCUACAAGGGUAUGUAGAUGCACUCCUCUCUCUCAUUGCUAGAUGAACUCAUAGAUUGAUCUUGGUGAAUGUAGGAAAUUUUUUAUUUUAUGCAACCUUCCCCAACAAGAACUUGUCGGAGACUUCAUAUCUCUCGACUCGGGCAUGAUCUUGGAAAACCAUUUUCAGCUCUUGGAACAUCUCAUAUGCUCCGUGCUGCUCAAAACGCUUUUGGAGCCCCGGUUCAAAGCUGUAAAGCAUGCCGCACUGAAUGAGGGAGUAGUCAUCAACACGCGACUGCCAAGCGUUCAUAACGUCUUGGUUCGCUGGGACGGGUGCUUCACCUAGCGGUGCUUCUAGGACAUAUGCUUUCUUGGCAGCUAUGAGGAUGAUCCUCAAGUUCCGGACCUAGUCCGUAUAGUUUCUACCAUCGUCUUUCAGCUUGGUUUUCUCUAGGAACGCGUUGAAGUUGAGGUUGACAUGAGCUUGGGCCAUUUGAUCUACAAGACAUUUUGCAAAAGUUUUAGACUAAGUUCAUGAUAAUUAAGUUCAUCUAAUCAAAUUAUUUAAUGAACUCCCACUCAGAUAGACAUCCCUCUAGUCAUCUAAGUGAUACAUGAUCCGAGUCAACUAGGCCGUGUUCGAUCAUCACGUGAGACGGACUAGUCAUCAUCGGUGAACAUCUUCAUGUUGAUCGUAUCUUCUAUACGACUCAUGUUCGACCUUUUGGUCUCUUGUGUUCCGAGGCCAUGUCUGUACAUGCUAGGCUCGUCAAGUCAACCUAAGUUUUUUGCAUUUGUAAAUCUGGCUUACACCCGUUGUAUGUGAACAUUAGAAUCUAUCACACCUGAUCAUCACGUAGUGCUUCGAAACAACGAACUUUCGCAACGGCGCACAGUGAGGGGAAACACUUUCUUGAAAUUAUUAUGAGGGAUCAUCUUAUUUACUACCAUCGUUCUAAGCGAAUAAGAUGCAAAAACAUGAUAAACAUCACAUGCAAUCAAAUAGUGACAUGAUAUGGCCAAUAUCAUUUUGCUCCUUUGAUCUCCAUCUUCGGGACACCAUGAUCAUCAUCGUCACCGGCAUGACACCAUGAUCUCCAUCAUCAUGAUCUCCAUCAGCGUGUCUCCAUGAAGUUGUCUCGCCAACUAUUACUUCUACUACUAUGGCUAACGGUUUAGCAAAGAAGUAAAGUAACUAUAUGGCGUUGUUCAAUGACACGCAGGUCAUACAAUAAAUAAAGACAACUCCUAUGGCUCCUGCCGGUUGUCAUACUCAUCGACAUGCAAGUCGUGAUUCUUAUUACAAGAACAUGAUCAAUCUCAUACAUCAUAUAUAUUUCAUUCAUCACAUCCUUUUUGGCCAUAUCACAUCACAAGGCAUAUGCUACAAAAACAAUUUAGACGUCCUCUAAUUGUUGCUGCAUGUUUUUACGUGGCUGCUAUAGGGUUCUAGCCAGAACGUUUCUUACCUACACCAAAACCACAACGUGAUAUGCCAAUUUCUAUUUACCCUUCAUAAGGACCCUUUUCAUCAAAUCUGAUCCGACUAAGGUGGGAGAGACAGACACCCGCUAGCCACCUUAUGCAAGUAGUGCAUGUCAGUCGAUGGAACAUGUCUCACGUAAGUGUACGUGUAAGGUCGCUCCGGGCCGCUUCAUCCCAUGAUACCGCCGAAACAAGAUAAGACUAGUAGUGGCAAGUAAAUUUACAAAAUCUACGCCCACAACAAAAUUGUGUUCUACUCGUGCAUAGAAACUACGCAUAGACCUAGCUCAUGAUGCCAUUGUUGGAGAUCGUUGCAGAAAAUAAAAAAAUUCUACGCAUCACCAAGAUCAAUCUAUGGAGUAACUAGCAACGAGAGAGAGAGAGGAGUGCAUCUUCAUACCCUUGAAGACCGCGAGACGGAAGCGUUACAAGAACGCGGAUGAGGGAGUCAUACUCAAAGCGAUUCAGAGCGCGGUGGAUUCCGAUCUUAGCGCCGAACAACGGCACCUCCGUGUUCAACACACGUGCAGCCCGGUGACGUCUCCCGCACCUUGAUCCAGCAAGGAGGAGGGAGAGGUUGAGGAAGAGGGACUCCAACAGCAGCACGAUGGCGUGGUGGUGAUGGAGCGGCAGUACUCCGGCAGGGCUUCGCCAAGCUCUUACGAAGGAGGAGAGGUGUUGGGGAGGGGAGGGGCUGCGCCUUGGAUGUGUUGCUGCAGCCCUCCCCUCGCCUCUCUAUUUAUAGGAGGAGGGGGAAGGGGCCCGGCCCCCUCUAGAUGAGAUCUAGAGGGGGGCGGCAUCCAAGGGGGGACUUGCUCCCCAAGCAAGGGGGGCGCCCCCUUUAGGGUUUCUCCCCCCCCCCCAACCCUAGGCGCAUGGGCCCAAGGGGGGUGGCGCCCAGGCCUCUAAGGGCUGGUUCCCUUCCCUCUAUAGCCCACGAGGCCCUCCGGGAGAGGUGGCCCCUCCCGGUGGACCCCAGAACCCUUUCGGUGGACCCCGGAACCCUUCCGGUGGCCCCGGUACAAUACCGGUAUGCCCCCGAACUUUUCCGGUGACUGUAUGACAACUUCCCAAAUAUAAAUCUUCACCUCCGGACCAUUCCAGAACUCCUCGUGACGUCCGGGAUCUCAUCCGGGACUCCGAACAACAUUCGGUAAUCACAUACAAGUCUUCCUAAUAACCCUAGCGUCAUCGAACCUUAAGUGUGUAGACCCUACGGGUUCGGGAAUCAUGUAGACAUGACCGAGACAGCUCUCCGGCCAAUAAUCAACAGCGAGAUUUGGAUACCCAUGUUGGCUCCCACAUGUUCAACGAUGAUCUCAUCAGAUGAACCACGAUGUCGAGGAUUCAAGUAAUCCCGUGUGCAAUUCCCUUUGUCAAACGGUAUGUUACUUGCCCGAGAUUCGAUCGUCGGUAUCCAAUACCUCGUUCAAUCUCGUUACCGGCAAGUCACUUUACUCGUUACAUAAUGCAUGAUCCCGUGACUAACCACUUAGUCACAUUGAGCUCAUUAUGAUGAUGCAUUACCGAGUGGGCCCAAAGAUACCUCUCCGUCAUACGGAGUGACAAAUUCCUGUCUCGAUUCGUGCCAACCCAACAGACACUUUCGGAGAUACCUGUAGUGCACCUUUAUAGUCACCCAGUUACGUUUGACGUUUGGCACACCCAAAGCACUCCUACGGUAUACGGGAGUUACACAAUCUCAUGGUCUAAGGAACUGAUACUUGACAUUAGAAAAGCUUUAGCAAACAAACUACACAAUCUUGUGAUAUGCUUAGGAUUGGGUCUUGUCCAUCACAUCAUUCUCCUAAUGAUGUGAUCUUGUUAUCAAUGACAUCCAAUGUCCAUAGUCAGGAAACCAUGACCAUCUGUUGAUCAACGAGCUAGUCAACUAGAGGCUCACUAGGGACAUGUGGUCUACGUAUUCACACAUGUAUCACUGUUUCCGGUUAAUACAAUUAUAGCAUGAACAACAGACAAUUAUCAUGAACAAGGAAAAUAUAAUAAUAAUCAUUUUAUUAUUGCCUCUAGGGCAUAUUUCCAACAGAUUGUUGUGUCCACACACACACUGCACACAGUUACCAAAGUGGGUAGACUGAUCGAUGAAUAAAUUUACCACGUGCAUAAGCUUGUAGCCCUGCUCCCCUGGACGAAUCAUCAUUACUAGACAAUGAUGGCGCGUGUUGUUGCGCCCAUCAAUUUUAUGAUAGAAUGAUAAAAUAUCAUGCAUUUUUUUAAAAUGUAAAAUAUAGAAAUUAAACUUGCAUGAACUAACCCGUAUACUAGACAAUGAUAAAAAAGUAAUAUUGCGAUUGUCUCGGGAAAUAGAAUUAGGCAACUGAUAGCUCUAGUUUUUAAAUGAAUAUUGUCUAUGAAAGAUAUCUACGAAACAAAAACAUGAAUAAGUAAUAUAGAUUUAGAGAACAUACGUGAUAGGCAAUAGGACGAUUGAUAAGGUAAAUUAACCGGGCAAUCUUUUUUGCUUAAUUAAUCGAUGAGACAAAUCUUUUAGCUUUGUUUAAAAAAAAUAGUGUCACUUCCCCUAAAAAAGAAUUAGCAUCCCUUGAUUCCAAUAUUGGUAGACCUUGUCAUCGUUGCCACGUGCCCAUGAGGGAGGAAGGCAGUGGGGCAUCGAUGUUGUGUGGCGCUGCGACACCAACACGAGCAACAAUAUAUUUUUUAGAACCAUGUUUUGUUGCAAAAUGUUUUGGGGAAUACAGAUAAUAGAUGGCGGAGACGUUAGACACACAUGAAGGCAUAUCGGGGCAAUUCCAUUCAAUAAUAUGAUGUAUUAUAUUAUGUGCAAAAAAGACAAAAAUUCAGCCCAAAAUCAACAACAACAAAACAAGCCCCAAAUUAGAACGAAUUUUGUCUCUUUUUUUAUCUCACAUGCAAGCACGUUUUUGAUGAAAUUUUGGCUUGUUAUACUCCACAUUUGUAUGUACAUGUAUGCAAAAAGUUAGAUAUUUUUUCAAGCCGUAAAAACCUGUUUUUUGAAUUUCAGAAAAACGGACUCCAAUGCCCCAUGGUCAGAUGUCACUUUUUGCCUUGUGCCCCUACUUUUGUUAAAAGAAAAAACUUCAGUUCCUCGAGGAUGCAGAUCCCAACAGAGUUCCCCGAGAACAUGUCGUUAUCCGAAAAGCUGCAACAGGUCUCAUUUCACUUUGAUGAAGCCCCUUGUGCUGCUGUAAGGUUUUCGUUUAUGUAUUCUUACCUUUUGUUUGAACCUCUAUGCUCCGAGAACAUGAUGUGUAGUCGAUUGUUGUGUCCACACACACACUGCACACAGUUACCAAAAUUUUAAGUGGGUAGACUGAUCGUUGAAUAAAUUCGCCACGUGCAUAAGCUUGUAGCCCUGCAUCCGUGGACAUGUCAUCAUUACUAGACUAUGAUGGCGUGUGUUGCCGCGCCCACCUAUUUUAUGAUAGAAUGAUAAAAUAUUAUGUAAUUUUUUUAAAAUGUAAAAUAUAGAAAUUAAACUUAAAUGAACUAACCCGUAUAUUAGACAAUGAUAAAAAAUGUAAUAUUGCGAUUGUCUCGGGAAAUAGAAUCAGGCAAGUUAUUGCUGUAAUUUUUUAAUGAAUAGUGUCUAUGAAAGAUAUCUAGGAAACAAAAACAUGAAUAAGUAACAUAGGUUUAGAGAACAUACAUGAUAGUCAAUAACACGAUUGGUAAGAUAAAUUAACCGAGCAAUCUUUUCUGCUUAAUUAAUUGAUGAGACAAAAAAAUUAUCUUUGUUUUAAAAAAUAGUGCCGCUUCCCCUAAAAAAAGAAUUAGCCCCGCUUGAUUCCAAUAUUGGUAGACCUUGUCAUCGUUGCCACGCGCCCGUGAGGGAGGAAGGCAGUGGGGCAUCGAUGUUGUGUGGCACUGUGACACCAACACGAGCAACAAUAUUUUUUUAGAACCACCGUCUAUUGCAAAAUGUUUUGGGGAAUACAGAUAAUAGAUGGCGGAGACGUUAGCCAGACAUGAUGGCACGCCCACAAAGAAGACGCGACUUUCACAAGAUUGUGAGCCUCAACAUUGCUGGUUCUUCUUUCAUAUUAUAAAGAAACAAUAAUAAAUUCUUGUUGCCUUGAAAUAAACUCACUAACUAUGGCAACAUAGCUAACUUGAUUUUCUUCUUUUGAUAGUCUUCAGCUCCUCUAUACAGUCCGUGGCCAUUUGCACGCGAUCUUCAGCUCCUCCAUACAAUUUGUGGCCAUUUGCACGCGAGACAUGUUGAGAUCAAAGGUCCGUUACCAUUUGCACGCGAGACAGGUUGAGAUCGAAGGCAGAUGAUAAUGCCCCGCUCACACGCAGCUACUUAAUUUUUUAUUUGAGACGCUCACACGCAGCUAUCUAAUUUUUUAUUUGAGAAACAACCUUUUUUAGCAAAAUUUGGGAAACAACUACUUACGUUUGUGUUUCAUAUACACUUUGUUCGCUUAAGCCAGUCCACCGGCCCAAAAAACAAUCCAGGCCCAAUCAACCACAGGUGAAGUAGAUAGUUCCGUGGAGCACCAGCCCGAGAGAUGUCCACGCAGACAAUCGUACGGCUAGCAACGCCAAAGCUUUGCGGAGGCUCCCAGCUCACCCUGUUAUACUGUUUAAGCUUUGUGGAGGCUCCCAGCUCGUCCUGUUAUACUGUUUAGUAAUAGUAGUAAGAGCCGCUAAUGAAUAUGCCAAAAAAAAGCCAAAAAUAUAUCAUAUUUCCUCCAAGGAAACCAGGUCCCGAUCGAGCUAGGAAUAGUUCGCUUCAAUAUAUUCCAUUCAAUGCGACAGGGUACGGAACUGCAAAAAACUUAAACGAGAUUCAUUACAACACAGUACGAUAGAUCGAAGCUAGCCCACGAAGACACCAACGUACACAACCAAACCAUAACUCAAACGAAACAACCAAAUCGCAACGCACACGUCCGUCCGGCCUAAACGCAUGCAUGCAGACAUGCCACAGAUAUAGGUAGCCAGCUAGCUAAAGCCCUCUCGAUGGCGAUCCGGUCGAUCUACGCCUUCCUCCCCUCGUUGGCCUUCUUGAACACCGCCGCCUGCGCCGCCGCAGCGCUGUCGGAACCGCCGGCUGCGGCCGCCGCGAACGCGUCCCUCACCUGCUGGGUGGUGUAGGCGAACCCCGGGCGGGUCAUGGAGUUGAGCAGCGCGGCGGUGCCCUCGCGCAGCAGCGCGCCGGCGCCGUCGGUCCUCGUGUUCGCCAGCGCGUCCUGGAUGCUCAUGCUCGGCCCGCCGGCGACCGCGCCACCGGCGGCGCCGAAGAAGUGGCUCACCGAGCUCGGCCAGCUCCCCAGUGCCGACCAGAUCUGCAUGGGGUGCGUCCUCCAGUAGCUACGUGCAAAAACAAAUGCAGUGUCACGGGCCCAUCACGUCAGCGACUCAACUCGUGGUAUUCGCAGAAGAAAGAAAAGGUAACGUGCCGGUGUACGUGUAACAAGUGGCUUACUCGCAUGUCCCGAGGCUGUUGGGGUCGACUGGGACGAGCGGCGUUGGUGUCACAGACCCGUGGCUGCUGUGCGACGGUGCAGCCGGAGUUCCGCUGUAGGAGCCUCCGUCGUGGGCCGGCGUCGGGGAGCUCCCGUAGGCGCCUCCGUCGUGGGACGGAGUGGGUGAGCUGCCGUAGGCACCGCCAGUGGAAGGCGUCGGGGAGCUCCCGUACGCGCCUCCGCCGUGUGACGGCGCAUCUGGGGUGGACCCGUAACCUCCUCCGCUGUGCGAUGGGUCAGGCAACGAUCCAGAGCCCCCGUGCGAAGGCGGCGUCCCGUACCCGCCGUGCGAAGGGUCAGGCAACGACCCAGAGCCGCUGUGCGACGGAGUCGAGCCGGAGCCGCCGUGCGACGGCGUCGUGCCGGAGCCUCCGUGGUAGGGGGGCGUGCCGGAGGAGCCCCCGUGCGAGGGAAGCGGCACCGUGGUGCCCCCGUGGCCGGGGAAAUUGUGCGGGUCGAGCGACGGCACGCAGUCCGGCUUCUUCACGUCAUCUGCAAGCACGCCAAGAGACGGCAUUUGUUAUAACCCAGCUCACUACUCACCAGUCACCAGUCACCACAAGCUUCAUGCACAAGAUCUACUUAGCUAGGUACGUACCUUGGCUUGCCUUGUCCGUUGGGCCGGUCCUGGCCGAGACGGAGACGAAGGCCUGGGUGACCAACGCGGCGAGCAGGAAGCUCGCGAGGAGAGCUCUCUGCGCCCCCAUGUCCUCUAGCUUCUUCUUCUUCCGCCGCUGCUUCAGUGGGAGUGGAGUGGAGAGGUGGAGUGAACUGAACGACACAGGGAAAAGGAGCGGGGUAUAAAUAGCGGGGAGCAGAAGAUACCAGACCGACGCGCCAUGAAAAUUGAUGAGGUCUGUGUGAGAGAGCGUGGUAAAUGGAGGUCGCAGAGGCAGAGAUGACACCACGGAGUGGUUGGCCAGGGCAUUCAUUGCGCGCCAUGAAACGCUCGACCGAUCCGACUAGACAGGGCAAAGGUCAUGGACUCAUGGUGGACUGGCCUUGCGUGUUUAUCACCUACCUAGUGACAAUAAAUUCAUUUUCUUCUUGAAGUUUUUGAUUCGGGUUCCAGCUAUCGAUCCUGAGGCGGAGAUGUGCAUGGCUUCAAUUCGUGUGCUGCAGGAUGAUGGAUGAUCCGGUCCUACUAUUGACCAAGCGCACCAUCAGUUUGGCCUUAGACCAUGCAUGAAGUCUUGGCAACCCAAGUUUCCAGUAAAAUGCAUGUUUUUUUUUUGAAACAAGUCAAUAAAAUGCAUGUGUGUGCUACUGUAAAAGUAUCUUCUAUGCAUCGACACAUUUUUAUGCCUCGACCAAUUAUAAAACACAGAUCUAAAAACCCGUGCCUGACUUUUUAAUUAGGAAAGCAUGUAUUUCAUAAAAGAAUGUACCUUUAGAUUAAUUGUCAAAUAUUAGUUUCUAACCAUACAUUCUUUAUUAGCCAAAUCACAGAUCUAAAAACCCGUGCCUGACUUUUAUAAACCCAACCGAUCGAAGGAGUAUUAGAUUGGUUAUCUUUUCCACCUUUCUUGCUCUUUCAUCUACAUUCAUUACAUUUUUUUUUUAACUGAAACACCUUGCAUUCCAAAAAUUACGGUGGACCGACCAGAUCGGCGGCCACGGCUCGGCUUACAUCAGGGGCAGAUCGGAUUGCCAGACCAGGUGGUUCUCGGGUUCAGCCCGCGCACCAGCAGCAGCCAACAAGUGUGCUGGGUUAUUACAAGCCCUCGGGGCGAAAAGAACUUUUGACUCUAUAAAACCUAGCCGAAGGAGGAACUUUGCCUCCCUGAAUAACACACCUAGAGAACUGCGGUCCUGAGAAGUAGCUUCCAUUGCCGAGUGUAGAGUUUGACAAUCUGUCUUGAAGUGCACACGCCCCAUACCAUGUGCUUCUGCAAAUUGGAUGGCCUUAGCCUAUAUAGAUGUCCCGUUGGUUAAGAUUUUCUAAAAGUGUACAUUCUCACUUUUCCCCCUAACUGCAAGCAACUUAUGACAAAGUUUAUCUCAAUACAAAAAUAUUAAUACCUCCAAUUCAUAUUACUUGUUUACUCCUAAUGAUGGGUUUUUACCCCUACAUUAGUAUUUUCCAAAAACCAACAAGGCAUGCCCAUGUGUUGGGACGACAUGGCAGUUGACUGGGCGGACAACUCACGUUUGUAUUCGAGGGAGAGGUCACUAGAUAAUAGGAAUUGACUGAAUCUAAUACAAAAUUCAAAAAAUGUUCAAAGGUCUAAUAAAAUGUACACAAGAAUCCCCUGCUGCCUUCCCUUUCCCUCACGCAUGGUCAGUUAGGGCAAAGCUAUCUUCCCGGCCAAGCUCCAUCGGCCAUGGUUAAAAAAUGUUGUUGUUUAUAACUACCGCCCAAGGUUUAUUACAGAAUGUGAAAAAAUGACUUUAAUUUGAAGAAUUACUAUGAUUAAUUGGAGGAAAACUAGAUAACAUUUGACAUGCGUGUGAAAUUGUUAUGAUGCAACAAAGGCUAAUUUGCCAUGUAUAUGAACAAGUGAUGGCUGACUUGGCAUCCAAAACAAACAGAAUGGUCAUAGUGUGCGCUUACCUCAUUUCGACGGCCUUUAUUGACAACAAUCGCCUUACCCUUUGCGGUGUCAGCAUCACCAUCACCCAUGCGUUUUUUAACCAUUGCUCUACCUAAAUAGACAAACAACAUUCCAAACUUGCCCUGAUUAGUGGAUUUUGGUGCAAAAAUUGAGCUCCUCCUACCACGGAAAAUUCCCUCCAAGCCACUAGUGUUCUAUUGCACAUUGACGCCAUCGGCAAUAACCCCCUGCUCGACCCCGACACACUACAGGACUUGCCUAGACAGAGCUUCAGUGAUGUAAUUGUAGGUGCAGUUGGGUUAUUGUUGUUAGCGACCCAACUGCAACUGCAGUUACGUCACUGAAGCAGCGUCCCACACUACAACCCCCCAAAUUGCACACCCCCGGUCCCAACAAGCGCCUCUGCACCAAAAAACCGCUACCCUCAGAGAAAUGAGCAACGUUGGUGACAUGAUGGGAGGUCUCGAUGAGCCUCCGCCGCUACCGUGCCACCCAACACCCACACCCCAUUGCCAGCCAUCGUUGUACCUCUCCCAGUCCCGCCACCCUACACCCACCACCACGUCAAGAGUCAUGGUUGCACCUCCGCCGCGGAGACGCCACCUCCCAUUCCUUCCUCUCGUCGGGUCGUCGUGGACUAAAUCAACGAGAUCCCCCCCUCCCCUUAACAAAACCUCAUGUCUUUCAACCCCAACGAGCAGAUGCGAACCCGAGCGAAAAACCUGGUUCGUGGAAAUGAACCUACCUGGAAGCUUGACGCAAUGGUGUGAUGUAUUGUCAAAAUCUGGUUGUGGCGAGCGACAACGAUCGGUUUGCCGGAGAAUGGGAUGACGUCGUGCGACAUGGAGAGGCGGAGGGAUGGGGCAUUACCAAACCCCAUGGGUAAAAGAACCACCCCACCACUCCCAUGUAGGUCGUGCGGUUGCCACCCUGGGAGAAAACAGUUGUCGUGAACUUGGCCAACUCGGCCCAGCAUUGGAUUUCAUGCAGCGAAUCCAACGCUUCAGCUCACGAUGAGACAAUCAAACAACUAUUUUUUCAGUGCAAGUUUGCACAUUCUACAUGAUAAGUCAUCCAAAUCACUUCCAAUAUGUAUUCGCCCAGAAGUGUUGCCAAUAUUUUUCGUCAUUGGUUGGACAGUAUUCCAAAUAUGUUCUGAAUGCUAGUAAGGGUGGGAGCAUAUGCCAUAUUAUAGUCGCUUUGGUUGUGUAGAAAUAAUUUGUUUUAAAUGGCAAAACUCUUCUCCGUUGCAAGUUAUUUUUCUAUGUACGCACUCGCUUCGUACGUGGUCUGCACUAUACCUAACGGAUUAGCAACCGUUAUUCAAUACGGUAUGUAUGCAGCUGGAGGUGGUGGCCAAAGAGGUUUCUACCUAACAUCAGUGGCAACAUAAUCUUCGGAUCGGUCCACCACCUCCUUCGACCUAGUCAUCUUGUGUGUCCUAUAUGACUCUACUGUUGCCGAUAUGUCUUUUUUUUUAAAUUAUCUUUUGUCAGACAGUUGGUGUUUGCUUUUAUUUUUGUGCAUCUUAGUUAUACAUAGGCCGGGUGUUGCUUAUCAUGCUUUGUAUAUAUCAAUGCUAUAUUUUAAGUUAAUAAAAAAGUUAUCUAAAAACAUGCUUCAGCUCACGCAAGAGAGUCAGGAGAAAACAUUAGCUCUUUAACAUUUUUGCAAACCAAAAACCUAAAUGAAAUAAGGACCUAUUGUAAUUAUGAUUAAUGCAAGGGGCGGUUCCCCGAAUGGGGAAGAGAAACGAGACCGAGACGGCGGCAUGGAGGACGUCUUAGAUUGUGGUAAGGUUAGGGAAGAGUCAUACAAGUACUAUAUAUGCUGAAAUUAACAGUUUAACACUAAUGCAGUUAAGUCAUCGCACAUGGUUAAAAGAGCCUAUCACUGCAUAACAAGAACAAUUGAGUCUACAUGUACCAAUCAUCGCCCAAUUUCAUGUUAGGUAAAAAGAAACUUUCAAAAGCUUCUAUUUUCCGAAACAGAGAAAAGAGAAAUUUACCGAAGCAAAAGCUCAACCGUGCAAAGCUGUACACUGCAGAUAUCGAGCUUAUCCUCCGCAGAAAUACUUGUACUCCAUUUUGGAGGGUUUAUUGAAUGCAGAGGAGGGGAAUUAAAUUGGCAUGUGAAGGCAUUUACAUGCAAUGCAGCCAAGCUGAUGAACCUCUCCAUGUGAGCUCCACAUGCUACGUCCAAGCAAAACACAGUCCUUGGAGGCCAAUUGGUCGAUAUGUACACCGCGUCACGCUCGCCGAUCGAUUACCUUGCCAUUUCUCGCGAAGCUAGGAGAGGGAGUUGCGUGGCUCCGAUUGAGCAGAGUUCGUGAUGAUGAUCAAGACAAACAUCAGCUGACGAGGCCUUCCUGCCGUACGUGAGUGCAUUUGACAUGUGCCGGUCCUGAAAUGAAUUGGUUAAACGAUAUAUAAGGACCACUCUUCGCGGGAAAUUAAAUAAAAAUGUGAAAAAAGAAUAAAGCUGCAUAAGAAGUAUGUAUUCAAAAAUAAAUUAAACGACGAGUUUAUGGCAACAUGCAGUAAUCUGCCGCGACUGGUCAAGCUCUCUAGUAUAGACUACUCCCUCCAUGCCAACAUAAGUUUUGGGUUUGUUUUAAGUCAAAAGCUUUUUUUUAAGUUCGAUCAAGUCUAUAGAAAAGAGAUUGACAUCUACAACACCAAAUUAGUAUCAUUAUGUUCAUUGUAGAAUAUAUUUCCAUACUACAUACAUUUGAUGUUGUAGAUAUUAGUAUAUACUCCCCCUGUUCCUAAAUAUAAGUCUUUGUAGAGAUUCUAUUAUAGACCACAUACAGAUGUAUAUAGAUGCAUUUUAGAGUGUAGAUUCACUCAUUUUGCUCCGUACGUGGUUUAUAGUGGAAUCUCUUCAAAGACUUACAUUUAGGAACGGAGGGAGUAUAUUUUUCCCAUAUACUUGAUCAAACUAAAGAAGUUUGACAUAGGACAAACCCAAUUAUUAAAAUAUUCUGGAAGGAGGCGUCCUUCCUCCGCCCAAAAUUCACAACGUUUUAAAUAAGUGUCCACCCAACAUUGUUUGAUUUUGAGUUGUUAUAUGCAAAAAAAAAAAAAAAAAUUGGUACCAUGCCAAUGGUACUCUGGUCAAAUUAUAAUAUUUGUUUUACGAUGUCAUAGUUUGAUAUAUUUUUUAUUGAUGUGCUCAUACAAAAAAAAGACCAAAGUUUCACAUUAAAUUUUGCAAGUAAAAACAUGUGUACGAAAUAUGUGACCGUUAAAUUCAAACAAGAUCAGGCAUUUUGGAGAUGAUUCCAUGAACAUGUAAAUCAUAGUUAAAAGUUUCGAAAAUAUCUGCAAAUAAAUGCAUGAAUGGACAUAUUCUACAAGUGUGUAAAGUUUCACGAUGAAAUACAUUAAGUUUGUGGGUUGUUCACCGUUUUUAAAUCAUGAAUUUGUUCUUUUUGUGCAGCUCACAUAUUAAUGUUCAUUUUCAAACUUUACACACACAUAGUAUACAUCCGUAUGAACAUGCGGAUAUUUUUUGAAAUUUUUUAAUUCAAAAUGUGAUGUUUGAUUUUUGAUUUUUGAAAUCCCCAUGGAGCCCUAGCACGAAACCUGAUUUCCCCAAGACCGUUCAUUCAUAGAGAAUAAAUCUCUAGGAGAUGAGAGGUUGUAAAAAAAGCAAAGUUGGAGAUUUUAUUUUUCCAAACCAUGCAGGAGGACUGCAUGUAUUAUAUUAAAGAUAGGAAAAGAAGUACACCACCAAAAAUCCUAUCGAAACAGGAUUUCGCUCCGUUUUAUAUAAAAAAUCCUCAACGUGAACAAAAACACUAGAGAACGGCCCAUGCAUAAUCCAGACUACCUAAACACGACACACCAAACUAAUGUAAAAUGAAACGACCUAGACUCGCUUCAACCCCGCCUAUAGUACGCGUCAGAUUUCGGUUGUUCAAUGAUUCUCGGAAGUGGUGUGUAAGCAUUUUCAAAAACUCCUCCACUCUUCUCCCUUCAUAUGCUCCAGGUAAUUAGCGGCACCAAGGUGUUCAAAGAACUCCUAGUACCGUGGACUCUCUACCUACCAUCUUGCCACUAGUCCGGGAGUGAAAGACCCGUCUGAGUAAUGACCUUUGCUCAAUCCAGCCCAAUGAAGCACCGAAGCCCAGAGAGUAGAAACGACGCUGCAAGUCAUGAAGAAAUGAUGGGCAGUUUCUUGUGUCUUGUAGUAGUACAGACAUGCUGCAUUAUGUGGUAGACCUCUCUUGACCAGGCGAUCCGCCGUCCAUACGCGCCCUCCUACGACCAAAAUGUCGGAGAAAUAUUAUUCCUCUCCCAAUUCCUAACUCCCAAGUAUGUUUUCUUUGGUAUACUUGUUUUAUCUUGAAAAAGACUUUCAUCUCGCUUUAUAUAUACUUCCUUCAUUCCAAAAUAAAUGACUCAACUUUGUACUAAAGUUAGUACAAAGUUGAGUCAUUUAUUUUGGAACGGAGGGAGUAUAAAGCAACAAGUAAGCAAAGUACACGGCCAUGAUGAGGCGGAGAAGUAUACUCGUUUCAUCGAGAGAAACUGUACCCCGAAGAGCGCCAUAACUUCUGCACCGUGAAAAGUCUACCCAUACUCAUACUCGCACUCGUACACUCGAUGGAUGGAUCGAUAUGACACGCUGGAUGCAUGUGCACCAAACGAACGGACGAUCAAUCGUCAAACGAACGCAAGCUGAGCAGUAAAUGAUUGCGUGGCCCGGUCAGCAUGCAGCCGACGCGUACCCAGCCGCUGCUGUUGAUGCGCAUGCAGAGGAGAUGAGGUCGACCGGAAGGAGCCGUGGUGGAGAUCGAUGGAGCCGGCCGGCCCAUGCACGCACCAGCAAAUCUGCGGCAACCUUGCUGUUUCCAGGCUUGCCAACGCCAGUGAGACGAUCAGUACCACCAUGAUGCAUCUAUGCAACCAGUGUACAUAUUUACCAUCUUCCCUCCAGCAGAACGCAUCAAUGGCGAUGCCAAGGACGACAACUGCAUGUUACCACCACCACGCUACGGCCCGGGGACAGCUCGCAGCAGCACCACUGCACUAUGCCAUACCAGUAUAGGUAUUGAUCGAUCAAUCGUAUUCAUGAUUUCAUGUCCACUAGCUGGUAGAGUCACCCCGUUUCCUUCGGGGAGUGAUGGCUUUUCUUUCUUUCUUUCUGUGGAUGGGAUGGGAGAAAAGAUCUGACGAAACAAAUGUGUUUUGGGUAAAUUUCUCGGCGUUGCUCCUCUAUCAACAACGCGUCGCCAGCUGCUCUCGUGGUGUAACUGCCAUGGGACAUAAGUGCGGUACUGGUGGAUCCACGGGUGUUGAAUGCGCAUUUAGUUCGCUCCUGAGCGCCCAACAGUUAAAGUUGUCAUGGGGAUGGACGGUCCGGCAGAGCGAUCGACGGAGGAACAGUGUAAAUGCUGUUGCAUCUUCACUCCUCAGCAACAGCUGGGCAGCUGGCAGGGAAUUUGUGUGUGCCACUACUGUUUUGUUUUCUACUCCCUCCGUCCCGAAAAACAUGUCGCGGGGGCAGUACAUUUGAUUUUUUGCAUUUUAGUCCUUCCACUUUCAAAACUCUAGAAAUUAAGCCCCCAUCUCCCUCCUCCCGUCGCCCGUGUCGCCACGGCCAGCCGUCUCCAAUCGCCACGGCCAGCCGCCGCAGUUCCUGAGACACCGACGAGCCCACCCACGAACAAGACCUCCGCUGCCCACGAGGAGGAUCUCCGCCGCCCGCCCACGAGGACUCCGCCGCCCGCCCAGGAGGAGGAUCUCCGCCGGCCACCGACGAGCGGGUCCUCCGCCGGCCACCGACGAGCGGGUCCUCCGGCACCCACCGACGGGCGGGUCCUCCGGCGCCCACCGACGAGCNNNNNNNNNNNNNNNNNNNNNNNNNNNNNNNNNNNNNNNNNNNNNNNNNNNNNNNNNNNNNNNNNNNNNNNNNNNNNNNNNNNNNNNNNNNNNNNNNNNNNNNNNNNNNNNNNNNNNNNNNNNNNNNNNNNNNNNNNNNNNNNNNNNNNNNNNNNNNNNNNNNNNNNNNNNNNNNNNNNNNNNNNNNNNNNNNNNNNNNNNNNNNNNNNNNNNNNNNNNNNNNNNNNNNNNNNNNNNNNNNNNNNNNNNNNNNNNNNNNNNNNNNNNNNNNNNNNNNNNNNNNNNNNNNNNNNNNNNNNNNNNNNNNNNNNNNNNNNNNNNNNNNNNNNNNNNNNNNNNNNNNNNNNNNNNNNNNNNNNNNNNNNNNNNNNNNNNNNNNNNNNNNNNNNNNNNNNNNNNNNNNNNNNNNNNNNNNNCGCGCUGGUCCACUCCGCCCACGACUCCGCCGCUCACUGCCGCCGCGCUGGUCGCCGUGCUGGUCCACUUUGGCUCGCCGGCUGGUUGAGGUGGUGGUGGCGGGUGACGCCUCUGCUGCCGAUGCCCUUCGAUCCCCGCCCCCGACCCCCGAGGCCUCCGGCUCUACCUCUGCUACUCCGCUCUGAUCCUGCAGCUGAUACAGAGUGAAAUUGAUCCGCAGCUCGCUUGUCAGUACUCCUCUGUUGAUACAGAGUGAAAUUGAUCCGCAGCUCGAUAUUCGUGUUGACCAGCAGCAGCAGAGCUCUAGUAGCAGCUGCCCUGUGCUCCUCUGGCCUGCUCCUUGUGUUGCCGCCAGAGCUCGUGUUCCUAAGGAAGGAAGAAGGUAAAAUUCAGUUUAAAUGUCAGGUUUCAGUAAAAUUUACUGUCAAUUUUCAUGGUGAAACUAGUAGUCAUGUGAAAUUGAAUGUUUGUCUAGAUCAAUUAUUGCUAGCAUUGUGGAAUUAGAGCAGAUAAGCCAAUUUUGAACAUACGCAAUCACUAUACUUUGCUAACUGUCAAAUUGUUAUGUCAAUGAGCAUAUGCAGUCACUAAUCAUAUGCAAAUUUGGAGUACUGCUGGAAUUACUCUAGUUUGGAGUACUCUAGAAAUCAAAUUUGGAGUACUGCUGGAACAUGUUUGCACUUUUUGUUUAAUCUCUCUGCAGGACAUGUGUAGGCAAGUGCCCUGUUUUACCCACUGUCAAAAAGUGCCCUAUUUUACUCACUGCAAAGCAAGUAAUCCUUCUGCCCUGUUUUACUCACUAGAGCAGAUCUUCUCAGCUGAGUUCCCAAAGAAUACUCAGCAUGGAUGUUCUGCUGCCAUGACCUGUGUUUGCAAAUGUUUCAGUAAACAUGAUACUCCCUAGAAUUCAGUUAAACUACUGCACAAAAAAUUCAGUUAUGAGCCUAUCUGUGUAAAUACAUUCACAGGAAUCUAGCUCACCUUGUGGGAAAAUCUAGCCAACCUGAGUAAAAUCCACACCAAAAGAAGCAAGCAAGCAAGAAAGGAUCAAGACAUGGUCAAAAUUCAGUUAAGAUUCAGUUAAGAUACAUACAGUAAAAUCUAAGUUGGAUAUUGACACAGUACAACUGAGUUGAUCCAGACUCAAAUCCGGGUUUUUAAAUGCAAAAUAUGGAUGAACAUUGGUGAUUACCACUACACUACAUCCAAUUGUAUUGUGUUUAGAGCAAAGUGUUUGGCUACAAAAAAUGGCUUAUGGUUAUGGUUAGAGCAAAGUGUUUGGCUGCCAUGGCAGCAUUUCUUGUUUGGAUACCGUGGCAACCAAACUAGAAAUGGUGCCAUGGCACCUAUUUCUUGUUCGACUUGCAUACUCAUUUUGUGUGUGUAUAUUCUUGUUAUGGUACCAUGGUGUACUCAUCUUUUGUCAUUGAUGGCAGGAAACAUAACUAUGGAUUUGAACUUGAUGCCUCAAAAGGAAGAACAUGAAACUAUGGAUUUGAACUUGAUGCCUUAAGAGGAAGACGAUGAAGCUAUGAAUUUGAAUUGGAUCCCUGAACAGGAGGAACCUCGAGUGGCAGAGAAAGGAACUAUGGAUUUGAACUUGAUGCCUCAAGAGGAAGACGAUGAAGCUAUGAAUUGGAUGCCUCCAGAAGAUGAAGGGAAAGAGGACGAAGCUCAAGAGGAAGAGGAUGAAGUUAUGAAUUUGAUACUUCAAGAGAAGAGAAGAGAAUUGUCAGAUAAGGAGAGGCAUGGUGUUUACUUCGCUUUGCUGGUAAUCGAGCUCAGAGAUGGGUCUGUUCAACCAGACGACAAUCUGCUAGUCUCAAACCUGUUGGACAUAAGUGUACGAUCUGUUGAAAGAGUCUGGGAAGAAGCCAAAAAGCAAAUUGCCGAUGGCAAAGAAGUAGAUGUCUCAAGCAAGAAGCCAGGAAGAUCUGGCCGAAAGAGAAAGGAGCUGGAUCUAGAGAGGACCUCAACAAUCCCAUUAAAUAAAAGAAGGACAAUUCGAUUUCUGGCACGGUCUCUAGGUGUGGCCCGAUCGACCCUACAUAAGAGGUUCCAGUUGAAUGAGCUCAACCGCAUCACAAGCACCGUGAAACCUCACCUCAAGCUAGAGAACAAGCUUGCGAGAUUGAAAUUUUGUAUGCCCAUGGUCGAUGACAAUUCAAUCUCAACUUCUCGGGCUAUGUUUAAACCAAUGACGAAUAUGGUUCACAUCGAUGAGAAGUGGUUUGACAUGACAAGAGUGAAGAAUAGUUACUAUGUACUUCCAGGAGAACCUGAGCCAAAGCGCACCGUGUCAAACACUCACAGCAUUGGGAAGGUGAUGUUCCUAACAGCUGUUGCCAGGCCUCGAUAUAACAAUGAGGGGGAGCUAACAUUUGACGGGAAGAUUGGCAUUUGGGCAUUUGUUGAAGAGACUGAGGCGAAGCGGACAAGUCAUAAUAGAACAAAGGGAACAAAAGUGUUGACAUCAGUGAAAGUAACAAGGCCUGUGUGCAGAGAUUAUCUAAUCAAUAAGGUUAUCCCGGCAAUUCCGGAUAAGUGGCCUGACGAUGACGAGGGAGCAACAAUAUUCAUCCAACAGGAUAAUGCAAAGCCCCAUGUCCUUCCCAAUGAUGUAGCUUUUCGAGAAGCUGUGGAACAAACUGAUCUUGACAUCCGAUUGCUACAACAGCCCCCAAAUAGCCCUGAGUUAAAUUGUUUGGACCUCUGCUUCCAUACCUCUCUCUAGUCUCUAACCGACUGCAGGUCACCUACAAACAUCCAGGAACUGGUACAGGGUGUGGAAGAGGAAUUCGAGAACUACGAUCCCGACAAGUUGCACAGAAGCUUUAUCACAUUAGAAGCAGUUAUGUUUGAAGUUAUGAAAGACAAAGGAGGAAAUCAAUAUAAGUUGCCCCACUUGCACAAGGAUCGCAUUCAGAAUGCUGGCAGGGAAAUCAUCAGUGUAUAUUGCGACAGUCGGGUAGUUGUUGAUACUAGGGCCAUUAUAGAAGAAAUGGAAAUUGCAAUAGGAAAAGAAAAUGAAAGGAAAGAAUUGGCUAAAGAAGGGAAAAGAAAGAAAAGUAAAGGGAAGGGAAGGGAAGAAGUGGCCAGAGAAAGGAAAAGAAUGUAGUCAAGAGGGGGCAAAGAGGCCCUUAUGUCAUGUAGUCGGGUGCUCCUUGUGUAUGUCUUGUGUAAUCUUGUAUCAAGAGGGGACAAAGAUGCCCUUAUGUCAUGUGUAAUCUUGUGUCAAGAGGGGACAAAGAGGACCUUAUGUCAUGCCCUUGUGUAUGCCUUGUCUAAUCCUUGUAUAUAAACUCCUUGUUGGAAUUUAUUGGAAUUUGGGUUAUUUGGAAUUUGAAUUGAUUUGGAUUAAUUUUAGUUAUUUGAAUUAAUUUAAAAUAUUUGGAUUAAUUUGAAUAAUUUGGAUUAAAACUUAAUAUUUGUGCUAACUUACUUUGCAAUUUGUGCUAACUUACUUAAUUAUUUGUGCCAUAAUGUUGGCCAUUUUAGAAAUGCACUAAUUAAAUUUCUAAAAUGAAGCUAUAGAUAUACAGUGUUAUGUUCUGACAAUAGCUAUGUAUUGUAGAUAGGAUAGCAAAUUUGUAGAGCCAGUUGAGUUAAUUUGAGCAAGUCUUGAGAUGAUGAACUUGCUGUCAGUUGACAUGAUGAACUUGCUGUUAAUAAAAAGCACUGUUGUUAUGUUAUAAAAACUGUAGUAUGAAAAGCAACCGAGAACAAAUUAGUCCAAUAGCAGUCCUUUUUUGUUUUGGAUUAAUUUUAGUUAUUUGAGUAAAUUUUGAGUAAAAUGACAGUACUUCGGAAAAUAUGGAGUAAUGCAUAAAUUUGUACUCCAGCAAGUUUAUUGCAUACUCUGACUGAACUUUAGUUUACUGUUAAAUGGCACUUGGGGUUAUCUAGUUGAUCAGCCUCAUGUUUCACUUUAUUCCUCCUUUGUUGUUGACUGGGGGUUAUCUAGCAGAUUUCCAUGCAUGGUUGAUUGGUCAGAAAAAUAACUAACCCAGCCAGCUCUCAUGUGGCUCUAGAUUAGACCCCAAUUGUUGAAUUGUUCAUAAUACUCCAAAAAUGAUGGAGUACUACUGUUCAUAUGCAUGCAAGAUUGUAACUGUGCAAAAUACCCCAAACUCUAAACUAACAGAACUAGUGCAAAAGUGUUGAUAAUCUAGAGGCUCUUUUCAACUAGCAGAACUGUGUACUCCUACUAAUAGUAGGACUACUAGUAGUAAUCUAGAGGCUCUUGUAAGCUAAUGUUUACAACCAGAAAAUGGACAGAUUUAAAAAUAUCGCACAUGUUUUAUUUGCAACACAAAUAGAAGGGGGGGUCUUAUUUUACUGGUGGAUCUUGAUCAAUGGCUAUGUAAAGAAUUUGAAUCAAUUUCUACACAACAAUACUGAAUUGGGGGAAAGAAUGAGAGGAGCCCAACAUGAGAAGUGAUGGACUAUGGAUACCGUUGCAAUCAAAACCUUUUCUCAGUUAAUUGGCAAACAAUAAAUGCCGUAAGAAGAAGCGAGGCCACCAACACCCAGAACAUGGUAAACAACGAUGGCCUCCACUUCAAAAAGAGGAUCAUUGUUUCUGAAGCAAGUAACUUGCUCAGCAUGUUUCUAAAGCCAGUAACUUGCUCGGCAUGUUUCUGAAGCCAGUAAACAAUGAUGGCCUCCACCAUGUUUCUCAAGCCAGUAACUUGCUCAACAUGCAAGGAGGAUCAUCGUGGAGUAACUUUUAAUCACAUCCACUAAAAUUCACAAGUUGACAGCACACUUUACAAGAGUACAUUCAGUUUACAGGAGUACAUUCACUAAAAUUCAGUAGACAGAGAAUACACACAUUCAGUAAAAUUCAGUUCAGAGACUACGCACGUUCAGUACAUUCAGUAGAUGAGUAGAGAAGAGAGGUUCAUACCCAGGCUGUAGGCGUUGGUGACGGAGAUGACCCAGGCUGGAGAAGAUUUGUAGCCGCCGCCGCUGCUGCCAAGUGAGCAGGGACGACCCACUGGACAGCCGUCACUGCUGCCGCGGUGUCGCAGGCGCGGGUCUUCCACCAGAGAAACAACGAAGAAGAAGCCGCCGCGGUCGUAUUCCUAGUGGAGUUGUCGUCGCCGUCUUCAACACUCGCAAAUCCACAAGCUUUAGGUUGCUGUCGUCGUUAGGCUCAUCGGCGUUUACCUUGUUGCAUCUCCUGUCGCCAUGGGGCUCGUCGGCCUCAUCGACCUUUAGAUUGUUGGUGGUGGUCAGGAUCCAGCGCCUCCGGGGUCACUAACGCCGGUUCCUACGCAGCCGGAGCAGAGCGCGGCGGUAGCCGGGGAAAUCGAAGAUUUUUAUGAGGAAGGGGGAGCUUGGGGAGGCAGGCGAGGGGCAGGUGCGGCGGCGGAGCAGGAGGCAGCUGCGGCGACGGAACGGGGGAGCAGGGAGCUGCGUUCGCGGGGAGCAGGGCAGCUGCAGCGGCCGGGAGCAGCGCAGAUGCGGCUUCUGUCGGAGGAGGACGACGAGGGAGCGCGGGUUUGGUCGGGAGAAAUUAGAGGUUUUUUUUGCUAAAUCGCCCUCGCAACAUGUUUUUCGGGACGGAGGGAGUAUUUUUCAUUUUUUCUGAGACGAUGCUGGUGAGAACUAUGAAAAAGCAAUACUGUAUAUACUUUGAUAUACAUUAUACUAGCACGUAUGCCCGUGCGUUGCAACGGGAGAAAUGUACUGAAUUUUUUAAUUUGAUGAGAAUAAUAUGUGCAAGCAUAACACUGUGUUUCGCUAAAAAAAAAGGUAGCCAAAACGCCCACCAGUGCUGCAUAGUAACAUCCAGACCCUACGGCGUUAUGAUCUAUUCAAAAGUAAGGGUCAUUCUUGAAGAAAAAACUAUUCUCGCAUAGAAAGCAUCUCUUCUACCUCUACCUAAUAUUAAUAUAUACUUGCCCUCAAAAAAUAUUAAUAUAUACUUCAUAUACAAUAGUUAAAAGGAGUAAGUUUUCUUCCUUUGUUUUUCAUAGCACACACCGAUUUAUUUAACUUGUUUACUGCAAAUAUAAGCACGAACAAUGGGCUGCGAACAUUAUAAAUUACUAACUUCGUUACAUAAUUUCUCUCCAUAGCCAAGGCAAGCAAGUGCAACAGCACCAUGCUUGGUCACCCAUUUGUUUGCUAAAUCCGAUUGUACCAGCUGCAUUUUUUGUUGAAACAUCAAAACAAAGUCUAUCCCUCAAAAGAAAGAACAACUUUAAUCCGGUGGUUCCAGUAGACACAUAAAAGAUGAUCAUAAUAUAGCAUAAUGUCUGUGCUUCCCUACAGAGCAUUAAACUAUAAAUUUGAACUGAAAUUUAAACGGAGUAUAGAAUGAAAAAAAAUAGCAUCAUUAAUAAACCUGGAGAUGCAACAGCUACAAGCAGACCAACCUGGUGCAAGCGCCGUGCGUGUCCAGCGAGAGCCAUGACAGCCGCUCGCGUUUCUCUUCCUUGGCCAUGCCGCGCACGUUAUUCUCUCCGUAGGCUAUACGCGCGUUCUGUGGCUAAAUUCUGCAGCUAAUAGUUUUCCAAUAAGAUGACACAUUGAAAUGGCCAACAAACAGGUUGAGAUGUUUUCAGGUUUCAGCUCAGGUGUCAACCACUAAACUGAAUCAACAAAAAUAAGAAGAUAAUUUCCCUUGCCAUGAACACAAGAAUAGAGUAUAAGAAGCUAAUCAUCAGGAGUUUGAUCCAAUCAUCGGCCCCCGCGCGCAUAUGCAUGUAUGUAUGCCCAUCUCUACAAUUAAAUUGAAUUUUGCUUUUGUUUGGUUUAUAGCAGCAGUCACCUCCUCAUCAUCUCAUUGGGAUGCCAGAUGGCGAAUGCCAAUGCCGGCCUACCUAUAUGUACACCAGAAUGGAAAGGCACCUGAAACAUUUUGUUCAGUCGCUCAUCUCAAAUGUUCCCAAGGCCAUAUAGUGCAACUGUAGUUGUACCCUGAAAUCAUAUGAAAUUACAGAAUUGGCAUCUGACAGCUCAUGAUAUUGCCUGGUUCAGAAGUAGUUCACCUUUUUAACAAGUACUGGAUGGACAACUAUUUGAUGAACAACGGAGCCGCCAAGGUCUAUCUUCCCAAAAUAGUUUACAAGAUUGCAAGCCGAAAGGAUAUGGAUAGCAGAGAGGUUAUCCUACAAUGAGGCAAAAUGAACGAAUGCAUAAAAGAAAGUCGAGAGACAUAAUACAGACAAUUUCAGUAGAAACCCAUACGAUUCAAAAGAUCAUAAAAAGAAGCUCAUACUACACCAGCAGGAUCAUCAUGAUUUCCAUGGAUAGUGAACACAUGCAAGCCAACAUUGAAAUGUGGGUCUUCAUAGUUUACAUGGCCAAAACUGGUAAUGCAAGAGGAAAAUUCAUCUGCGAACAUGAAGUACAAGAAUAUGAUUGCGCACAUCUUUCCUACGGUUUUCAUGCAUGCUAAAGAGAUUAAUAAGAUCAAAAUUCGUUAAAAGUAACAGGCUUGCUCAUGGAAACUCAUGUGGACGGUGAAUAUUAAGGAAAGGAGAGCGAGGGGAAGAGGGGGCAGCCCUCGGCCCGAUCAUCCAAUUCGCUCCGACGAUCCAUGCAUGGUUCGUCCUUCUUGAAUUUAAAUCGAGUGAUUCCAAAAUUCGAAGGAACAUUAUGAAAUGGAACGUUGAGCUUUGAGAUUCAUUGCUCAACCUGUUUGGGAAGUUGACUGUCUGAUCAUUGACAACCUGAAACUUGACUGGUAUAUCAUUUACUCCCUUCGUCCCAUAAUGUAAGGCUUUUUGACACUACUGUAGUGUCAAAAAAUGUCUUACAUUAUGGGACAGAGGGAGUAGGAAGUAGCGGCGUAGAAUCACAAUGGUCUUCACCAAGGUCGAACGCGAAGGCUUGUCCUCAUGGAUCAGGUCACCACCGAGAAGCACAAAGUCUACCUGCGAAUCAGUCUCAUCCCAGUUAUUACACACCAACAAUGGGCGGUCCACGAAAGGAUGAACAGGCGGAUCAAAAUAACCACACACAAAACAUUGCUCGUACAAACCUCCUUCUGCUUUGCUAACGAGCAUAUCUCCUCAAAAGCCUCAAAUGAAUCAAACCUCCAUAUCUCAUCCUUCUCCAUGUAGCCCAGAUGGCAAUUGGUGCCCGCAAGUAUCCGGAGCAUGUCUCUGUUGUCUUCCCCGCAGUGCAUUCAACAGCGACCAGGUCAGGAGGACAGCACAACACCUUGUGGCUGUCAGCUUAGGUAACAUAUGGCAGCCAAUGGAAUGCUCCAAUGCACAAAGAUAUUUCUCUCUAUGCAACGAGCGGUAACUUGCAAACAAUACAGAUUGAUUAGCUAUGUAUAUUUAUCCAGUUUAUCAUUCCGGCCACUAAUGCAUUAUUUUCUUGAUCAGGACUCACAUUAUGAAAAAGGACUCGCAUUGCCAGGUACCAACUUGAGCCAAAGCACUUGUUUCCUGUCAACAGAUCACUGCAACGAUAACAAACACGCAAGCAAGGUUAGCUGACAAGCGAAUAUACCAAAGACGAGAGUGGCGGGAGCAUGAUUGAAGCUUGGAGGCGUUCCGUCGAACAGGUGCUGGGCGCCACAACAGCUGCUCCCACACACCCAAACCAGAGCCAACAUCGUACGCAGCAAGCCGCCACGAAACAAGAAUGGCAAACAGAAAACGCGGACGUGCCGGAUUCUACGGUGAGAGAAGCCUAACAAUCACCUUCGCUUGGCCGCCUCCACUGCCGUCAAUUGAAGAAGCCAACCGCGGCGACUGACCUGGCGCGAAGCCGCAGCCGAUAGGCGCUAGUCCCGCCGGCAAGGACGCCGCCCCUCACCCGAGCACACGCCCCGGUGAGGCAUCCUCNNNNNNNNNNNNNNNNNNNNNNNNNNNNNNNNNNNNNNNNNNNNNNNNNNNNNNNNNNNNNNNNNNNNNNNNNNNNNNNNNNNNNNNNNNNNNNNNNNNNNNNNNNNNNNNNNNNNNNNNNNNNNNNNNNNNNNNNNNNNNNNNNNNNNNNNNNNNNNNNNNNNNNNNNNNNNNNNNNNNNNNNNNNNNNNNNNNNNNNNNNNNNNNNNNNNNNNNNNNNNNNNNNNNNNNNNNNNNNNNNNNNNNNNNNNNNNNNNNNNNNNNNNNNNNNNNNNNNNNNNNNNNNNNNNNNNNNNNNNNNNNNNNNNNNNNNNNNNNNNNNNNNNNNNNNNNNNNNNNNNNNNNNNNNNNNNNNNNNCGGAGGCUGGAGAGAGUUUUUUUUUUUUUUUUUUGAAAGGAGGCUGGAGAGAGUUGAGCUGCCGGCGGCAGACGCAUCUGGGUCUCUGGAUAAGAAGGCGCUGACCGCGGGUAGGGGUGCUUUUGUAAAAGCGAAACGUUUUUUUAACUAAAACAUGGACUGCGGGUUUAAUUAUCAGAAAGUAGAGGGGCUUUUUUGUAAAACUGUCGCGACGGUGAGCGACAGCAAUAGCCGCUUUAUUGUUAUUAGGGAAAGAUAAUUGCGGUCUUCAAAGCCUUGUGUGGCGAGGGCAUUUGCAGGUUUUGUUUUUCUUUGCUGUUGGUUCAGUGCAAUUUUCAAUUACCGGUGGGCAGCGUACAAUCAGAGGAAGAAGAAGACUAGUAUGCUUUUUAUUGUAAUUUUAUUUUUUACUGGUCGUUCUACGUCCAGUUGUCUAUCCUUUGUAGUGGCCUUUGUUUUCCUCGAUGAUAAUCAGAUUUAAGAUGCCCUUUGGGUGUCUUUAUUCAAAAAAAAAAAGAUAUACUGCAUGCAUACGUUAGUGUUGACUGCUUUACUGGAAAGUGUCACGUGAUUGGAGGCAAAGGAUUUUCAUUGGUAUCGUGCUCCUACCGUUGCAUGGCAGGGGAAGUGGCGAUGCGUUCCUCAAGUGCCUGGGAUAAUCUUAUAGCUAAACAUAGUAUACGCAUAUCGAAUAAACUGAAACAAAGUCAUAGUGUCAAAUAUCCACACCAAAGCCGAAAGUUACAUCAAGAUUCUUCAAAGUCAUCACCUCAAGAUUCCCCUCAUUUGCAUCUCGAAGUUUCACCAUGAUUCAGAUGAAAUAACUGCAAAAGAUGAUGCACAAAGUGAACGAAAACUCAAAGGUUUUCAAAAGUUUGAUGAGCCGCUCAUCUCAACCGGCGCUAAUCUAAGAUCCCUAGACGUACAGUGUGGCUAGACAAACGUUGAACCGCUAAUUCGCCACUAUAUCAAAGAAGAAGAUUGGUAGCCGAAAAUAUUAAAAAGCAGACAAUAUCUAACUAAAAUAUACUAGAUGCUAUCAUCGUACCAUCACUGCCAAGACAUGUCGAAGCCCCGGACGAUAAUCCAGGGGAUCAGUGCCAUCGAUGACUAACAGCAUCUACAGCCGGAUACACUUAAUCCGAGCGCGUCUGCGGGCAGUGACCUGGUAGCCCUCAAAUUUCUGCGACCGGGCAGCCCUCAAAUUUCCACCUCUGCAUCUGGAUAGUUCAUAUUUCAUCUCUUACAAACAUACGAAUCAUGCAAAGUAAACAUUUAUGUAGUACGUAUAUCAACUAAACCUACACUACACUACUUGUUGUCAUUGGAAAUGUCCACUAUGUUCGUUCCGGGCUCUGAGUACAGUGGCGACGAACUACGGCUCCGCGGCGGCCACCGCCUCCAUCUCCGCUUUCACCUUGUUGAAAAGCGCGCGGGUCUCUGCCUGUUGUUGCCGAAUGAAGCGUCGGUUGGACUCCAGUAUGCCCCAUCUUGGAUAGGCUGGAGGAUGGCGGUCUGCUCCGCCAUCUCCACUGAUUGGGCGACCUCGAACUUCGUCAUGGCAUCCUCCAUGAUGAAGCCUGCAACCGGCGUCAGAUCCUCCACUUGAUCCACCCCGUCUAUGGGCUCCAGCUGCUGCUCCCCCUCUCUUCCUCCUCCACCUCCAGCUCCGGCGAGUCCGAGGGCAGGCCGACUGUGAUUCGAACGACGCGCCUCAUCCAGAUCUCCUCCUGAAUCUGGAACCGGAGCUCUGGCGUUAGCAUAGCGUACGCUUUUUCUGUCGGGCCAUGACGGAGGCGGAUGAUAAGGGAAGAGGGAGACAAAGACGGAGAGAUAUGGAUGAGCUCGGGCAGGUGGCACAGAGAGGGAGGAAGAGGAUGUGGCUAGGGUUGGGGGACGCCGUUCAGCUUAAAUAGUUGGACUUUGGCCUCGGGCGGUGAGCCGAAGCGGCGCCACACAGCAUUCACACCCCCAUCGGAGGAGACGCCUCUCGGACCGUUGGGUUUCCGGGAAAUUUCAUGUGCGACCUAGAAAAAAGAAGGUGAGGACUUUCGGGAUGAAGUGCCGCCGUCUCGAGGCGGAACCUGGGCAUGAGCACUUUUUCCCUCCGGUGGAGCAAUUCCGCCGGGGGAACUUCCCUCUCAGAGAGGGAAAUCAUCGCCAUCAUUAUCACCAACAACUCUCCCAUCUUGGGGAGGGCUAUCUUCAUCAACAUCUUCAACAGCACCAUCUCAUCUCAAACCCUAGUUCAUCUCUUGUGUUCAAUCUUUGUACCAGAACUAUAGAUUGGUGCUUGUGGGUGACUAGUAGUGUUGAUUACAUCUUGUAGUUGAUUACUAUAUGAUUUAUUUGGUGGAAAAUUAUAUGUUCAGAUCCAUUAUGCUAUUUAAUACCCCCAUUGAUCUUGAGCAAGAUUAUCAUUUGUGAGUAGUUACUUUUGUUCUUGAGGUCACGGGAGGAAUCAUGUUGCAAGUAAUCAUGUGAACUUGACAUGUGUUUGAUAUUUUGAUGAUAUGCAUGUUGUGAGUCCCUUAGUGGUGUCAUGUGAACGUCGACUACAUGACGCUUCACCAUAUUUGGGCCUAAGGGAAUGCAUUGUGGAGUAGUUAUUAGAUGAUGGGUUGCAAGAGUGACAGAAGCUUAAACCCUAGUUUAUGCGCUAUUCCGUAAGGGACCGAUUGUAUCCAAAAGUUUAAUGCUAUGGUUAAAAUUUAUUCUUAAUAAUUUUCUCGUAGUUGUGGAUGCUUGCGAGGGGUUUAAUCAUAAGUAGGUGGUUUAUUCAAGUAAGAACAACACCUAAGCACCGGUCCAUCCACAUACCAAAUUAUCAAAGUAGCGAACACGAAUCAAACCAACAUGGUGAAAGUGACUAGAUGAAAUACCCGUGUACCCUCAAGAACACUUUGCUUAUCUUAAGGGACCGUUCUGGCCUAUCCUUUGCCUCAAAAGGAUUGGGCUACCUUGCUGAACUUUUGUUACUACUAUCUUUACUUGCUCAUUACAAAUUAUCUUUCUAUCAAACUACUCUGCUACUUACAAUUUUAGCACUUGCAGACAUUACCUUGCUGAAAACCAGUUGUCAUUUCCUUCUGCUCCUCAUUGGGUUUGACACUCUUACUUAUCGAAAAUGCUACAAUUGACCCCAUAUACUUGUGGGUCAUCAAGGCUAUUUUCUGGCGCCGUUGCCGGGGAGUGAAGCAGUUUUGGUAAGUAGAAAUUGGUAAGGAAAUAUUAUUACUACGUGCUGAAAUUUAUUGUCACUUGCUACUAUAAAAAACAAUCCUUUGAGGGGUUUGUUAGGGGUAUCUUCACCUCGACCGGAACCACAAUUAGUUGCCCCUCAACCUAAUGCCCCAAUCAUGAGCUCUCAAGAGAAAUUAUUAUCCAGAAUUUUUCUGCUCGGCUUUCUCGUAAUGAUCAAUCCAUGCUCGAUGCUUCUUGUACCGGUUCUUUUAUGAAGAAGACUAUUUAAUUCUAGUGGGAUCUUUUAGGAAGAAUUAAACGCAACUCUGAAGAUUAGGAACUCGGCGAAGGUAAAGAGUUAGGUAUUGAACCUAAGUUUGAUUGUCUUAAGUCUUUUAUGAAUACCGAUGCUUUUCAAAAGUUUAGCACUAAAUAUGGACUUGACUCUGAGAUAGUAGCUUCCUUUUGUGAAUCUUUUGCUACUUAUGUUGACCUCCCUAAGGAGAAGUGGUUUAAAUAUCACCCACCUAUUAAAGAAGAAAUUAAAGAACCGGUAAAAGCUAAAGAAGAAACUAUCAUUUUACAAUGUUGAUCAAGUUGUUCCCACUGCUUAUAUUGAAAACCCACCUUUCCUUGUUAGGAUGAAGGAACAUGCUAAAGUUUCAACUGUGGUUAACAAAAGUUAUAGUAGAACACCCAAACCAACUGAACAAAUCAGAGUUGAACCUAGUAUUUCUAUGAUUAAAGAUCUCUUUGUCGAUAAUAUUGAUGGGCAUGUUAUUUACUUCUGUGAUGAAGCUGCUAGAAUUGCCAAACCCGAUGAAAAAGAUAAACAUAGACCAGUUGUUGGCAUGCCUGUUGUCUCAGUCAAGAUAGGAGAUCACUGUUAUCAUGGUUUAUGUGAUAUAGGUGCUAGCGUGAGUGCUAUUCCUUUUCCCUUAUAUUAAGAAAUUAAGAAUGAAACAGCACCCGCUGAAAUAGAAGACAUAGAUGUUACUAUUAAACUUGCCAAUAGAGAUACUAUAUCACCAAUUUGGAUCCUUAGAGAUGUUGAAGUCUUGUGUUGGAAAAUAAAAUACCCUACUGAUUUUGUUGUUCUUGGUUCCCCACAAGAUGACUUUUGUCCCAUUAUCUUUGGUAGACCUUUCUUGAACAUCGUCAAUGCUAGAAUAGAUUGUGAGAAACAAACUGUUGGUGUUAGUUCUGGGAAUGAAUCUCAUGAAUUUAUUUUUUCCAAGUUUAGCAGGAAACCUCAUAAGAAAGAUUUGCCUAGUAAGGAUGAAAUAAUUGGUCUUGCUUCUAUUGUUGUACCUCCUACUGAUCCUUUAGAACAAUAUUUUCUAGACCAUGAAAAUGAUUUGCAUAUGCGUGAAAGAAAUGAAAUAGAUAGAAUCAUGUUCGAACAACAACCUCUGCUAAAACACAAUCUGCCUAUUGAAACUCUAGGAGGUCCUCCUCCACCUAAAGGUGGUCAUGUGUUUGAAUUAAAACAAUUGCCAGACACUUUGAAAUAUGCUUGUCUUGAUGAAAAGAAGAUAUAUCCUGUUAUUAUUAGUGCUAACCUUUCAGAACAUGAAUAAGAAAGAUUAUUGAAAGUUCUAAGGAAGCACCGAGCUGCUAUCGGAUAUACUCUUGAUGAUCUUAAGGGCAUUAGUCCCACUAUAUGUCAGCACAAUAUUAAUAUGGAGCCUGGUGCUAAACCCGAUGUUGAUCUCCAAUGUCGGUUAAAUCCGAAAAUGAAAGAAGUGGUAAGAACAGAAAUAUUGAAACUUCUGGAAGAAGGUAUAAUCUAUCCUAUAGCUGAUAGUAGAUGGGUAAGUCCUAUUCAUUGUGUCCCAAAGGGAGGUAUAACUAUUGUUCCUAAUGAUAAGAAUGAACUUAUUCCACAAAGAAUUUUCACAGGCUACAGAAUUGUAAUUGAUUAUAGAAAAUUAAACAAAGCAACUAGAAAAUAUCAUUACCCUCUGCCUUUUAUUGAUCAAAUGCUAGAAAGAUUAUCUAAGCACACACAUUUUUUCUUCCUUGGUGGAUAUUCUGGUUUUUCACAAAUACCUGUUUCACAACCUGAUCAAGAAAAGACCACUUUUACUUGUCCUUUUGGAACUUAUGCUUAUAGACGUAUGCCUUUUGGUUUAUGUAAUGCAUCUGCUCCCUUUCAAAGAUAUAUGACUGCUAUAUUCUCUGAUUCUUGUGAAAAGAUUGUUGAGAUUUUCAUGGAUGACUUCUCUAUUUAUGGGAAGUCCUUUGAUGAUUGUUUAAGCAAUCUCGAUCGAGUUUUGUAGAGAUGUGAACAAAAAAAUCUUGUCUUGAAUUGGGAGAAGUGUCACUUUAUGGUUAAUGAAGGUUUUGUUUUGGGCCAUAAAAUUUCUGAAAAAGGCAUUGAGGUGGACAAAGCUAAGGUCGAUGCGGUUGAGAAAAUGCAAUGUCCUAAAGAUAUCAAAGGUAUUCAUAGUUCCCUUGGUCAUGUCAGUUUCUAUAGGAGGUUUAUCAAAGGCUUUUCUAAAAUUUCUAAGACUCUUACAAAUCUUUUGCAAAAGGAUAUUCCUUUUUUUAUGAUGAUUGUGUGGAAGCCUUCGAAACACUCAAGAAAGCCUUAAUUACUGCACCCAUUGUUCAACCACCUGAUUGGAACUUGCCUUUUGAGAUGAUGUGUGAUGCUAGUGAUUAUGUUGUUGGUGCUGUUCUAGGACAAAGAGUAGAUAAGAAAUUAAAUGUUAUCCAUUAUGCUAAUAAAACUCUAGACAAUGUUGAACGAAAUUAUGCUACUGCUGAAAAAGAAUUCUUAGCAGUGGUGUUUGCUUGAUAAAUUUAGAUCGUACAUUGUUGAUUCUAAAUUGACCGUUCACACCGAUCAUGCUGCUAUAAAAUAUUUUAUGGAAAAGAAAGAUGCUAAACCUAAAUUCGUUAGGUGGGUUCUUUUGCUACAAGAAUUUGAUUUGCAUAUCACUGAUAGGAAAGGAGCAGAGAACCCCGUAGCUGAUAACUUGUCUAGGCUUGAAAAUAUUCUUGAUGACCCACAACCUAUUAAUGAUAGCUUUCCUGAUGAAUAGUUAGCUGCAAUAAAUGUUUCUAAUAGUGCACCUUGGUAUUGUGACUAUGCUAAUUAUAUUGUUGCUAAAUACAUACCACCUAGCUUCACAUACCAACAAAAGAAAAAUUCUUCUAUGAUUUAAGACAUUACUUUUGGGAUGAUCCACAUCUUUAUAAAGAAUGAGUAGAUGACAUUAUUAGACGUUGUGUACCUGAGCAUGAACAUGAACAAAUCCUACGGAAAUGUCACUCCGAAGCUUAUGGUGGACAUCACACGGGAGACAGGACCGCUCAUAAGGUGUUGCAAUCAGGUUUUUAUUGGCUUACUCUCUUCAAGGAUGCCCGUAAGUUCGUCUUAUCUUGUGAUGAAUGUCAAAGAAUAGGUAAUAUUGGUAAGCGUCAAGAAAUGCCUAUGAAUUAUUCACUUGUUGUUGAACCAUUUGAUGUUUGGGGUUUUGAUUUCAUGGGACCUUUUCCUUCCUCUAAUGGGUAUACUCAUAUUUUGGUUGUUGUUGAUUAUGUUACUAAGUGGGUAGAAGCUAUUCCAACCAGUAGUGCUGAUCACAACACCUCUAUUAAAAUGCUUAAGGAAGUUAUUUUCCCAAGGUUUGGAGUCCCUCGAUAUUUAAUGAGUGAUGGUGGUUCACACUUUAUUCAUGGUGCUUUCCGUAAAAUGCUUCCUAAGUAUGACGUUAACCAUAGAAUUGCAUCACCUUAUCAUCCUUAGUCUAGUGGUCAAGUUGAACUUAGCAAUAGAUAAAUAAGACUAAUUUUACAAAAGACUGUCAAUAGGUCCCGGAAGAAUUGGUCUAAGAAACUAGAUGAUGCACUUUGGGCUUAUAGAACAGCAUAUAAAAACCCUAUGGGUAUGUCUCCUUAUAAAAUAGUUUAUGGAAAAGCUUGCCAUUUGCCUCUUGAGUUAGAACAUAAAGCAUAUUGGGCAAUCAAAGAACUCAACUUUGAUUUCAAACUUGCUGGUGAAAAGAGGUUAUUUGAUAUUAGCUCAUUAGAUGAAUGGAGAACCCAAGCUUAUAUGAAAAUGCAAAGUUAUUCAAAGAAAAGGUUAAAAGAUGGCAUGGCAAAAGAAUCCAAAAGUGUGAGUUCAAAGUUGGAGAAUAUGUUCUUUUGUACAACUCUCGUUUCAGAUUCUUUGCAGGAAAACUCCUCUCCAAAUGGGAAGGACCCUAUGUUAUCGAGGAGGUUCAUUGAUCUGGAGCUAUCAAAAUAAAUAAUGCCAAAGGUUGUUAAUGGGCAACGAAUAAAACAUUAUAUCUCAGGUAUGUCUUAAUGUUGAAAGCAAUAUUAUGCAAACUAUGACACCGGAAGAGCACAUAAAACAAACCUUCCAAAACACUCCAGAAUCAUGAAAAAAAGGGAGGUACGUGAUACGGUAAGUAAACAGACUCUGAAAUAUCCGCAAAAAUAUUUUUUGUCAGUUUUGGAAUAUUAUUUUUUUUAGGAAAAUAAGAAACUACCAGGAAAUAUCCGCAAAACGGACUCUGGCGGUUGUGCCCACCUCGGGUACUUUCCGGACUCCGUUUUUCUUCCAUUUUGCUUGUUUCCCAAGAUAAAAAAUCUUUAUAUACCCCCCGAACCUGUUAACCUCUGUAUCACGGAGAAAUCUUCUGUUUUCUUUUCUCGCUGUUUUCUGUCAUAUCUAUUGAGCCGGGCAUCAUGUCUUCUUGUUCCUCUAACAAUAUAGAAGAGGAUGCUUGGUUGAUGAAGAUCGAGCUGAAGAGGGAAGAUCCCAUUGGAGCAGCCAAGGAGGACAAGACCAAGGAGGCCACUGGAAAUCAAGUGCGGGUGAUCGAGCAAGCCCUGCCUGCCGAUGAGGAAGAGGAAGAUAUCCUUAAACCUUAUUAUGCUUAUCUUACCCCCACCGAGAUUGCAGCCUUUAGGAUCACUGAAAUGGUUCGUGUGCAAAAUACGUACCUCACUCGUGAAAAUAUUCUGCAUCAAGAGCACAUCGCUUCCCUCCGGAGCAUCAUCCGUAGAUUGGAGAAUGUAACAUCCCAAAUUUUCAAUUUGGAAUGUUAUACAUUAGAUCAUCAUUGCAUAUGAUAUUUUAUUGCAUUUUGGCUUAAUUCUAGAAAUUUUACGCGACUCAAGGACCCACGGAGAGAGUUGGGGAUUUCGUUAUUUUCAUAUUUGAGUUUUCUCAAAUUUUGAAAUAGGAUCAUUGGAUUUUAAUUAUUUUAUCAUCAAUGAUUUCAAUUAUAAAAAUACGAGAGAGGGAAUAAAAUGACUUUCCGAAAAUAAAGAAAUAUUGAGGAUUUAAUAAUUAAAUCAAAUAAGAUUUUAUUUUGGAGUUUUAUCGCUAUUUUAUUUGAAUUAGGAAAAAUGCGCGUUUUUCAAAAUUGCAUUUAGGCCCCAAAUAAAUGUCAUCUUGUCCGGCUUAUUUUUAGAGGACGGGAAAAAUUUAUUUCGAGAUUUUUGGAGUCCAUUUAGUAUUUCUUUUAUUUCUUUUUCUGCUCGUCUGAAUUAUUUAAAAAAAAACAACGAACCGACUCUGGCCGUCGUGGGCGACCCGGACACGUCCGCCGCCCGCCUUUAUAAGAUGCUCACGCCACCCCGCCGGCCCACCCAGCCCGACCCCGCCCGAACCCUAACCCUAGCCGCCGCAGCCGCCCGCGCUGCGCGCCGCCUCCGCUGUCCGCCUUGCCGCCGACCGCCGCCGCCUCGGUUUUCGUGAGAAAACCGAUCGGGUUUUUUCGAACGGUAGAUUCGUUUUUUAGAUCAGGUUCGGUUUAUUUUUUUUCGGUUUAGUUUAGUUUGCGAAUGCUCGUUCGUACGUUCGUUUUAAUGAAUGUUUUCAUCGUUUAGCCGCAGACAGCGAACGUUCGUUCGUUAGCCUGUUCGUCCGUUUUUCUUUUUCUCGGAUUUUCCGCGAUUAUUUUCGAUCGCGAUUUCUGAUCCGAUUUUCGUUCUAGUAUAACUUUUCACUCCUUCAUCGGAAUCAGGCGAUUCAAGCGCCUGGAGUUUCGUCUCGAAACUCUCUUUCCGUUUAACCAACUCAAACAAGUUUUUGCUACUGUAACAAUUGACUUAGGUCCAGAUUAGUAAGCGAAUCUUGUUUCUUUCGCCGUUUGAUUUUCGUUGCUUCGUUUGAUUUGAUUCUUUUUGCAAACCGGAGUUCUUAAGUUGAACUUUCUGGUUAGAUCUCUUAUUUGAGUUUUACCUGUGCAUUAGAUGAGUGCUUAUUGUAUGCUUGUUUGUUUGCAAUAGAGUAUCCGAAGUGCGCCACUUGCUACUACGAGUCUCUAGGUUUCACGGAUCAUCGGCAAGGCAAGUAGCACUUUGAUCAUACCUUUUUACUACCCAAUCUUAUUGCAUUAGAUCAAUCUUUAAACAAUUGCAUGAUUAGGAUCUGUUUAAUAUGUGGGUUUUGGGAAGUAGAUGAGGUAGUACCUAUUACCUGUUUUAUUUAUCAAACCUUUGGGAGUUACUUCUACGUUUGCUUAUAUUGCUAUGAUAUGCUAGUAGACGUGGAUUGGGUGAGUGUAUCCAUGACAGAUGUGAGAUUGUUAAUUAAUGGUUUACUUAAGGUGGCAACUUUAAUACACAUCUGGGUGGACUAAGGCACCUGGGGAACCCAGUGUUGCCUGUAUUUUUGGAAAUCCCGGGGUAGCGUGUGAUUCUCCUAUGGACCGCCACCCAGGCUCAAAGGGAUCAUAAGAUUAUUUCAUGCUAGAAACUUUCGUGUGCAGCCGCAAGCUACUGUGGGCUCUAGCAUAGUUGAGUAUGUUGUGUGACCUCUUUUAGUGGUAGACUAGCAGAUGUAGGGGAUGUAGGUUCGUACUGUCUACCCAGAGUAAAGAGUUAAUGCUUCUGAAAGACUAUGUCUCGGUCAUCCGUUUCUCAAACACCAUGUAGUGUGAGAAAUCCAACGGAGGAGAUCGAGUCUUGCGGGGAAAAGUGAGCAGACCUCUGCAGAGUGUACAAACUAAUCAUGGUUAGCCCUGUCCCCGGUUAUGGAUGUUUUGAGUAUCUAGUACUUGGAUUAUCAUGUUGAUAUCAUCAUGUUACUUAAUUUAAUUUGUUGGGUUUAAUGAUGAUGCUUAAUUGGGAUUGAGUUGAAGGAACCUCCUCAAUGUUUAACAACCACCAUGAUAGUUAAAUAAAAUUUAUUCCUUUGUUGUAGGGAAAAAUCGGCUUUAUGCAAAACUGUAACCAUAGAGCUUUCCACCAGCCAUAUAUGCAUGUAGUGAUAGCAUUAUUCUGUUCAUUACUCUCUAUGUGUUACAUUGCCAGCAUAUUCCAUGUGCUGACCCGUUUUUGGGCUGCAACAUUCAUGUUGCAGACUUUUCAGACGACGAGUAAGGUGCCUUAGGUCGUGAUUUUACACUCAGUGAUGCCAUUGGAGUUGAUGGACUCGCCUAUCUUCCAAGCCUUCCGCUGUUAUCGUUAUUAGAUGGCCUUAAGCCAUAUUUAUUGUAAUAAGUUCUCUUUUGAGACAUUCGAUGUAAUAAGUGUGUGAUUGCUACUCUGUUAUAAAUCCUUCAAGUACUGUGUGUGUUAGCAUUACCGAUCCAGGGAUGACACUGAUGCACAGAGAUCAGACUAUUUGAGGUCUGGUCGCUACAAGAUGGUAUGAGAGCACACGCUGACUGUAGGACACGACCACUAAGCUAAAGCCCUAGAUCACUAUUCUCUUCUCAUUUAUGACUCCUCAUCUUUUCUACUCUUUAGGAUGGCGGAUGCCAGGAACAAGUUCACGCAACCGGAUGAAGAUACACCCUUUGGACGCCACUUGAAGGAAGUCACUAAGUACCUGAACAUCGAAGUACCAAGCUUCACCGGGACCUAAUCGCCACUUUACCAGAAGAGGAGCGUUGGAUGAUUUAAGUUCAAGUUCCAGGAAGGACGUUCAUCCCCGUCAUUGAGCCCAUAGAGUUUUCCUUUGAUGCACCAACCUGGAGUCUAGGAAAGAGCAUGGCAGCCCACAUCACCAUGGGACGCAUUGGAGAAGUUUACCACAAGGAUAUCAAGGAUACUAUUUAUCAGAUUUGUGGGUGCUGAGAUGAGCAAUGUGAUAUGAUCAGCACUAGGAAGGAUAGAUCAAUUGCAGCUUUCAUCCAGGAGUUAAACCAACACAUUUGUCGCCAGAAGAACCAGAUGUGCGCAGGCAUGAGAGACCUGAAGAAGGCUAUGACCAAGAUCACGGAGCUGGAGGAAGAACUCAAGUCUACACGCGAUGGAUAUGAGGAGGAAAUGACGACACUCGUGGAGAAGAAUGGUGAUCUGAAGAAGAAGCUAAAAGUAUUUAUGGGAUUCCCCGCGACUGUAGGAGAAGACGAUGAUUGCACUUGCCCGGAGAACUACAUCAUCAUCGACGACACCGACUUGGACCCAGAUGAUAGCGAUGAUGACUAUGUUGAUGAAGCUGGAGCAGAUAUCAUGGAGUCUUCGACCGAUCAAUUUUUUCUAGUCGACCACCAUAACAAUAGUAGUAUCCCCCCAUGUACAUAGUAUAGUCAGGAGCACUUUUGUAACGAUAGUUAGACCGUUGUAUGCCCUUGCUUGAUUUGAUUGAAGUGAUAUUGAUUGUGUUUUGUCUCAUGUGCAUAUGGGUAGUGUUUUCUCUUUAGACCCCACUCUAUUCUAUAUUCUCAUCUUUUUCUAAACCCCCAGAUGCCUCCGAGACGUGACAAUGGAUUUGCUUUUCCACUGGAGCUCACUCAGUUGAUCCAGCAGCAGAAUACAUUGAUGCAGAUGUUAGUCCAGAAUCAAAAUCAGGGGAACAAUAGCAACUACAACCCACCACCACCACCACAUCUUGAUCACUUAGCCCGUUUCUUGAGGCUGAAUCCGCCGGUGUUCUCCAGUAGCACCGAGCCGAUAGUUGCAGAUGAUUGGCUCCGUAAGAUGGGUAAGGAGUUGACCACUGCAGGAUGCACAGAUGCGGAGAGGGUGCAUUUUGCCGCACAUCAGCUUGAUGGACCCGCAACAUCAUGGUGGGAGAAUUUCAUAGCCACUUAUCCUAUCAACACUAUCACAUGGGAUCAGUUUCAGCAGGCUUUCCGUACUGCCCAUGUUUCAGCAGGAGCUAUGGCCAUGAAGAAGUGUGAGUUUUGCAACUUGCGCCAAGGAGGACGUAUAGUUGGCCAGUAUGUGGAUGACUUUAGUAAGCUAGCACAUUAUGCCCCAGAUGACGUUGCUACGGAUGCAUCUAAACAGGAGAAGUUUCUGGAAGGACUGAAUGAUGAGCUGAGCAUGUAGUUGAUGGUGGCAACCUUCAACAACUACCAGGAGUUGGUAGAUAGAGCUCUCAUGAUUGAAGGGAAGCAGCAACAGAUUGACAACCGCAAGAGGAAGUAUGUGCAAGGGAAGAAAAAUUCUGGGGCUCAGCAGAAGCCCCGUUUUACCCCGAACUCGGGAAGACCUUUUCAGCAUACCCAUGGAGGAGGGAGUUCGCACAACCAUAGUGGCCCCAAGAAUGGGAAUGGUAAUGGAGGAAGCAACAGACAGGAUCGUACCAACCCAUCAACCCCAACCAAGAGGGAUCUAAGCCACAUUACCUGUUUCAAGUGCCAGAAGACUGGACAUUAUGCCCCUGAAUGUACUGAAGCUAAGAAUGGAAAUGGUAAUGGAAGCUCUGGGAAGAAGCCUAACCCUUUCAAUAUGGGACAUGUGAACCACGUUAGCAUGGAGGAGGUUGAAGCCCAGCUAGAUGUAGUAAUAGGUAAGUUUUUGGUUAAGUCAUUUACUGCAAUCGUUCUUUUUGAUACUGGUGCGUCACAUUCAUACAUAUCAAGGGGAUUUGUGGAUAAGUAUAAAUUGCCAACCGAAGCCCUUAGGUCAUCCAUGUUAGUAACCUCGCCAAGAGCUGAGUAUAUGGCUAGCCUGUGGUGUGAUCGGUUACCAUUAAGGAUUGGUAACUACGUGUUUCCCUCAGACCUAAUUGUAUUGGAGUUACCAGGACUGGAUGUGAUAUUAGGCAUGGAUUUUAUCACGGAUUGCCCAGGACUCGUUCAGGCUAUGAUUCGAUAUGGGUUGUAGUCGAUCAUUUGACGAAGGUAGCUCAUUUCAUCCCAGUGAAGACCACUUACACCAGUACUAAGUUGGCAAAGAUAUACAUGACCAUAUGUCUGCAUGGAGUUCUGAGGAGCAUUGUAUCAGAUAGAGGAACCCAGUUUACCUCAAAGUUCUGGAAUCAGUUGCACGAAACUUUGGGAACCAGGCUAGAGUUCAAUACAACCUUUCAUCCACAGACAGAUGGACAGACCGAGAGAGUAAAUAAGAUUCUGGAGGACAUGUUGAGAGCUUGUGCGCUAGAUUAUGGAUCUAGUUGAGACAAGAAUUUGCCAUAUGCGGAGUUCUCUUACAACAACAGUUAUCAAUCCAAUUUGAAGAUGGCCCCUUUCGAAGCCUUGUACGGAAGGAGGUGCAGGACACCGUUGUUGUGGGACGAACUUGGAGACCACCAGUUGUUUGGACCAAACUUGAUUAAAGAGUCUGAGGAGAAGGUUAAGUUGAUUCAUGAUAGGCUCAAGGUAGCCCAGUCCAGGUAGAAGAGCUAUGCAGAUUCUAAACGCAAGGAGACAGUUUACGAAGUCGGAGACAGAGUUUAUCUUCGUGAGUCCCCACUUCGAGGAGUUAAGCAUUUUGGAGUUGAGGGAAAGUUAGCGCCACAUUUUGUGGGUCCAUACAAAGUUUUGGAACGUAUGGGAGAAGUUGCUUACAAGUUGGAAUUGCCCGAAGGAUUGUCAGGAGUUCAUGAUGUGUUCCACAUUUCCUAGUUGAAGAAGUGCCACGCAGAGAUGGUUGAUAUACCUCUGAGAGAUACAGUGCCACUGGAAGCGAUUCAGUUGGACAACGAUUUGACCUAUGAGGAGAAACCAGUCAAGAUUCUCGAGUUUGCCAGCCGAGUCACGCGCAACAAGGUUAUCAAGUUCCGCAAAGUUCAGUGGAGCCACCAUACCAAAGAUGAAGCCACCUGGGAGCGAGAGGAAGAUCUACUGAAGGACCACCCUCACCUAUUUUCUAGCCAACCCGAAUCUCGAGGGCGAGAUUCAUCUUAAGGGGGUAGGUUUGUAACAUACCAAAUUUUCAAUUUGGAAUGUUAUACAUUAGAUCAUCAUUGCAUAUCAUAUUUUAUUGCAUUUUGGCUUGAUCCUAGAAAUUCUACGCGACUCAAGGACCCACGGAGAGAGUUGGGGAUUUCAUUAUUUUCAUAUUUGAGUUUUCUCAAAUUUUGAAAAUAGGAUCAUUUGAUUUUAAUUAUUUUAUCUUCAAUUAUUUCAAUUAUAAAAAUACGAGAGAGGGAAUAAAAUGACGUUCCCAAAAUAAAGAAAUAUUGGGAAUUUAAUAAAAAAAUCAAAUAAGAUUUUAUUUUGGAGUUUUAUCGCUAUUUUAUUUGAAUUAGGAAAAAUGCGUGUUUUUCAAAAUUUCAUUUAGGCCCCAAAUAAAUGUUCAUCUUGUCCGGCUUAUUUUUAGAUGACGGGGAAAAUUUAUUUUAGGAUUUUUGGAGUCCGUUUAGUAUUUCUUUUAUUUCUUUUUCUGCGCGUCUAAAUUAUUUAAAAAAACAACGAACCGACUCGGGCCACCGUGGGCGAACCGGACACGUCCACCGCCUGCCUUUAUAAGCCACUCACCCACCCCGCCGGCCCACCCAGCCCGACCGCACUCGAACCCUAACCCUAGCCGCCACCACCGCCGCCCGCGCCGCCUCCGCCGCCGGAGCCGUCGCCGCUGUCCGCCUCGCUGCCGACCUCGCCGGAGCCCGCCGCCACCUCGGUUUUCGCGAGAAAACCGAUCAUUUUUUUGAACCGUAGAUUCGUUUUUAGAUUCGGUUCAGUUUAAUUUUUUUCUGGUUUAGUUUAGUUUGCGAACGCUCAUUCGUACGUUCGUUUUAACGAACAAUUUUCGUCAUUUAGCCACAGAUAGCGAACGCUCGUUCGUUAGCCUGUUCGUCUGUUUUUCUUUUUCUCGGAUUUUCCGCGAUUAUUUUCGAUCGUGAUCUCUAAUCCGAUUUUUGUUCUAGUAUAACUUUCCGCUCAUUUAUCGGAAUUAGGUGAUUCAAGCGCCUGGAGUUUCGUCUCGAAACCCUCUUUCUGUUUAGUCAACUCAAACAAGUUUUUGCUACUGUAAAAAUUGACUUAGGUCCAGAUUAGUAACCGAAUAUUGUUUCUUUCGUCGUUUGAUUUUUGUUGGUUCGUUUGAUUUGAUUCUUUUUGGAAACCGGAGUUCUUAAGUAGAACUUUCUGGUUAGAUCUCUUAUUUGAGUUUUACCUGUGCAUUAGAUGAGUGCUUAUUGUAUGCUUGUUUGUUUGCGAUAGAGUACCCGGAGUGCGCCGCUUGCUACUACGAGUCUCUAGGUUUCACGGAUCAUCGGCAAGGCAAGUAGCACUUUGAUCAUACCUUUUUACUACCCAAUCUUAUUGCAUUAGAUCAAUCUUUAAACAAUUGCAUGAUUAGGAUCUGUUUAAUAUGUGGGUUUUGGGAAGUAGAUGAGGUAGUACCUAUUACCUGUUUUAUUUAUCAAACCUUUGGGAGUUACUUCUACGUUUGCUUAUAUUGCUAUGCUAUGCUAGUAGACGUGGAUUGGGUGAGUGUAUCCAUGAUAGAUGUGAGAUUGUUAAUUAAUGGUUUACUUAAGGUGGCAACUUUAAUACACAUCUGGGUGGACUAAGGCACCUGGGGAACCCAGUGUUGCCUGUAUUUUUGGAAAUCCCGGGGUACCGUGUGAUUCUCCUAUGGACCGCCACCCAGGCUCAAAGGGAUCAUAAGAUUAUUUCAUGCUAGAAACUUCCGUGUGCAGCCGCAAGCUACUAUGGCUCUAGCAUAGUUGAGUAUGUUGUGUGACCUCUUUCAGUGGUAGACUAGCAGAUGUAGGGGAUGUAGGUUGGUACUGUCUACCCAGAGUAAAGAGUUAAUGCUUCUGAAAUACUGUGUCUCGGUCAUCCGUUUCUCAAACACCAUGUAGUGCGAGAAAUCCAACAUAGGAGAUCGAGUCUUGCGGGGAAAAGUGCGCAAACCUUUGCAGAUUGUACAAACUAAUCAUGGUUAGCCGUGCUCCCGGUUAUGGACGUUUUGAGUAUCUAGUACUUGGAUUAUCAUGUUGAUCUCAUCAUGUUACUUAAUUUAAUUUGUUGGGUUUAAUGAUGAUGCUUGAUUGGGAUUGAGUUGGAGGAACCUUCUCAAUGUUUAACAACCACCAUGAUAGUUAAAUAAAAUUUAUUCCUUUGUUGUAGGGAAAAAUUGGCUUUAUGCAAAACUGUAACCAUAGAGCUUUCCACCAGCCAUAUAUGCAUGUAGUGAUAGCAUUAUUCUGUUCAUUACUCUAGAUGUGUUACAUUGCCAGCAUAUUCCAUGUGCUGACCCGUUUUCGGGCUGCAAUGUUCAUGUUGCAGACUUUUCAAACGACGAGUAAGGUGCUUAGGUCGCGAUCUUAUACUCAGUGAUGCCGUUGGAGUUGAUGGACUCGCCUAUCUUCCAAGCCUUCCGCUGUUAUCAUUAUUAGAUGGCCUUAAGCCAUAUUUAUUGUAAUAAGUUCUCUUUUGAGACAUUCAAUGUAAUAAGUGUGUGAUUGCUACUCUGUUAUAAAUCCUUCAAGUACUGUGUGUGUCAGCAUUACCGAUCUAGGGAUGACACUGAUGCACAGAGAUCAGACUGUUUGAGGUCUGGUCCCUACAAGAAUCUCUUGGUCCUUAAGGACCGGAUCGC